rnacentral:lncRNA from 1 species
UCUUUUAUCAUGUGCAUGCUCAGUGAGAAUUUGACUUACUAGAACACAAGUUUGACUCUUCAUUUAAAUGUCUCUUGUAUCAUAUCCUUCAGUGUUGAGUGUGUUUCCAAUAAAAUUGAGUAGGGGGAUCCUUAAAUACCGUUUCCUUUUUUCCAAGGGCCGUGCCAAAUUGCUCUAAGUGAUUAUCAAUGAAUAAUGAAAAUAAAAUUUUUAUUAAAGCAAUUUUUUCCUUAAAUGGUGACUAAUAGUACCCCUUUUUUUGGAAAAGAAAGUCAAAGCAUGCCCAAAGAAUCAUUUACUUUCCUCUAAUGUAUUUUCUAAUUCGUUUUGCGCCUUGAAUGUCCGUUUUGGUAUGUAUUCUCAUUCCAUGUCGAAUCUUAUCCAUAUGGACAACCCCAAUUACAAAAAAGUCUAAUGGAUCUAUUGAAGUUCAUAUGAGGUUUGUGCUUUAGAUUUAGACCUCUCUCUCUCUCUCUCUCCCCCCCUCCCUCUCCCUCUCCACUUACCUGUCUUUCACUUACCUGUUUGCAUGCAUGCCCAUGCACAUACUUGCAAGAUAAUACACGGUCACUCGUACUUGUGUUUUGGUUGAGCUACUGGCUGCUAACCCCCUGUAAUUCAGUUUGAAACUUGCCACCCUUGUGCUUCACUCAAAUGGUUGGUUAGGGUGAGAUCUGUAUUGUUUUCCUGGUCUCUUUCCAAGGUUAUCUAAAGGGAUUUGGCAGUCUGAUUCUUUAGGGAAUAUCAUUGCAUAAGAUAUCUAUUGUUUGUCAAUGAAUAAUUUCUAUUAACUAGUUAUCUAUAUAAAUUGGUAAAUUUUAACUGCAUAAUUUGCAUGCAAUAAGAUUUUAUAAGAAUCUUGUUUUCAACUCAUGACUUAGACUAAUGUGAUAUGUUGAGCAUUAAGCUACAAGAUCUGCACAUCAAAGUGCUUCAUGAUGGUAAGGAGAAAGCAUCUUUUUCUGCUUCUUCAUGUGAUUUAAAGUUUCCAAGGCACUUAUCCUAUAAAAUAUCUUUCAAGACUUUGGAAAUGCUUUUAUGUAUGACUGAGAGAAACUUGUUGGGUUGGUUUUUAGCAACAGACAGAGUUAUGGACUUUGUGUUGACUUGUUAUUGAUUAAGACAGUACAUCGGCUGAUCUAUUGGCAUCAAGCAGCAGAUGCAGAAAUUAUGGGUGGCAUAUCAUUGUAUCCAAAUAACGUACUACAUUGAUUUUUCUGACUUUCUGUUGGUCUCCGAGUGAAAUGCAGGCAUUUGCAGAUGAACUGGGGAUUCCUUUCCUGGAGACGAGUGCCAAAGAUGCAAUCAAUGUGGAGCAGGCUUUCUUGACUAUGGCUGGCGAGAUUAAGAAAAAGUAAAAUCACUUAACUCUUUCCUUCUCGCCUUAUGAUUGAUUCUGUGAUCCAUUGCCUAUUUGCAAAUGGUGAUUGUUGAAUUAUGCUGACUGUUCUUAUUCAACAAUCACCAUUAUUGCUGGUUAUAUGCAUUGUGAUGAAAAUUCUGCAAUGAGUAACUUUUUACCUAAUGUUUUCUGUUGGAACAAAUUACUCUGGUAGAAAAGCCCUACAGGGUUUGAGAAAUCCCAUGAUGUGACGAUUGUGAGCAUUUUAGACACCGUGUAUGGAUUUAUUUAUGACUAUAAAAUGUUAAGAUUGUUUCUAGUUGUGGUUUGUAGUGUAUAAAAGGAUUCAAAAUUUGACAUCUGUCUAAAUCAGAUUAAUAACAUGAUAAUGUACAUAUGCAAGAUGUGAGGAAUUGUUUUAUCUCACCCCUAAACUUUAAGAAAUUGAAACAUUAUCAUUCAAAAUAUUUAACAUUUCCAGAAUUGAUAGUUGUCUAUUUGAGCAGUGACUGGUGGUUAUCAUGAACUGAUGUGUGGUUGUGGUGUCAAAUCUUGGUGAAACCUGUUGUCCUAUGCCUGAUUAACAUAGCUAGUCUCUGAAAUAAUUUGUUGAUUCACUAAUUAUGAGUUCAAAUUUGAUGCAGAAUGGGCAACCAGCCUGCUGCAAACAAAUCUUCUGGAACAGUUCAGAUGAAGGGACAGCCAAUCCAGCAAAACAGCAACUGCUGUGGUUAGCCGAGCAUGUUAUUUUACUACUACAUGUUAGCUGACUGAUUGUAGACAGUUUUAACUAUGUUGACUGCAUUAUCUUAUGAAUCUUUUAAUCUGGCAAAUAUUUAUUUCCUGCUUUAAGUUCUUUCCCGUUUAUGACAAAUUUAAUUUCUUGCUCCAUUGCAUUCCAAAUUCCUGUCAAUUUAGGAGGGAAAAAGAAAAGAGAGACGAAAUGGGAGAAAAUGGUCAAAUUUGUUGGGGGAGAGCUGUUCAAGUAGUUUUUGUUCUCGUUUAUUGUCGUGACUAGAGCUGGUAAAAUUUGACACGACCCGAUUACCCGACACGAACACGACAUAAAUAAAUGGGUAUGGGUCGUCAAAUUUAACACGAUUAUUAAAUGGGUUGGGUCCGAGUCAACACGAUUUUUUUCGGUGUUGGGUUUGGGUUAAAAUUCUUGACUCAUUUACCCGAUCAAUGAUCUGAUUAUAUUUUUUAUUUUAAAAUAAUUUACAUAUUCUUAUCAUUAAAACUCAAAUAUUAGAGAUUUUUUUUUAUUCUUUAAAAGGGUGAAUUUAAAUACAGUGUUUUAUUUAUAAAAUUCUAAAUACAUUUAGAGCUUCAAUAGUGUAAAUGUGUAAAAAUUAAUAGACAUGUAUAUUUUAUAAUAUUGAUAUAUAAUAUUAUAUAUAUAAUUAAAACCUCAAUAGUGUAAAUGUGUAAUAUAUUGGUAGAUAUGUAUAUUUUAUAAUAUCGAUAAAUUAUUUAUGUAUGUAUGUACAUACGUAUGUAUGAUAGUGUGUAAAUAUUUGAUAUAACUUUUAUUCAAUAUAUAGAUAUUAAACGGGUUAUUGGGUAACUCGAUUAUUUUUUCGUGUCGGGUUUGAGUCUCAAUAUUUUGACACGAUUAUUAAAUGAGUUGGGUUUGAGUUGACUUAAAUUUAACACGACACGAACACGAUCCGAUGACUCAUUUUGCCAGCUUUAGUCGUGACCCUCUUGUCGCUUAUCUAGGACCUGGAAGUUCGGUCAUAUCGGAUGGUUAAAGUUACCGAAACGACAUCAUUUUGGGUGAAAUAUCAUAUUUAUGUAACACUUUUGAUAAUAUUUUUAUGCAACAAAAAAAUGUUCGUGGUACCCCUUUCAAUUUUUAUUUGUUAUGGAAUUUGGAGGUAGUGUACAUGUAUGAAGAUGACGUAAUAAAAUUGUUUUGAUAAGGUCGGUUUACUUCACUAACCAUUAAUGCGCAAAGCCACCUAAUGACCCUAAAAAAUCCCAUACAUAAUUAAAGAAUUUCAAUUUUAUAUGUACAAAAAUAAAUGACUCAAAUAUAUUAUUUGAUAAUUUCAAAAACAAUAAUUUACUCUAAUAAAUCUCGUAGCAAAUAUAUGGUUUGUAUUGCAAGUCUUUUCGAGACUAAUUCAAAGAGAAAUUACGAAGAACAUAUAAUUGACCUUUAUCUAUCAUAAAGAAUUCUAAAUAAAUUCAUAUACGCAUCGUAGUUAAUUACAGUCUUGAUAUUUCAUUUGGAUUUUGUUAAUUUUCUGUACAGUUGUGCUGUGCGUACAAGUUUUGUUUAAUGAAAUCGGUAGGUGAAGAGAAUAUUUAGAAUCAUACAUCAAAGUAAUGAUCAAUAUAAAUAUUGAAUGUCUCAAGUUAGAUUAUACAAAGAUGAAAUAAUGCUAAUAUAGUAAAUUCAAUCAUAAUAAUUUGACUUCCAUUAUAUUAAUUAUGUCCAAUCGUGCUACUUUAAUAAAGAACCCUCGAGCAUUUAUAUGUAUACAACAAACAAAAUUAAUUACAGAACGAUCUUUUACAAAGUCUGACCGGUUAACUAUCCAUCAAAUUCUGUAAUGUGUUACUGUUGAACUCUCAUGUCAAAUAUGGAUAAACAGCGCUUUGGCUAACAAUGAGAUAUAUGCGAGCAUAAGAGCUCCGUUCUCUGUUUUAAUUGCGUUUCUCUUUGUGGUUGUCGGACAAACUAUAAUGUGAAUUUCUAUCUAAUGGGUGUCCUAAUGCUUUUAGUUAGUGUGGGAUUGUUGAUUUAUAUAUGACCUUCAGUAUCCAAAAUUUAGAUGAUGAUAACCUUUAGUACUUUUAUCAUAUUUCCUUUCGUGUUGGUGUUAGUAUCUUAAUUUUGUGCCCAAUGGUAAUUACAAUAUAUACCUAAUUUGAAACUUCUAUAAUUUUACAUAUAUAGAUGCAAAUUCAUUUUUAAGAGUGCAUUUAAUCAAGCAGUCCAGGCGUUUAUACUGAGUAAUUGGUUCAAUAUUAAUACAAAACUAUUUUAAGUAACAUGUGGCAUAUUCUAAUUCCAGUGAGCUUCCAACUCAUAUUCCCAAUUCAAAAGAAAAGUUUUCAAUUUUCUCCAGAACGUUCUACAAAACGUUUCUUCUAGUCUCUACACUGCUAGAAUUUUCUCUAAGUUUCUUUUGCAAAGACUUUUAAAGAACUAUCCAGAUACCGAGCUAUAAUCCAGUCUAAGCGUAUAUCUCUCUCACUAUUUCACCUCCUUCAAUUUCACCAUAUCAACAAACACUUAGCCUCGAAACAAACACUCUCAAAAAGCUAGCUUAGCUACCCAGAUGGUGAAAUCAAGAAUUCUUGCAAUUACAAUGUCGUUUCUUGUUAUGGCAACAACAUUGAUGAUCAUGGCAUCACAAGCAAACGCUCUGAUGCCGUACACACGAUCACCUUUCUUUGACAUGAUGUCUGCAAUUACAGAAGAUCCUUUCAGGGUUCUUGAACAAACCCCUCACAAUCCCCAAAAGGAGCUGAUCAUCAUCAAACUCUAGCCCUGGCGAGAGCAAACUGGAUGGAGCACCAACAGCACACGUGAUCGCGCUCGACAUUCCAGUGAUGAAGAAAGAUGAAGUGAAGAUUGAAGUUGAAGAGAACAGGGUACUGAGAGUGAGUGGGGAGAAGAAGAGUGAUGAUUAUUAUAAGGAGGGAGUUGAAGGAGAGAAAUGGCACAGAGUUGAGAGAACAUUUGGCAAGUUUUGGAGGCAGUUCAGGAUGCCUAUGAGUGCUAACUUGGAACAUGUUAAGGCUCAUUUGGAAAAUGGUGCUCUGAGGAUCAAAGUGCCAGAGCUUGCUGAGGAGAAGAGGAGGCAGCCUAAGGUUAUUAGCAUCAAUGAAGAACCUGCAGGUAAUUCUUCCGGUGAAGAUAUUAAGGCCACCAAGGCCCAAAUGUGAUUGAUUAAAGAAAGAAGUGCUUGCUUCGCGCUAUUUGUUUAUGAUCUUUUCUUAGUUUUGUUGUGGGAUGUUUCUCUCUGGACAUUAUGUUUAUUGUAUUUUGAUGGGUUUUUUAAGAUGACUUGCAUGUAUUAACAAUAAUAAAGUGUUUUUUUUUUAUUUUUAUAAAUCAGUGUCCUAAGUUUGUAAAAGAAAUUAAUACGCUUGGUUUAUUGUUAAUAAAACAUAAAAAAUAAAAAGUCUUUUUCUUUGGCGUAUAUUAUGCAUUUUAUGACACUGUCAUAUUAAUGCGUCAAUUUUGAUGAAUCCAAAUAUUCAAAAUUAUAUUUAUAAAUAUUAAUAGUGAUGGCACAUAAACAAUUAAUUCAAGAACUCGCCCAAAAUGCAUUAAUUUAAAGAGUAUAAAUAACAUUACAAUACAGUCUAGCCCUUACGUGUUUAAUUAGCAAUUAAAAACUACUUUAUAUUGUAAAACACCAUUAAAAGAAUAUUUGUCAAAGUCUGAUGAAGAGAAUAUACACGCACACGUAUAUAACCGUACAACAGAAGAAUAAAUAAAAGAAAAUAAAGUUUCAACAACUGAAUAAUGCAAACUCAUUUUUUUUAAAAGCAUUUUAUUGUUUAAUUAAAAAAUUCGAAAACCCAUUAUAUACAUGAUAAAGACUCACCGACGCCGAACCAUAUUAAUUUAAAUUAGUUUUCAACUGAGAUUUGAAUUUUAAAAUUACAUACACAAACACGCCCAAUUUUUUUAAAAAAAGUACUAAUAAUAAAAUAUUUCAACCGUCCUCUGUUUAGCCGCCAAAAACCGAUUUACCAUUUAUUACAACGAAAGGUGUACAUAGACGGAUAAAUAAUGCUAAUCUACCAAGUCCAAUCAUAAUAAUUUGAUUAUCAAUAUAUUAACCAUGUCCAAUCAUAAUAUUUAAUAAUCACCAAACUUACAAUUCGCAAGUUAGAUUAUACGUAUGAGAAUCUAGCAAGUCCAAUGAUAAUAAUUUGAUUUUUAUUAUAUUAACCGUGUCCAAUCAUACUAUUUUAAUAAAGAUCACUCGAAUAUUUAUUUAUCCAACGGGUAAAAUUUCAAAACAAUUUUUGCCAAAGUCCUCCUUGGCUAAUUAAUUCAUACAUUAAUACAGUUCUCUGCUGAAUAAUGCAAACCCGCUACGUUAUUCUACCAUUUCUUUUUAAAGCAUUCCACCAUUUAAUAAAAAAAAUUCGAAAACCCAUUAUAUACAAUACAAAAAGCCCACCGACACCAAACCAUAUUAAUUUAAAAUAGUUUUCAAUCGAGAUUUGAAUUUUAAAAUUACAUACACAAACACACCCGAUUUAAAAAAAUAAUAAUAAUGCUAACAAUAAAAUAUUUCAGUCGUCCUCUAAUCAAUCAUAAAAAUCCAUCCACCAUCUAUUAGAACACAAGGUAUAUGGGUUAACAAGUCCCAAUAUUGUCCUCCAUCCUUUCUGCACUUCUCUGUUAUCAACGGACAACUCCAGAUGUAUAAUUGCAAAAGUGAGGAAGGCAGGCCCUUCUUCGGAAAGUAUUUGAGCUUGGGACAACCCGAGAGUGUCAAUGAAGUGAGGUUUUGAAGAUCAACAAUUGAAGAAGAUAGGCGUUCCAGAUUUGGAAAAUUAGAAAUCUCCAGAGAUGUUAGAGAGGCAGGAAGAGGAAAUGACACCGUGUCGUCAUCACAUCCUUCGAUAUGUAGACGUCGCAGAGAGGAGAAUCUGUGAAAUCCCCGUCCCCGCUCAAUCAUUGACUUCCAAAUCUCCAUAUUACCCCAAAUUUCAAGUGACUGAAGGUUGGUGGGAAGGCCAUCUUCUUCAAGGCUUGGAAGCGCACCUCCUUUUCCUAUUGUUAAUUCUUGAAGAGAGCUCAGAUUGUGCAAUCCCUUGGGUAAGGCCUCUAGUCUCUUACAAUUAGAUAUCUCCAGCCACGUGAGUUUCGCACAAGGCAAUCCCCCUUCGGGAAAGGACACCAGAUUUCCACAUUCCUCUAUGCUAAUCCGUCGAAGCUGGCGGAGAUUAUGUAAACCACUCGGUAAAAUUUUGAGAUUUUCACAAUGAUAAAUGAAGAUAUCUUCAAGAGAUGUGUUGUUGUCCAACCUUUCUGCUAUUGACUCCAGCUUUGGACAAUCCCAAACAGAAAGGGACUUAAGAGACGGAGGUAGAUUGCCAACUUCAAGGGACUCAAGCGUGGCAGGUAACUCGUUUUUUGAAAAUAUACAUGUCAGAGAUCGACAAUCGUCAAUUGAUAAGUGCUCAAGAAUAGAUGACGUAUACCUACUGUUGCUGCUACUCUGGACGCCCUCUUCCACUGUCAAAGUCCUUAUAUUAUCGCAACACCAGAUCGUCAACUCCUUAAGGCUCGAUGGUAGCUGGACAGCAGCAAUAUAUGUCAACGAAUGGCAAUACGCAAUUAACAAGAUCUCGAGAGACGAAUUGGUGUCGCACAUCCAUGCCUCUGGUAACGAUUUCACUGCAUCACAAUACCCAAUCUCAAUUUUCUUCAACUUGGAAGGCAGAGCAACCUCAGGAAAGGAAACAAGGGAACUGCACUUGUAGAUUUUUAUCUCUCUCAAGGAACUGAGGCUGAACGAUGAUUGUGGCAGCUUCACAAGGCCUUCGCAUUCGCUCAAUCUUAGAUAUUCGAGUCUGCAUGACAACCCGCAGAGCUGCUGUUGUUGGUCUUUCUCUUCCUCCGCGACCAAGGAUUGAAUUUUGGGACAGCUGUCAAUCCUCAGUCUUUUGAGAGAGCAAAUGUCUUGCAGUAAUUCGUUAUGGCUCUUCCAUAUACAUGUUUCAUUUUGAAUAUUAUUUAUCUCCAAUUCUUCCAGUUUUGGUAUUCGCGGCUUCAAUGGCCCUGCGAGAAACACUUGAUUUGAUGUAUCUCUACAAACCACUGAAUUCUGUGAGCCGAGAUGAUCAGUUGCACUUCUCCACACAACCUUUUUACAUCCACCAAUUUCCAUUUUGCAAAGAGCUGGAAGACUCGUAACUGAAACUGACAAUUCUUCACAUCCUCGAAUAACAAGCAUCUCCAAUGCAGGAAGGUGCUCUGGAAAUGUUCCUUGCAGCUUAGAACAUCCUAAAAUGCAAAGCUCUCUCAAUUUAGGAAACCCUUCAACUCCCUGACUGGAUCCAUGAGGAAUCCACUCUUCCCAUUCUUGCAUGUCUUCAAAACGAAGAGUCUCCAAGCAUGGAAAAGGAAUUUGAGAGUCAUUCCCAUAGAACUCUGAACCCAAACUCUUUACUCUACUCAUUCCACGCACUGCAAGAUGCUUUAGAAAGGAUAGUUGCCCGACUGACGGCAAGGUAGUACACACGCCGCAAUCUUCAAAUUUAAGUGUCACUAAAUUUGAGAAUGAGGAAUCUCCUAACCAUGUUGGAAAUUUUGUACCUCCAUAGCCACUGAUACAAAAUUGUUCCAGAUUUUCAUGAGGUUUUAGCAUGCGAGGACAUCCUUUUCAGUUUCUGCCUCCCUUGAAGACAAACCAUUGGUACUCCGUGUCCAUCGAAACUUUAACACUUUAAGAUUCUUCUUUCCAUCCAACCGAGCCUCCUUUGCAUCACCAAUGUCUUUUACAUUCCCUAAAUUUGAAAUUUUAAGUGUCCCCUGAAGAUGUAUCAAUGACUUUAGCUCUCGUAACCCAGAACCAUUGUCUUUUCCCACAGCAAAAUUACUCAACGUCUGAAGACAAGUCAGCUUACCAAUUCCUACUGGCAUUUCCUCCAACGAAUCUGUAUUUGAAUUAUUGAGAUGAUGCAAUUUGAUGAGGUUUCCCGUGGCUGCACACAACUUCUUCAGUCGCCGACAGUCUUCCAACAGAAGGGUGUGCAAAUUGUAAAGCUUGCUGACUGAUUCAGGCAGAGUUUUAAUCUCAGUUCCAGACAGGUUAAGGUGCCUUAAAUACCUCAAAUCACCAACUGAAUCCGGCAGCUCGGAGAUGUGAUAUCCACGCAAAGAGAAGACCCUCAACCGUUGGAGUUUGAACAACUUAGGAAGAAUGCUAUGAGCCAAGUAUCCACGCGAACUAUUUGUCAACAUUACUGGUAAAAAAGUUCGCAAAUGUUGGAUAUCGUACAAGCCCUCAAACCUUUUAACGCCAUCACAUGCUCCACCAAUGUACGAUAGAUGACGAAGAUUUUUGGAAAAACUUUGUUGCUUGUUAACCUCUGAGGUAUACUCCAUUGUGAAGUACAUCUCCCCUGCAGCCCAAUGAGCAAGGUCGUUGACAAGGUCGUGCAUCACAAAUCGUGAUUUAUUGUUGCUUGAUUGCUGAAAAAAAGAUCUUGAACGUAGCUCUUGAAAGAACUUUCGACCUAGAUCUUCAUUAGGAUUCCCGCUCUCUUUGUGAUCCAAGAAACCCGAAGCACACCAUAAUAAAAUUAUCUCCUCCUCUUCAAAUUCAUAAUCCUUUGGAAACAAUGAGCAGUAUGCAAAGCAUUGUUUCAAAGGUGCCGAAAGAUAAUAGUAGCUCACUCUAAGCGCCGGUAUAAUGUCACAUCUCUCUUCUGGUAAAUCCCAUAUCUUGCAACUGAGCACACCUUCCCAAUCACUCCGGUCAAGUUUACCACGCAAGAGACCACCAAGAGUUUUCGCAGCUAAGGGCAAGCCGUUGCAUUUGAUCACUAUCUUCUUGCCAAUUUCCUCCAAUGACUUGUUUGAACUGAAAUCUCUUGUCCCCAAAGAGUGUUGAGCGAACACAGACAGACAAUCAUCAUUUGACAGCUUUUUCAAAUGAUAAGCCCGAGCAGUCCCCAUGAUGGCUGCAACCUCUUGAUUACGAGCUGUGACAAUAAUCUUACUCCCCGGUGCGCCAGCUUCAAACGGACGGCUCAUGUCAACCCAGUCAUUGUAAUUCUCAUUCCAAACGUCGUCUAAAACAAGCAAAAAUUUCUUUUGAGAUAACUUCUUCUUCAGCUCCUCUUGAAGCAAAUUUAAAUCACUGUCAUCAGUAGUCUGCUUAGUAAUGGAUCUUAGAAUUGUUUUUGUUAGCCUGAUAACAUCAAAAUCAUCAGAGACACAAGUCCAUGCCUUGAGAUCAAAAUGACCCUGCACUCGAGCAUCAUUAUAGACAAGCUGAGCGAGAGUGGUUUUGCCCAGCCCGCCCAUGCCUAUAAUAGGAAUAACAGAGAAUUCACCAUCAUUUCUCAAAUCAUCCCUCAACAACAAUUCAACAAUUUCAUUCUUUUCUGUUUCCCUCCCAUAUACCUUGGCUUCAGUCACUAAAGAGGUUGUGGGUAGUCUUUGCCUGUCUUUUCUGGACCUCCCAGCUGAACUUACGUUCAAACCGAGCGAGUCUUUCUGUGUUACAAUAUCUUGAAAUCUGUCGUUGAUCUCUUUGAUUUUGGACAUUAUGGCGUAAUCGAACUGAAUCGAUUGUGGAGUAAAAGUGGUGCAGCAAGUAGGAAUGAGCUUCUGAAACUUACUUGUUCUUGUACGACUGCUACUGGGUUGAUCCUGAGCCGCAGCUGGAUCUCCAUUUCCAAGCAGCAACUUCCUCCGGAAAGCCUCAGUUUGAAACUCAUCCAGCAAGUCUUCAACAUCAAAAGCCAAGUUCUGAAGCUCAUCAAGCCACAACUUCACAGACUGAUCAGUCUUCUUCUCCUCAGCAUCAGCAAGCACCGCCUUGAUCAUCACCAACAUAUUCUUCCACUUCUUUAGGUCGGCUUGGAUUUGCUCUUGGCGUGCAAACAGCCGAAUCCCCUCUGAAGCUAACUUACUGACCAGCAAAUCAACGGACGCCGUAAGGAUUGCCUCUCCGAUGAAUGACAUUUUUUGUUCUUUUUCUUUUUUUUUGGUUUUGCAAAGAAAGAAAGGAGCAGAAUUAUGGGUUAUGGAAAGCAGAAUGAGAAAAUGGAACAGGUGAGAAAAUGGAUAAUUAAGCAGAAUGAGUUUGUGAUUGUGAAGGGUCUGGCCCAGCAAGCUUAGUAGAAAUCACGCGUUUAUACUUUAUUGACCAAUGACUAAUAAUUUGGCAAUUCACUCAUCACCACCACUUGGUAAGUCUUCUACUUAUAAAAGCAAGUUAGAAUAAACGAUUUUAAUCUCUCUUUUUAUUCCUAUAAAUCUUCGCUGUAGAAGUCUUCUACUUAUAAAAGCAAGUUAGAAUAAACGAUUUUAAUCUCUCUUUUUAUUCCUAUAAAUGUACUAUUUUUUUUUUAAUCUCAAUGCGAAGUCGUAUCAUAAUGUUAUAUUCCUGCUGGAAAACGAAAUUUUAGAUAAAACAAAUUCGACUCAUUUCUUAAAAAUAUAUAUUUAGUAGGUUACUAACAUAACUAACAAAACAUGAUUAUUACACUAAUAAAAGACAGUACUAUCACCAAUAAUUUAGCAAGUUUCGCAUAUACGUGUUUCUAGAAACAUUAUAUGGAAUCAAACAACAGUGAUGCAAAGAGCAAAGUGGAAAUCCUCUGAUUGUAUAAUAAUUUGCACCUUGAUAUUUGUAGGGUCCAGCAACAUUGACCCAGUGUGCGGGUACGUGCGGAAUAGAGGAAAAUGGAAUGCAUCCACUAUCCACUACGAACCUUCGCUUUACAAGUCUUCAAACUCAUAAACCAAGUUAAAUCAAAACGUUUAUCUCUCUCUCUCUUUUUGCCAUAUAAUUACUUUAUUUAUUGAAUUAAUUUCCAUGCUAAAAUGAACACUUAAAAGUGCACUAUAAUUUUUUAUAAUCACAAUGGUAAUUCCUACUAUCAUGUUAUUUUAAUGUCGCGUCAAAAUAAAUUAUAACAAAGUUUUUUUUCAUAUGAAUACUCUUUUCAUUUAUGAAUUUUUCAAUUUCUAAUAUUUUUCUCACUCUUUUAAUCUUAAUAUUUGUAUUCAUUUUGUUCAAACUUUUUUAUUAUUUAAUUUUUAAAGAAAAAUCUAAAAAAAGUAAGAAAAAUAUUAUACUUAGAAAAUAAUGAAUAUUUUAUGGAUCUAAUACAAUAAAGCACUUAUUUAUUUAUUUACAUGUUAUGUCAACGAAGCAAACUUGAAUAUUUUUGAAUGUUGUAAGCUUGUAAAGAAUCAAUAUAUUAUUUCUACAAAAGAAAAUAAUAUAUUAGAUAUUUAAAGCAUAAAAAAUAGAUGUUAAUUGAUGAAAUUUGAUUUAGGAAAGAUGGCUAAGAAAACAGUGGUGUAACAUCAUUUUAUUCAUGUCUAAAAAACCUAAACAUGACCUCUAUUUAUAAAUACACUUAUACCCUAUUAUUUGAGUUGUCAUUCUUUUAUAAUACUCCUUCACCAUUAGAUCAAACAAUCGAAUCCCUACUAUAGCUAAUUAACUUAUUGACCAGUAACUUAAAAGAUGCCAUAAGGAUUGCCUCUCUGAUGAUUGGCAUUUUUUUCUCUUUUUUUUUUUUUUUGGUGGGUGGGAAGAAAGAAACCGAAUUAUGAGUUUAUAGAAAUUAAAGCGAAUAAGAAAGUGAAUUACAGCAGAAUGAGUUUGUGAUUGUGAAAGGUCGAGCAAGUGUAGAAAUCAAGUAGGCAAAACCCACCACGAAAGUUAAAAAGGAAAAAUAGCGUCCACCACAAAUAUAAAUUUGGAGGAACUCAUGAUCAUUUAUUUGCUUUACAUAUUAAAUUAAAUAAAAGCCAAACCAAGAAUCUCACCUUUGCUUAACAUGAUUAAUUAGGCACUACUUCAGGAAUAAAACUUAAAACAGAAUCCUGAAACAUAUUUCCUUUCCAACUUUUGUCAAAUUGUAAGUCACUUAACGGGUACUAAAAUCAUGAAAAUCAAUCUGAGCAUGGCAAAAUAAGUGACUAUCAAAUCCUAAAAACUUAGAGCCUAAAAUCCACGAAUCAUAAAAGAUACAAUUCGACAAAGAGAUUAUAUUAGAAACCAAAUUAAAAUUCAACCUGAAAAGAAAUUAUAUGAAAUCACUUAUCAAUAGUUAUGGGAUUCAAUGCUGAACUGAAUUUUUAUUAAACAUUAAAUUAAUGUAAAUUAAUGACUGUUUGACAAAUUUGAAUGUUAUGCAAAAACUUAGCUCGGGAUUGGAUAUUUAUAUGGAGUUAAAAUUGUGGGUUUUGAUAAUUUCUUAGAUAUGGGAGUUACAGUAAGUUACCAAAUAUGGAUAGUUAUUAAGAAUAUAAAUGAAAUAAAAUAAAAAUAAGUGGUUACUUACUGUAUCAUCUAUCAAAAAAAAAAGAUAACUUGCAUCAACCGUUGUGGUAUUGACACCUAUCUUGAGCUAGUAAAAGUGGAAGUUUCCCAAUUGAAAGAAAGUGACGGGAAGAUGCUGUGGUGUUGAUACUUAUCUUGAGCUAGUAAAAGCGAAAGUUUCCCAAUUGAAACAAAGUGAAUGGAAGAUGCUAUGCUUUAAUUAUUAUUAUUAUUAUUGACGUGUUCGAGAAGUAAAACCAUGAAUGCGAUGAAGUAUAAAUCAGAAAGCUAUGGCCCGGAAUUCAUUUUCACAUUUCAAAAGUUUGAAGAGAGUUUAUCCAUUCUUCUAAACUAAGAAAAUCAAUAUUCUUGCUUUCUUCAAGCGUUGAAUAAAAAAAAAAUUAUUGAAUAAGGAGGAAAUUAGAAUGUAUCGCUAACCUAAAAUAAAUAAAAAAAAAUCUCUUUUAUUACUAAAGUACACUAUUUUUUUAAUAAUUGUAUUGACAAUGACAAUAUACAUCAUCGAUUAUAUUCUUGUUGUGUUGAAAUAAGAUAUAAAAAAUUUUGGAUCGAGGAAUUCGACUCAUUUAUUAAAGGUACAUAUUUAAUAUAGAGUAAUGAUAUAAUCAUAUACAAAUUUAUCUUGUACAAACUGAUGUGACAUAAUAAAAUUAGUUGAAUUAAAUAUCUCUUGAUUCAUAUAAUUUAUUUCUAUUAUUUUAUAUUUUCAUUCAACCAAUGAAUUAAUGACACAUCAGUUUGUAUAAGAUAAAUUUACAUAAAAAAUUAUGAAUGUCUCAUUAGGACACAUGGCUACCAACUAUUGGAUGUGUACGUUACAUUAAAUGUAACAUAGCAAGAUCCUUCUUUAAUAUACUAAAAACAAAAAUUAACAUAACACGAUUAUUACACUAAUGUGAAAUGAAAGCCAGUACUCACCAGUUCACCAACAGUAAUUUAGCAAACUUUGCAUUCUCGUGUUUGACAGUUUGAGGCAGUGGACAUUGGUGAAUUAACCAAAGGAAGACGUUCUUUUAUAAUUCGGGUAACGCCGGUCUGUCCUGGAAGAAGCUAAAGACACGACAGUGUUUUGGUAAGACUGGAAUUUUCUGGACCGUUAGAUUUCUUUAUCGUGUGUCCAUAGAUAGUGACAUUUAGUUGACUAUUUUGACAUCUACCAGCCCGUGGCGUUUUGUUUUCGUUCGCCUGGCGUUUUCAUCGCUCUAUCGUCUUCGAUCUUUUUAUGUAGGGAUGAUAAUGGAUUGGAUCUGAUCUAAGAUACACAUGAUUCAAAUGAAUCGGUUUAAAAUGAAUUUAGAUCGGAUUUGGAUAUCGAUGUGCAGAUUUGGAGCAUAUUUGAAUAUAUCUUAAUAUCUAAAUCCAUAUACAUAUCCACUCAUCUUUUAAUUUUAUUUUAUUUUAAAAUUUUCUUAAUAAUUAUGGAAUUAUAAUGGUAAUAAAUUUUAUUCAUAGCAUAUUAGUAGUAUUUACCAUGCAUUUAAACUCUUAAAACUUAAAUAUUAGUUUUGUAAAUUUAAAAGUCAGUCAGCCCCAAAGCACAUAUAUGCAAUAUUCAAAUUACAAGUCAAGUAAUAUAACCUGGUAAUUUAUUUUAUUAUAUUGGCCAAAUAAUUUUUAAGGAAUAUAGUUAUUCAUAUAUUUAAUCAAAUAUGGUCAUAAUAAAAAUAAUAAAAGAUUGAAUAUAAAUCAUAUUUAAUUUAUACGUCAUUAUCUAAUGUUGUAGAAAUGAUGGUAGGUGUAUCGCGGAUAUUAGAAUGAUGAAAGAGACAAUAGAAUAUUAGAUUGAUCUUGCUCCUGCAAUUACUUCUAAAUGAUAUUUUAUUAUCUUUCUUAUUUGUUGUUUUGGUGUCUUGGUGUCAAAGUAUAAGCUACAAUAUUUAUUAUAUUUUUGAGAAAAAUUAUAUAAUUUAUUUGUUAUCAAUACAUUUUAGCCUUCAAUUUUCAAUCUAAACAAUUAUUACUUUUUUAUUACUGAAUUUUAAAAUUCAUGACGGAUCUAGAGCAGAUUUAGAUUUUAAUUUUUUUUUCAGAUUUAGAGCAGAUAUAAAUAUUUAUUUCGUUUUUAGAUCUGAAUAUAAAGCGAAAAAUAUGAAUUCAUGACGGAUCUAGAGUAGAUAUGGAUCUUAAUUUUUAUUAUGAAUUUGGAUCUACUCUAUUUUAGAUCCAACCCAUAUCUAAAAUAGAGUAAAUUUAACCCAUAUAUGUCCGGUUACCAUCCCUAUCUUUCUGGCAACAUGGGUAUAUGUGUAUGGUAAACUGUGCUAGUGAAGAGUGUCGACAUGAUGCUGUCACCUUGCUUUAAUUAAUUGCGGUUUAUAAAAUAGAGUGCUGCUAUUCACCCCGAUUUUUAACCCCGAAACGCGCCCCGAAUUUAAAACGCACCGUUUUGAUAAAAUUGAAAACGGUGCGUUUAACCCAUGUUUCUUCCUUUCCUUUCUUUUGCCAAACCACGGAAACGGACCUUUGCUUCCUUUUCGUUUAAUCCUAUCAUCUUGUGGUCACUGCCGCUGCUACUUCCUUCAAGAUCGAGCUCUCUGCCACUGCAGCUUCAAAGCCGUCCGAUCAAUCGACGAUCCGACACCAGGGCCCAUCAACUGGCGCGUCUGCCUCAGCUUCUUCUUCGUCCUCUCCGGCGUACACGGAAGAGCAAAUCGCGAUCGUGAGACAGAUUAAGAAAAUGAAAGAUUAUUACGUGCGUUGAUGGCUCUGAUGGGUUUAAUUUACGUGCGUUGAUUCAGUUGUUGCCUGUGAUUUUGAUAAUUCUCUUGUAGUUUUUGCCGUCUUCUGAUCCAAUUUAUGCCUUGUCGAGGUCUUACCCUUAUGAGUACAAGUUUACAACGGAAAGAGGGGUGAAUUUUUAUGUGAAGUCUAGCAAAUUUGAGCAAGACUAUCCGUUGGGUAGUGUUCAGAGAGUGAGGCUGGAAAAGCAAGUUGAAAAGGAUUACUUUACUAUUCUUGCACAAAAUUGCCGGUUAGAGAUUCAGCGGCAAUAGUGGGGUUUUAUAAAGGAGACUCCCCAUUGUGACAUGUGGCAGAAGUUUCAGUAUUCACCAGCUUGGUAAAUCUGACAAUAAUUCUAUAGUAAUAUGCAUAAAGGUUGCUUGAUUGUGCUGCUAUGAUAUUCAUUAUUCAGAUAGGAGUAGCAACCGUGUUACUGAAAUCUGGUUCAAUGAAACAAGCUGAAGCAAAACUGAAGUAAUUUUCUCCCACAUUCAAUUAAUGCAUCUUCAAAUCUUUCAUAAAGUUGAUCCUCUCCUCAGUCUGCAAAGCGGAGUGUUGUGGUUCACGCUUGCGCAAAUAGAAGAAGAAAGAAAAUGUUCACGUGCUGCACAGGUGGAACUAAAUGGGAAAGCAAUCAAAGCAAAAAAGCAAAAAAGCAAAGAAGCAAUUAACGCAAAAGGAAAACAGUCAAAGCAAAAAGGAAAUCAAAGCAAAACGCACCGUUUUGACAAUAUUCGGGGCGCGGUUUCGGGGUUUAAAAUCGGGGUAAGUAGCUUUACUCUAUAAAAUACGCCUAAAAAAAAUGUUCACGUGUUUGCAGUUUCAGUCUGCAAAGCGGAGUGUUGUGGUUCACGCUUGCGCAAAUAGAAGAAGAAAGAAAAUGUUCACGUGCUGCACAAGUGGAACUAAAUGGGAAAGCAAUGUAGAAUUGAUUAUUGCUGUAUGUUGGGCGAUUUGGUACUCCAGAAACUGUUUUAUUUUUUAUGGCAAAGAAGAGAAUCCUUUUAUUUCAGUGGCACGAGCAGCAGCUAUUGUAGAGUCUUUCAAGAGGGUUAAAAUCUCAAAAGAUCAAGCAAUCUCAAGGCAUGGGCAAAUCAGUCAGCAAACAUGGACAGCUCCCCCAAAUGGCUGUUUUAAGGUGAAUGUGGACGCUGCAGUAAAAGUUUCAGAGCAAAAGGCAGGCUUGGGAGUAGUUAUAAGAAACUCCAGGGGAAGGGUUGUGGCAGUAGCAGUUCAAAAUGUUCCAUUUCGAGGCAUUGUAGCUAGUAUGGAAGCUGAAGCUGUUUUGUUUGGAAUUGAAACUGCUCAACAGGUGGCUUGUGUGCCAAUGGUCAUUGAGUCAGAUUCAAAGGAGGUGGUGGAUCUUUCAUUAAACAGAAAGGAAAGCAAGACAGAAAUAGAAUGGAUUAUUGCAGAAAUCCAGACAAAGCUUAGUGAUCCAGAGCCAAGCAUCAAUCCAAUUUGCUCCAAGGGGCUGUAAUAUAGCUGCUCAUUAUGUAGUAAAGAAAGCUUUAGAAGUUGAAAAUCAGUGUAUUUGGCUGGAAAAUUUCCCAGUUCAUGUUUCGUUGUUACUGUCAAAGUUCUGUUAAUGAAAAGCUUUACUUCCUUAUCAAAAAAAAAGAAAGGGGAAGCAAUCAAAGCAAAAAAUCAAAAAAGCAAAAAAGCAAAGAAGCAAUCAACGCAAAAGGAAAACAGUCAAAGCAAAAAAGAAAUCAAAGCAAAACGCACCAUUUUAAUAAUAUUCGGGGCGCAGUUUCGGGGUUUAAAAUCGGGGUAAGUAGCUUUUCCCUUAUACGAUAAAACUUAUCUUAAAAUUAGGCGACAAGAUUAUGAAAAGGAUAACUUAUAAGACUAUUAGUACAGAAACAGAGGAAAAAUAAUAUGCUGAAGCAGCGAUUUGCCUAUUUGAUUUUUUCGGAGAAGAUUGAUAUUUAAAUUUCAUUGUUGAUUCAACCAACCAUAAAUAAUUUAUCUUUUAUUCAACAAAUCAUAAUUAUAAACCAUCUUUUAUAUGAUUUUUUUUUUAAAAUUCCAAAGGAAAUGGUAUUUUGAAAUUGCGCAGUAUUUGAUUGAUAUUAUGUUUUAUAUUUUCCUAUCAACAAAAUUAUUGAUUUUGCAGGGAUCACAUUCAUGCUCCCACCUUUCUCACACAUGAGGCGUUAAUUAUUAUUUGAGUUUUGACUGGGGAAGUGGACGUCUCUUCUGAUUUGAAGAAUAUGGAAUCUACCCGUGCGGAAUUUUUUUUUUUCUCUCUCUCUUCUGAUUAGCAGAAUUCGCCAACGAAAAUGAUAUUUUAAUAUGUGCAUUUAUGGAUAAGUUUUCUUAUCUAAAUUCCUGCUGUACAUUGGAUAGAAUAAAUACAAACAAUCUUUUAUAUAUAAAAAAUUUUGAAAAUUCCAAAUGAAAAGAUAUUUUGAAAUUGCGCAGCUCUGGCCAGGGAUCACCUUUUUUCCUUGCUAUUAUUAUCUACAAUAUAUUUAUUUUUGCAAUCCGCAUGCAUGCUUGGUUAUGAUCACCCACGUGAUCGGUAUUACGUUUCUUCUGAUUUGAACAAUAUGGAAACUACCUGUGCAAGUUUUUUUUUUUUUUUUGGGCGAAUUUCAGUUGAAUGUCAUUUAUAAUUCUUAUUUCAAUAUAUUUAUAAAUAAGUUUAAUAAUAUUAAAUUUUCACUUAAGAAUGACCGGUGGGAGGGUUAAGCAGAUAUGCCUGAUUUGGGUGUUGGAAUAUUUAUAGUGGCCCAUGUGCCACAUUAUUGAAUUAGUAAUAAUUUAAAAUUUAAAUGAUAAAAUAAAUAAUAGGCCAAAAUCUUAUUGGUCAAUUGGGAAAAUCUAAUUGUCCACUUUGAUGGAAAGCGGAAAUAAGAAUUUUAUUGAAAUUGAUCAUCUCUUUAUAUAUAUAUAUAUAUAUAUAUAUAUAUAACGUUAAUUUUCCUCCGUCAAGAAAGUGAAUCACUCUAAAGGAGUCAAGAAAUAGAAAUUAAUUUUACUAAUAUUUAAAAUUUUACAGUGAGAUUUGAUCAAGAAAAUUGCUAUGGAUCAAAGUAUGUUUUCUCUCAAUGAUGAUGUGAAAAUCAUAAUAUUCUAUGAUCUUAAGCAUUGAAGUUUAUGAAAAUUAGGGUUUAUUUGUUUUAUAAGAGUUGUAAAAAUUCUCAACAAUUGGUAGCAGAACAUGGUUUAAGAAUUCAUGAUUUUCCAUUAAGAUCUGUAAUAACCCUUUCUUAAUUUUCAAUUAUCCUUGUGGGUACAUGUCAAUUUGGAUUAUUAUUCCACAUAUACAUAAUGUAUAAAGAACAUUACUGGCAUAGAAAUUUUUUGCACCAAAAAAAAUAAAAAAAUCCAAGAUGUUUUUGACUGUUGGCGGCACAAUACAGAAAGGUGAAAUUAGGUUAUCUUUUGGAGUUUUUCAUGAGACACCCUAAGGUUGUUUUGGUUUAUGUUUUUGGCCAAAGUUUAGAAUUUUGUUUCAUUUAAGUCCAAUUGAAUUUGCAACGGCCACCACAUGCUGUUUUUCGAGUCGAAAUUUAGGAACAAUUGCAUGUGAAAUUUCAGUUAGUCCCUGAUAUUCUAUUUUAUUACAUUAAAGAUAUGAUUAAUUGGAUUUAGUAUGAUAAAGCCGCCGACUUUAUGCGCAUCAAGCAUUAUAAGUUUUGUUCUCAUAAUUUUGAAUGCUUUCGCUCAUAAUUUUGAAUGCUUCCUCUAGCUUCCUUUCGUGAAACGUACUAACAAAUUAAGAAAUCAUCCAAUAUCUUUAGUACAAAUCCAAAUAGUCUCAUUUUGACUUUGAGCAAGCUUUUUAAUUCCACACUCAGAGAUAAAAUUUUGUGAAUUCACAUUAUUUAACAAAAUAAUUAACAAAUUAAUUGUGAUUAUGGUUGACGAUUGUUUGAGGGAUAUACUUCGACGAGGCCAACGGUGACAAGCAGAUACCUGGUAGCAGAAUGUACUUCGACGAAGACCAGCUGUGGUGAGCAGACAGCUGGUAGCAGGGUCUCGCGAGCAAGCAUAUACCGUAAGAAUCUGGCAGCAAGGGGAGCAGGAGCAGGGAUAUUCUGCUCAUCCACGAGGCCAAUCUCCUGCUGGAAGCAUAAAGUCAUUCCUGCUACAUUCCUGCUAAGGGUUGAGUCGAGGAGACCCGGUCAACGACAGUUGGCGAGGCGUGCUCUCCAGUCCGAGAAUCAAGGCACGAAGGCCACGCAACCACCCACGACUACGGAAAUGUGGCAUCCACUUUCAAGAGGUGGGAGGAUAACGAGCGCGAGUGGAGGCAAGGCCCGAAUCAGAAGUGGCCUAUAAAAAGGUAGCCAACGAAGGUAAAAGGGUUAGAAUUUUCGCUAUUUGAACUAAGAAAAGAGAACUCUAAGAAUUGAGAUUAUAGAAAAGUCAUAAGAUCCGUGGCAAGCGUUCCCAGAACCUUCACAUCUGACUUGAGCGUCGGAGGGUUUACGCCGGGAAAACAACCGGCGUGCUCUGACUCGUUUCUGUGAACGCAGGGAUACUUGGAGAAGAAAGCAUACGAGGAGAGAUCUUGAUCGAGGUGAAGUUGAUCGAGCAGAUAUCCUGGUCGUAGGACGGACAUAACCGGAAUCUCGCAUCAACAUUUUGGCGCCGUCUGUGGGGAGCUGAGCAAAAAGCUUCUGUUGAUAGCAAGAAGAGAAGGGAAGCAACUGAAAAGCAAUGGAGACAGGAGGAAGUAGUGCACAAGGGGGUGAUAUGAGGCUUAACGAUUCCGUGACGCUGAGGGAGAUAGCCAGUGAAGCACGGGAAAAAGCCAUGUUCGACCGGAUGGAACGGAUGGAAAAGCAGAUGGAGCCCUUGACAACCAUCCUGCAUGAUCUGCGGAGUGAACGAAGAGUAACCCAGGAGGAGAGGGUGAGAGGUGGUGGAGUGGCACUAGGUCCCGAUAGUGCGAGGAGAAGUCAAACCACCGGGAGAUUUGGUGGUGAGAGAGGUAACAUACCUCUACGGGGGGAAUUUCUUAGAGAGGAAGAGCAGUCCCCGGCAAGACAGAUUUUUGACGAAGACGACGGGGUGGCGAAUGCAGAGGAAACAAAGUUGAGGCAACACUUGCACGAUGUAGUGCAAGAGCGGGAUCAAGUUGCAGCACGUGACCCUGGUCGUGCAGUGCAGCUGGAGGAGGAAGUGCGUAGACUAGCGCAGAUAAUUGACGAUAUGCAAGGAAGGAGCAGAGCUCCUGGUUGGAGGAUAAUGCUGGACGGAGAAUCACCGCUUGCAGCAGAUAUCAUGAGGGCAGUUAUUCCGAGAGACUUCCGUCUCCCGGACCUUAGAUAUUCGGGACGAACUGAUCCGCUAGUGCACAUAGAACGCUUCAAUGACAUAACGGGGGUACAAGGAUUAUCUCAAUCCCAAAGGUGCAGGGUGUUCCCACUAUCCCUUGAGGGACGUGCACGAGAAUGGUACAGGAAACUUCCUCGGGGCAGCAUUAAAACCUUCGAGCAGAUAUGCCAGGAGUUUGCAGAGCAGUUUCGUGGAGCAAUGGCACCAGAAGAUGACAUGAUGGAGCUAAAAAGCAUGAAACAGGGGGAGCAAGAAACCCUUCGGGAAUUCAUCAAGAGGUUUCAUCGUGCUGUCCUCGACUUGGGAGCCUUCAACCACCCUCAGGCGUUAAGGGGAUUGAAAGAAGGGGUGAAGAUAGGAAGGCUGUGGUACAACUUGAGAAGCCCAGUUAUUCAGACGUAUGCGGCCGCAUACGAGCAGGCUAAGAGAGACAUUGAGAUUGAAGAGGAGAAGGCAGCACGGAUUAAGAUAGACCAGUUAGAAGGGUUGGGGAGGAAAGAGAAGAAGGCAUUACCGGGGAAUGGGCCGAUCAGGAGGAGGGACCACCAGGCCUCGGGUAGUGGAGCAAGAGGUUGGGUAACUGCUUACCAGUCUCAUCAGAGGCCACCACAGUAUCAGCGCAGCAGGGCGCAACCUCCUCGUUCCCCAGCUAGGGAGCCUUGGAGGAGGCAUGAUUCGGCAUAUGGUGGUCUUCAUCAACAUUCCCACGGUAGCAGAGGGAGCAGAUCAGAAGUACUGCCACCGCCCCCAACUCAGAACAGGGCAAACAGAGAAAGAGCAGUGCACCUGAUCGACCAAGACCAGGACUAUGGGCGGUAUACUUCCUUGAAGAUGUCCCUGGACGAGGUGUACGAGGCCAUAAAGGAUCGGGGGUUGCUAUACCUCCCUGCUCCAAUAACAAAGCUACCCAGCAGGAGGGAUAGGGGACGCUAUUGUAAGUUCCAUGGCACUCAUGGCCACACCACAGCAGACUGCAGAGAUCUUAAGACCCAGGUUGAAGAUUUGGUGAGAAAUCGGUAUCUGGACGAGUUUAUAGAAGGGACCUUCCCAAUGGUAGCCUCAACAAGUGAAGGAGAGCAGAGUGAUAGGAAUUUGAGGCGCGAGCAGCCUGCAGUAAGGGUUAUAGCUGGGGGCCCAACAUUGGCCGGAGAUUCCAACAGGUCGAGGAAUUUCAUUCAUUUGAAACUGUGAUAAAUUCUCUAAGGCAUGCAAAGGCUCGUCAAGUCUCAAAGCCUGUUUUAUGGCGAGACAGAAGCCAAGCGUGCCAGGAUCUGCUCGACCACGCGAAGGCGAGCAGAAUCCCCAAGCAUUGAAGAAUUUCUAAGGCAUGCAAAGGCUCGUCAAGUCUCAAAGCCUGUUUUAUGGCGAGACAGAAGCCAAGCGUGCCAGGAUCUGCUCGACCACGCGAAGGCGAGCAGAAUCCCCAAGCAUUGAAGAAUUUCCAAGGCAUGCAAAGGCUCGUCAAGUCUCAAAGCCUGUUUUAUGGCCAGACAGAUGCCAAGCGUGCCAGGAUCUGCUCGACCACGCAAAGGCGAGCAGAAUCUCAAGCAUUGAAAAUUUUCCUAGGCAUGUGACAAAACCACACGCCGAGCCAAAACCUGCUCAAACAAACGAAGACGAGCAGAGUCUCAAACAACUCAUGAUUACAACACAAGAAAGUAAUCAAAAACGUUUUUAUUAAUUUGUUAAUAAGUAACAGAGGAGAGAAUCUUCACAAACAUUAUUCAUUACAAUACAAGAAAUAUAUUAAGAGGACGGCGGAUCAGUAAGCCGAGCAGAUUCUGUUGGCUGGUCCACUUCAGGCGCAGGAGGGGUAUCACCAGCUGCAUCUGGGGGGGUACUCGCCUCACCAGCAUCAGCAGGGAUUACAUGGGGAGGAGAGUUUUCCUCCUCAAUCACAAUUGGCACCGUCUCCUCGGCAUCUUCCUUUGCAGCCUCCUCGUCCAUAUGUUGGGCGACACCAGCUGCAAGGUCGUCCAUCUUUAGAUUAGGAUGCUGCUUCCCGAGGACGGCCAUGAUGCAGCGAUAGGAAUGCCGAAGUCCCUGGUCGUACUGGUUGUCAGCCUCCUUCUCCAAGUUCUCGACCUGAACCCGAUGAGAAUCGCGGAGAGAUUCGAGCUGAGCCUCGUACAUAGCUUUCUGCCUUUGCAGAUCCUCCUUGACCUUAGUCAGCUCUUCCUCGAGAGUAAUGGCCUUUGCUUGAGCAAGAGAUUCCUGCUCUAUCAGCUUCAGAUUCUCGAGAUUCAAGUCUCCCGCUUUCUUCUCGGCAGCAUCGGCUCUGGUCGUCUCCGAUUGAAUGUCCUCCUUCAUCUUCCGGUCGUAACGGCCAACCUUGGCCUUGUAGUAGGUGGUCAUACAGCUGAGGUGGAAGGCGCUAUACUGCAUGGCCCCCACUAGCUCGCCCAGGGUGCAGCCAUCAAAGUCCUCCAGAUCCCUCUUACUCACGAGUUUAGAUAACUCAUUGAGAUAGGGGACCAUGUGUUCUGCUCAGCUGUCAGGUAAGCGAGACCGAGGCCCGACAGGAGGAGAAGAGGAAGCAGGAUCAGUGGCUGCCCCACUAGUUUCCCCGACUUUAGCAGGAGCAGGAGGUAAAGUCUUCAAGGGAGAGACCCGCUGCACGAUGUUGGCCCGCUUUGCAGUAGGGGCGUCCUUAUUCUGGUCCCUCUUUGUGGUUUGAGGUCGAGAACGUUUCCUGUUCAGGGCCCCAAUCACAGCAUCCUCCAUCUUAUGACCAGGGAGUAUCAAGCGAGACUCGAGCAAGUUGUAUGUAGUAAUCAGUUCCCGACUCGAGCAGGAAUUGGCUAGCACAGCCUCGACCCGUUUGAGCUGGUCAGGUUCGAGCGAGAAAUGAACACCCCAAGAAACUACAACACAAACAGACACUUGGUUAGAGACAAACAAAUAAAGCAAGAACAAUUAUGGAUACGAGACGUCUAAAGCGAGCAGGCAACCUGGGACCGUGAAACGGGGUGGGACGCGAUAAUCCUUCCCGUCUAUUUGCACAACUUGACCCCAAGGACCCCCAGCAAAAAAGAAUUUCCUCUUCCAAUUCCCACCACCACUAGUAGGGAGGUCGGUUAUGGGUUUCCUGGUCUUGGUACUAGAUUGGAAGUAGUACCAGCCUGCAUCUUUGGGGCUGUUCUUUAGCUGGUACAGGUGCAUCACCUCGUCAACUGUGGGCUCACUUUGGCAACAUCUGUCCCACAAUAUUAACAGACCAGAAAGCACUCUCCACCCGUUUGGGUUCAGCUGACCAAGAGAUAGAUUCAGCCCAGUAAGUAUCCGGGCAAAGUAAGGUUGCAAGGGACACCUCAGCCCAUACUUAAAGCUAUCCAGAUACAGGGUAACGUAUCCCCUAGGAGGCCGGCUAAGGAGUAUCUUUCUUUCCUGGGACCUUGAGAGGGAUUUCACCAGGGAUGCUAUACCUAAGCCGGAGGUCGUCGAGGUCAUCAAACGUGGUUGUGCACGUCAUGUAAUCAAUAGCGUAAUCCCGCGAUAGGGCUCUACCUCCUACUGUACUCCGCCCUCCUGGUCGCGAUGUUCCUGAUGGGGACACCUCACCAGAAUCACCUCCUCGAUCCUCGCUCAGGGUAUUUUCCGAGCCAGAAGAUCCCACAUCACCGCUACUUCCGCUCGAGGAGGUUGUUUGUGGGGACAUCUUCCUAGCGCUAGUACCAACACUAGAUCUAAUGGUUUCUAAGGGGAUCGCGGAAUCAAAAGCAGGAUCGGUGAGCAGACCAGGCAAGAAACGCAGCUCGUCGUCAUCAAUCUCAACGAUUUUCUCCUUACCCUUCGACAUUCCCUAAAGUUAUAACCUAAACACUACCACCAACUACUACCCCAAGCAAAAGCAAAGAGAAAAGAAAUUAUCUACGACUAACCGAGACCAAGAAAAUAGAAGAAAUACCUGAAGUAGGGACUCGGUCAGAGAGAGGCAGGGACGAAAGCUUUAAUGCCGAGGUUCAUUCGCCGGAGAGACAAGAAGGGAGAAAAUGACGAGUUCAAGUUUUGGGAUUUUGGGUUUUCUUACUGAGAAGCAAACCCUUGGGCUGCCAGCAUUUAAUGAUACAUAUUUCGAGAAACUUGCAACCGUAGGUUUAAAUUUCAAAAUGGAGGGGCAUAUUUCUGCCACAUCACCUCAUCCGCAAUUAAGUGCGACACGACUCCUGACAGCCUUUUCCAAUCCCACGCGAGCAAGUACUGUCAAGUUUCUACUGCUGGUCCACUACAUUACCCAACACCAGAAACUGGGGGACCGGUGUUUGAGGGAUAUACUUCGACGAGGCCAGCGGUGACAAGCAGAUACCUGGUAGCGGAAUGUACUUCGACGAAGACCAGCUGUGGUGAGCAGACAGCUGGUAGCAGGGUCUCGCGAGCAAGCAUAUACCGUAAGAAUCUGGCAGCAAGGGGAGCAGGAGCAGGGAUAUUCUGCUCAUCCACGAGGCCAAUCUCCUGCUGGAAGCAUAAAGUCAUUCCUGCUACAUUCCUGCUACAUUCCUGCUAAGGGUUGAGUCGAGGAGACCCGGUCAACGACAGUUGGCGAGGCGUGCUCUCCAGUCCGAGAAUCAAGGCACGAAGGCCACGCAACCACCCACGACUACGGAAAUGUGGCAUCCACUUUCAAGAGGUGGGAGGAUAACGAGCGCGAGUGGAGGCAAGGCCCGAAUCAGAAGUGGCCUAUAAAAAGGUAGCCAACGAAGGUAAAAGGGUUAGAAUUUUCGCUAUUUGAACUAAGAAAAGAGAACUCUAAGAAUUGAGAUUAUAGAAAAGUCAUAAGAUCCGUGGCAAGCGUUCCCAGAACCUUCACAUCUGACUUGAGCGUCGGAGGGUUUACGCCGGGAAAACAACCGGCGUGCUCUGACUCGUUUCUGUGAACGCAGGGAUACUUGGAGAAGAAAGCAUACGAGGAGAGAUCUUAAUCGAGGUGAAGUUGAUCGAGCAGAUAUCCUGGUCGUAGGACGGACAUAACCAAAAUCUCGCAUCAACAACGAUCAUGUUGAUAAGCAUCAUAAACAAAAUGAUUGUUGUAGAGGCUGAAAUUCCAAAAGUUUCGUUGCAUAUUUAGGGAAAUGUUGCAAGGACGAAGUAUCACUUGGCUGUAAGAAUUAGUUACCCAACAAUUUAUGGAGUUUGUUUUAGGUAAAAUAAAUAAUAGAGCAAAAUUAAGCCGACAUGGAUGUAUGUGUGUAUAUAUAGUCCUUCUCUAAUAUGGACACCUCUUGUUUUUUUUUUUUUUCUACAUAGACACACUAGUAAAAAAAAAAAAAAAACUCUUGUAUAGCUCAAGAGAUUUUAUAAGUUGAACUAAACCAAACAGAGACACUCACACAAUUGAUAAAUAAUGAUAACCCAUUAUUUUAUUUAAUUAAUAUAAUACAGAAAGAGUAACUUGCACUUAACCAGUGUAGUCGGAUUUCUUCCGUGUUGAUGGACAAUAAAGAGAUCCAGAUUGUCGUUUAUGCUCUCAUCAUUAACAAUACUGAUAAGAGAUAUUGGAUAACCCUUAGACCACUCAACCUUCCCUAAAAAUUCACAACAACAAUUGUAUUCAUUAAUACAUAUAUUAAAAUAAAAAUUAGAGAUAUAUAGAAGGAUAAAAUUAAUUUUUGUGAUUCUUGUUGCCUUAAUCUGCUCUUCACUUUCAAAAUGGGGCCUGUAUGUACGGUUUAAUACGUUCAUAUAUUAUGACAUAGAAUGUCAAAAACACCCCCUUAGAAUUCUGGGAGUUAAAGUUUACCCUUUUCCGACUAAUCCUCCGGCUGAUAAUACUUGUGUCUCAAUUAAUUAAUUAAUUAAUCGGGGAUCAGCCGCCAUAAAAGAUGACUAAACUAUCUCAUUAAUUCCCAUGAUCCCUAGUUUGGUUGUUUGCGUGUCUCGUGCGUAUGGCUAAUGAAUGCUUUUAACAAAAUGAAAAUUUUCUGUAGUGCUCACUCCUAAUCUUAAUUUAUUUCCAAUUGCCACAUUAAGAUUGUGGGUUCUAGCGCUUGGAUUCACUUAUUAAUCUUCCACCAAUAUUAAGUUAUUGUCAUGUCUUGUCUAUAAUCUGUAAUUGAGGUAAUGUAAAGUUGUAAACUAGCGGGUUGUAACGUAUAUUGGUAUUUUUUAAAUUCAUAUCCAUAGGGGAGUUUUUUUUUUUUUUUUUUUUUUUUUUUUUUUUUUUCUAAUGAGAGCAUUCACAGUUUGUUAAAAUGAGGAUGUUAUUAAAAUAAAAUUAAAAAAUAAAUAUUUUUAUUUUUAAUUAAAAAAUAUUUUGCGUUACAUAAUAUGGUAUUUAGAUAAGCACAAAAUUAAUACUCAUGUUGUUUUUUUUCUUUUAAUCUAGUUAAUGGAUGAGAUAUUAAUUAUCUUAUUAGGUAAUUUUUCGGAUAGUUUUAAUUUACCUUUAUGGUUUGGGAGAGACUCCUCCAACCGUUUUUAGAAAAGCGACGAAUGCCGGUAAAACUAAGGGGUAGUUAAGAAUAUGGAGAUAAAUAAUCUGUUGAUUAUGGUAGAAAAGGUCUAUUUUUCGGCUAUUUUAAACGAAUUUUAUGACAACAUUAGCCCCUAAAUAGUUGCUAUUGACAAAAUGACAUUCAACUGAACAUGGCCUGAGAACCUGGAUAAGGAGCUUCCAUGUUCUUCAAAUUAGAAAAGAUAUCUUCUAACUUCUGGUGAACCUUAAUCGAAACUGAAGUUGCUUUUGUUUCUGGUUUGAUAAUAUGCUGCUAAUGUAUUUAUGUACGAGUCUUCUUAUAGUACAGUGUUGUAUGCAAUACAGCCCAUUCAACAGUAAAAAGGAAACUUGAAAUUAAAAAUUAUUUUUAAUGUAGAAAAAAUAAAAUAAAACUGAAAAAAUUCAGGAAAUUUUGUAAAUAUUUAACACAAACAAUAUUCGAGUGAAAAAAAUAUUUUUAAUUUCAACAAAAGUUAAAAAAAAAUUAAAAUAAGCAUGCUCGACUCUUUUGGUUAAAUGUCUAUAUAUCAGGUGACAUUCCAAGUUAAUUUCACAUAUACCUAAUUUUGAUUAAACUUUCUCACUAAUUGGUUUGCUUAUCUCCACUUUCCGAUCCACUAGUUUUAUUUUUAAUAUUCCCACUAAACUCGUUAAUUACUAAUCUUUUUCAAAUUAUUUUUUCUCUAUUAUUGUAACUUCAAAUCCUUAUAAAUUACGUAUUGGAGACAUGGAUACAAUGUUUUGACAUAGUAGACUUUUGGCUUGUCUGGAGAAAUUUAGGGUAGAUUUUUAUGCACUAAGGCUCUAUUUACUAUUGAGAUUUUGGAACUUUUAAGCCACACUAGAAAUUUUGUAUUGUUUUGAAUGAGUUGUAGUCUUUGAUAUGUGAUUGGUAUUAAUCAGGUGUUGUGUUUACAAUAGUUAAAGGCAUAUUGAAUCAAAACCCACUUCUAAGGGCUUGAUUGAGUGAUUUUUAAGUAGGUUUCUAGUUUGCUAGCCACUCAAGUUCAAAUAUUGGAACCACAAAACUUUAUAGGCAAGUGAGAGAACUUAUGUCCUAAAAGUUGAGGGGUUCAUAUCGAGUUUUACUACCAAUAAAAGUUGGUGUUAAUACUUUAAAUUUCCUCCUAUUGAUGGAUAGGGGUACUUAGGGGUUUACAUUCCCUCCUAUUAAUAGACAGGGGUUAUUAGGAAUAUUAAAAAAAAAGUUCAAAUAUUGAAAAAAUAGGUAUGGGUUAUAAAAUGCAUAAUAUAAAGACACAAAAUCAAGAUAAAAAAUUAAAAAUUUAGAACCAUGAGAGCGUGACUUGUAAGUUUCAAAGAAGCAUGUGCAAAUAUAUGCAUUAUCGAUGCCCAUUAGGAGUGAACAUUAACAUCAGAUUAACUCGAACUGAACCUAAAAUUUAUUUUGAGUUCAAUUUGAUUAUGGUUGAAGCUUCCAACUGAGUUCAAAACUUAAAAAUGAUUGGGUUGUAUUUCUGUUCGAAUUUAACCCCAAAAGACUAAUCAAUCCAAUAGAGUUAAGUAAGCAAAUUAAGAAAAAAAAAUCCCAAAAAAUUAAAACUAACCCUAACUAAAAUAUUCGACCGCGGCCUCCUCGUUUUCUUUGCUAUUACUAUAAUUUUUUUUAACCAAUUUUCACAUUCAUCAACAUAGGCUGACACAUUUUGUAGAAAAUAAAAUUAAAUAAAAAUACAAGCUCACGAAAUUCCUUUUCCGAUGUGGGAAUCUAUCUACACCUUUCACGUGCCUUUUUUUUUUUUUUUUGGUGGUGGGGGAUUCACUUGCUUUUGUUUGCAUUGCCUUAUUGGAUAAAAGUUUGUAGAACAUCGUCUGUUUGGUUAAAGCCGAGCAUGAGUGAAGAAAAAUUAAAAAUAAAUAAUUUCCCAUUAAUUUACAACAAGUAUUAAUAAAGUGCAUGAGAAAAGACACCAAGAUAUGCCUUUUUUUAAAUGAAAAUAAAUGUGUUAAUUAGUCAAUUUAAAUGGUAUGACAUUUUGAAAUGAUAGAAGCGAUCUAAAGUUUAAAUCUUACUCACACUUAAUUUAGGGUUGGGGAUCAAUUGACGUAAUAUAUAAUAACAAAUUCGAAAGACAAUUAAAAAUUAAAAGAAAAUAAAAAAGUGCUUUCUUUUUUAUGAUGGUAAUUUGUUUAGAUGGUGAAAACUCUUAAGAGUGGUAUUAUCAAUACAUAGUUUCGAGCAUUGCCAACGUGCAUAAUAUUUAAUUUCCUUUAUAUAGUUAUAUCUCAACUAACAUUUAAACAGAAGUAAGUUGUAAAAAAAAUGAACCAUUGAGAUUUGAGAGAACGAAAAACUAAAAAAAAAGUUAAAAAAUUACAUCUCAAUAAAUUUACUUGAGAACUACUUUACUGAUUAGUGAAGAGAAAACACAAAGAAUAAUGAUGUAUCUCAAUUAAUAGGAAAGUUUUUGUAUUUUUCGUUUAUUCAAGAAUCACGAAACUUUAUUUAAACUUGUUAUUUCAUUGAUAAUAUAUUAAUAUUGAACAAUUAAUGUAGGCGACAAUCCUUUCCAAUUAUGCCCAUAUAUUAAUUAACGACCACCAAAAAGUUCAAGGAUACUAUAGUAAUUUAAGUCAACAAUUUCUGUGCUUGAAAUCAGCCAAUCAAACUCACUUUAGAAUAAAAUGAGAAAUCAAAAUCACAUUCUCCAAUUCUACGAUUUCAAUUCAUUUUGUUUUUUCAACUGAAGAAUUGGUUGUAUCUCGUUUUAUUUUUUUAUAAAGAUAAAUAUAAAAUAUAAAUGACGAGGAGACUGUAAAAGUAAAAUUAAAAGAAGAGCACGAGUUUUAUUGAAAAUGACUCUUUUCAUCAUUUUGCUGGAGUCCAUGUAUCUACAUAUAAACUAAAGAAGCACAUUUGUUUGUAUUAGCUUUUUUAUUAUAAUAAGUCAUUUGUCAAUGAACUUAUAUCAAUUUUUACGAAAAUAAUAGGUGUGUGUUAGUUUAUUCAAAUGGCAAAACCUCUUGGGAUAGAGCUUGUAAUUUAGUGGCUCAUGAAUUAUCUAAAUUGACACUACCGAAGCCAAAUUAUUGUAUUUGGUUAAAAAAGCUCCUACUAUGCUUCAACUUUAUUAUCCUCUGAUGUUUAUUAAUAAAUAACAAUUUUAUUGAAAAAAAAAGAACUUUUGAAAUGAUACAAAAGAUUUAGGAUAUGAAUCUCACUCGAAUUUAACUUGAGGUUGGCAUUGUUAACAUAAUAUUUGAAGAUAGAUUUUUUAAAAAAAAUAAAAAAUUUUUGGUUCAAACUAGUUAGUUUUAACUCAUAGUGAGAUUUAAACAAAAGCAGAAUAAUAAAUCUUGAUAUCCUGACUCAUGAAUAACGUAUAGAUAAGAUAAUAAAAUCUAUUGUAUUGAAAAUAAGAAGUCUGAAGUUUGAAUUUCGCUCACAUAAGUAGUACGAGAAUCAAAUUAUUGUUAGAUUAAAUUAAUUAAAAAAAUCUGAUAUCCAAAAAAAAUAUCAACAAAAAUGAAAUAAAAGAAAAUUGAAGAGAAAAACCAUUGAGAGAACGAAAAAUUAACACUAGAAAAUUUCUAUAACUAAUUGUAUUAGUGUGCGCAAACUGCACUUAUUAAAACAUGGUUAUUUCAUUUUCGUGGAUAAUCAUUUUGACACCGGUCAAAUUUAAAAGUUUUAAAAAAUAUGGGCGAUUUUUCUUUCCAGCUAUGCCCAUUAACUAAUAAAAGAACCGCCGAAACGGUUCGGGGAUAAUAUAGUAAUUUAAACUAACAGUUUCUGUGCUUCAAAUCAUCAUAUCAAACUCACACCUCACAAAAGCAGAGAAAUCAAACGGUUUCCGACUCUACGCUUUAAUUUCAGCUUCAUUUCUUCAACUGAAGAAUCGGUCGUCUCUCAUUUUUUAUUUAUUAUAUAAAGAUAAAUAUCUAAAUUUAAAUGCGAGAAGAGCGGACGAGGAAUACGAUUACUUGUUCAAAGUGGUAUUAAUCGGCGAUUCGGGAGUCGGCAAAUCGAACUUACUCUCCCGAUUUACUCGUAACGAGUUCUGUUUGGAGUCCAAAUCAACUAUUGGCGUCGAAUUCGCCACCCGCACUCUUUCAAGUAACUAACUUUUCCUUUUUCACUUCUCUUCAUUUUUAUUAGUUAAUUAAGAUCCAGUUAAUUUAAUUAAUUUUAUUUAAUCUUUUAAAUAAAGUUCUAUAUUGGGCUAACUUAGAUUCAUGUGAAGUUGAAGUGAUUUACUUUCGAUCUCUUUUUCGUCCUAUGUUUAUUUGUACUUACUAUUACUUUUUUUUUGGGUUUAAAUUUUCGUUUUUGAAGUGUUUACUGAAUAAAUUUCUGAGCUUUAUUUGUGUAUGCUGAUUGAUUUGUGAUUUUAAUUUUGUGACUUUUUUUUUGGAAUUUAAAUUUGAAUGCUUUUUAAGUUGAAUCUGAAUGUGUUGGGCUGCGAUUUAAUUAAGUCAUCUGUGAGCGCCAAAUUGUGAUAGCUAUAUAUUGGGGUGAAAAUUUGGGAUUUAAAGUUAUGUAUUUAAGAUGCAGUUAAUUCGCAAGUGAAAAUUAUGGGCCGGCAGAUUUUGUCAUUGGAAGACUGUUCUCCACAUGUUGAAGUUAGUGAUGCAAGUUGAAACCAAUCUGUUUACGCUUGGGGUUUCAUGUCUUGAAUCAAGGCUGUGACUUGGGGUGGGUUGAAAGUAUUAUAGCUUUAGCUAUUCCUGAAGUGAUCUGUUUAGACUCACCGUGAUGAGACCGAGUGCUGUACAGUAAAAUGAAAGGAAGUUGGAAAAUAUUUACUUAGCAUUUCGCGUUACUAAUGUUGAACUAAUAAAACCUAGCCCCUAUCCUAGUGAAUUUAUGUUAAAAAGCUAUGCACGCAUUAAGUUAGUGCGAGAGUCUGCUGAAGCAUAUGUCAGCUGUGUGUUUGGAGCUGAGUAUUCUUCAUUCCACAUUUUGGGUUUUGGUUGACCUCCAGCAUGACUCAACCCACUUGACUUAAAAGCCCUAGAGUUACAUUCUACCCAUGAUAUUUGAGUUUAUCAAGUCACCAUAUUUUAAUACUUCUCUGGAAAACAAAUAUAUAUGUUAAAUCAGGUAGGAAAAAUAAAAAGUUAAUUAUUGAGUUGUAAUGGUGCAACUAAGGUUUUGAAACAUUAAGAUCUUUAGCCAUUAUGUUACUAUCCCGUAGUUAUUUAAGUUACAAGAGAUAGUAAAAAAUAACAUCAUAUUUUAAUUACUUACACUAAUCCUACAAGUGCUGAUGGUCUAAAGUUGCUGCUGCUUGCACUGAAUCAGUGGUCAUGGGCCAGCCAAGGUUAGGUGAGGCCAACUCAUUAGCUCGUGAAACUUAAAGAAGUCUUAGGUUUGGAAAAGAUGGGGCACAGGUUACAAAAUUUUUUUGAGUUUUGGAUUGAAGGAACAAAAUUAUUGAUGUCUAGCUCACAAUACUUGAAGUCACUCUGUGCUUCAUCAUGUAAAAUGGAUUGAAUUGCUGUAAGAUCAGGUCAAAUUAAAAUGUUUAAACUCAUUUAUAAGAAACGAAUUCUCAAUUGGACCAGCCUUUCACAGAAGCUGAUAUCACAGAAGCUUUGAGUCAGAUGCAUCCAACGAAAGCCCCUGGCCAGCAGUAUUUUUCUAAAAGCUUUGGAAUUCAGUAAGCGAAGGAGUUAUAGCCACUUGUCUGCACAUCCUCAAUGAUGGAGGUAAUAUUGCUCCUUUGAAUUAUACAUACAUUGCUUUAAUCCCCAAGAUAGCAAAGCCUAGGACUAUGAUGGAGUAUAGACCAAUCAGCUUACGUAAUGUAAUUUAUAGGAUCAUUGCAAAGACUAUAGCGAAUGGGCUGAAGCUAAUCUUAGAUCAUGUUAUUUCACCAACUCAGAGUGAUGUUGUGCCAAAUAGGCUCAUAACUGAUAAUAUAAUUAUUGGGCAUGAGUGUUUUCAUAAGAUUAGGCAUUGCAAAAAUAAAAAGCAUGGUCUAGUGGUUUUGAAAUUAGACAUUAGCAAAGCAUAUGACAUGGUGGAGUGGAGUUUUUAAGAUGCACUAUGGAAAGGUUGGUUUUUCUCACAAAUGGGUGGAACUGGUCAUGAGAUGCAUAUCUACACCAUCUUUUUCUGUGCUGAUCAAUGAGGUAGCAAAAGGCCUUAUCCAGCCUCAAAGAGGCUUAAGACAAGGCUGCCCACUCUUUCCAUAUUUGUUCAUUAUUUGUGCUGAGGUUUUCACAAAUCUUUUGAAGCAAGCUGAAUCGAACCAGCUGAUUCAUUGAUUAAAAUUCAGUAGGGACCUGUCUAUUACUCAUCUUCUGUUUGCAGAUGAUAGUUUGAUUUUCACAAGAGCCAUUAAAGAAGAUUGUAUGAACCUGAAGCAACUCUUUGAUUGUUAUGCUGCUGCCUCAGGCCAGAUUUUUAAUUUCAAAAAGUCCUCCAUGUUCUUCAGCGAUAAUGCCAAGCAAGAGCAGAUAGCUACAAUUAAGGAUAUAUUUCAACUUCAAGUGGUUUCAAGACAUGAAAUGUAUCUUGGACUACCUUCAAUGGUGGGAAGAAAUAAGACCAGCUUCUUCAACGAUAUCAAGCUCAGAAUUAUAAACAAAAUCUCCAAUUGGCAAGUAAAAUUUUUCUUGUGUGGAUGGAAGGAGAUGCCUAUAAACGCAGUAGCUCAAGCAGUGCCUGCUUACGCCAUGAGUAUUUUUAAACUUCCUUUAGGGCUAUGUGAGGAUAUGCAGAAGGCCAUUGCUGGGUUUUGGUGGGGAAGUUCAAGGAAUCAUAGGUCUAUUCACCGGUUCAAGUGGGAAAGAAUGUGUCUAGCUAAGAAGAGGGGUGGCUUAGGUUUCCGAGACUUGUCUAGUUUCAACCAAGCGCUUGUGGCAAAACAGAGUUGGAGGAUCAUUCAAGCGCCAGAAUCGCUCAUAGCUAGGGUGAUGAAGGCAAGAUAUUUCAGACAUUCGGAUAUUAUGGAGGCACAAAUUAGCUCAAACCCCUCUUAUAUAUGGAGGAGCAUCCUGUGGGGGCGAAAUGUUAUUCAUAAGGGUCCUAGAUGGAGAAUCGGAGAUGGAAAGCAGGUGAAAGAGUAUCAAAGUUGCUGGUUACCAAGACCUGUAACGUCCAAACCAAUAUGUCCUACAAGUCUCCCUUUGGAGACUAUGGUUUCAGAGUUGAUUGAUGAGGACCACUGCUGGAAAGAUCUUGUAAUAAUAAGACAACAUUUUCAUCAAGAAGAUGCUGCCCAGAUACUUCAGAUCCCUCUGCCAAGACAACCAAGAUCAAACCAAGUUUUGUGGCUUUACAACAAAAAAGGUUACUACUCAGUCAAGAGUGGGUAUCAACUAGCUCUACAAAUGAAGUUCCCAACCAAGCCUAGCAGUUCAGAGGAAGGCAAAAGUGCAUGGAACUCAAUUUGGUAUUUACAAAUUCCAGAGAAAGUGAAGAUAUUUAUGUAGAGGGCUGCAAAUGACAUGCUGCCCAUAGCAGAGAAUUUAUGGAAGAAAAGAGUAUAACAAGCCCCCUGGUGUCAGAGAUGCAGGGGUUAUGGAGAGUCUAUCUUCCACACAUUGUUUGAAUGUAAAGCCUCGCGGAAAAUUUGGAAGCUCACAUCUUUUGAAGAUGAAGUGAAAGCCCCAAAAUGUAAAGAUGUCCUAAGCUUGCUGUUGGCUUUGGCUGAAGGACGAAGCAAGACUGAAAUGGAGCUGAUAGUUGCUUUGUGCUGGAGGGAGCAUAUGGCACUCAAGGAAUCUUUUUAUUUUCAAAAGCAAAAAGGAAGAUUCUCAAUUAUCAGUAGCUGGAGUUGAGGCAAUUGUUCAGUCUUAUAAAAGAAUUCAAAUGCCGCAUAUGCAAGCAAUAUCAUAUCAAAGUUCUGAAUCCCAGAAGCAUUGGAAGUGUCCCCCUGCAGGUUGGUUCAAGGUGAAUGUUGAUGCAGCUAUAAAGUUAGACCAACAAAGAGUAGGUCUGGGCAUUGUAAUCAGAAAUUCAGAAGGCAAACUUAUAGCAGCAGCCUUAAAGCCAACAAAAUGGCUUGAUAAAGUGGAUUAUGCAGAAGCUGAAGCAACUAAGUUCGGGCUGGAAGUAGCUGAAAACGCCGGAUGUUCACCUUUGAUUGUUGAGACUGAUUCACAGGUAGUAGCAGAUUUAGUCUUAGCUAGAAAAAUAACAAAAGCUGAGAUUUUUUGGAUUGUAUCCGAGGUCCAAGAGAUGUGAAGAGAUUAAAACAUGUCAAGUUACAGCACACACUAAGAACUUGUAAUGGUUUUGCUCACGCACUUACUAAGUUAGCUUUAGACUAUUCUGAUUUUGUAAUAUGGGUGGAUAGCAUACCAGCCCAUCUUUUGUAUCUAUUCACAGAGUUGAAUGAUUGAAAGUAAUACUUUCAUUUAAAAAAAAAACAUACAAGGAUCUAAUUAUAAAUAUAUAAUCCAAGAAAACAGUAAUAAUAAUGAAUCUCGUAAACAAUAAUUAAAUAAUAGCAAUAAUAAGUGGACAGAGCUAAGCCACUCGGCCUUUGGCCGAGUUGGAGAGCAGCAGUUCGAACCCCCACAAUGUAUUGUGGGGGUAUUUUCUUCCUCAAUUAAAUUUGAGUGAAGGCAGUCUGUUUCAUUGUCCCAGUGUGAGGAGUAGAUAUCCCUCGAAUAUUUGAGAGGGUUAAAAUUUGGGCAGUGCUCUAUUAGCAUUGAUGUAUGUUGGUCUCAGUUAUAGUCUGAUUUGUAAAUAUCAGUUAUAUUCUCAUGUAAUAUGAGUUGUAAUAUGAGCAAUAGUCUCAUGUAAUUAAAAAAAAAAAGUGGAUAAAGCUAUGAGUUGUAAUAUGAGCAAUAGUCUCAUGUAAUAAAAAAAAAAAAGUGGACAAAGCUAAGUUCCAGAGGAGUUAUAGUCUUAUUUAUAAAUAUCAAUUAUAUUUUCAUGUAAUAUGAGCAAUAGUGUAAUAAAAAAAAAAAAAAAAAAGUGGACAAAGCUAAGUUCCAGAGGUGAAAUAGGAAAUUCUCCCGCACGACACAGCACAAACUUACUUUACCUUUCAUUUUCUUUUCUCUUUCUCGCCCUCCAAACAGAGCAAAAGGACUGUCGCAAGAUUCUUCACUUCCAUCCAAAAUCAUGAGCAACGAAUAGUGAGCCUCCCUGUUUCCUUCCUUUUUUUGAUAUUAACAUUGUUAACAUCUACUCAUUUUAAUUUGACAAUACUUCAAUUUUUUUUAUUUUUUUGCCUUUUCAUUUUUUUUUUGUUGAAGCAAUUAUCUGUUCAAGCUGUUGCUUAUCGGAGACUCGUCCGUCGGAAAGUCCUGCCUGCUGCUCCGAUUUGCUGUCUGUUGACUUUUCCUUUCCCUUCUUAUUUUCUUUUUUUUAUAUUAAUUACUUCCUAUUUUAGCUUUUUGUUCUCUGAAUUUGUGUUAUUAAAAUGAUAAUUUAGAUGAUUAAUAAUUGUUAUUCUUGUAAAUUUCAGUUUUCAUUACGCUAAUUGUUAGUUUUUAGGUUUAUUAAUGUAAUUUUUUUUUAAUUUUUCAGGAUGAUUCUUAUGUCACAGCUACAUCAGUACCAUUGGAGUUGAUUUUGUGAGUCUCUCUUCUAUAUAUAUGUAUAUAUGUAUGUAUAAGUUAUAAUAUGAGUCUAUGUUCGUGUAUGUAUGUAUGUGUAUGCAUAUGUGGAAAGAAAUGUUGGCAGACUUCAGCAUUUUACUUUUUUUUUUAUUUUGGCAGAAAAUAAGAACUGUGGAGCUGGAUGGGAAGACGAUCAAACUGCAGAUUGUGAGUCAAAAUUUCCCUUUAUCUUGUAUUGAGAGAAAUUCGAUUUGUCUUAUUUAGUGAAGGUUAUGUUCAAGAACCUUGUCUUAUUUUCUUUGUUUGAAGAGUGAUAUGUUGAAAUGAGUGUAUUUGUCUUAUAAACAUCAUUUAGGUAAUGUCUGAUGUUUGAUUGUUUUUCAUCUGUUUAGUGGGACACUGCUGGACAGGAGCGAUUCAGGACUAUAACUAGCAGUUAUUACCGAGGAGCCCAUGGAAUCAUAGUAAGGAGCCUUCCCGCUUCUUGGUUUAAAUCAGAAAGUUUGUGAUUUACAUGUGACAUCUUAACAACAUUGUACUUUUCAAAAAAAAAAAUAAACAACAUUGUAUGUGUUUAUUAACUUAUUUUUCAUCUUUCGUUAAGCAGUACAUUUUCCAAUAAAUCUGUAUACAAGAUGAUGUAGUCCAAGAAUGGGAGCGAUAAUAUGAUGCAAAUUGUCUAAUAAAUUCUUAUGACAUAUGAUGUUGUCGGAAGUAAAAGUCUUGCAAUGCUCUCUUUUAAGAAAGAAUAAGUGGUAAUUUUGUUUUUCCAAUUUUUUAAUUGAGCAACUGUGUGAGAUUAAUUAAAUGUGUUGGGAUUUCAACAGAUUGUCUAUGAUGUAACUGAGAUGGAGAGCUUCAAUAAUGUCAAGCAGUGGUUGAAUGAGAUUGACAGAUACGCAAAUGACAGUGUAUGCAAACUUCUAGUUGGGAACAAAUGCGAUUUAGUUGAGAACAAGGUUGUGGACACACAGACAGCCAAGGUAUAUUCGUGACUUCUGUCGCCUGAACUUUGAAUAUAAUUUUAAACUCUUCUCAAGUGCAUUUGCUUGAUAAGUUUCUGCAUACCCAGGACACUCAAACUUUGGACAGUUUGUAUCUCGAGCUGGAAUCUUUUUUGUCAAUACGACUUGUUAAAAUAAGGAUUAUUAUCGUUUGAAUCCUUCAAGAAUUGCAAUAAAUCUAAAGUCCGUAAAAAAUAUGAUUUCAUCAUUUUACUAUUAUAUCCAGACAAAAUCCAUUAUUUUACUACAUUUUAUGUAGCACGGAUAGUUGACCUGUUGGCUGACUGAUAAAAUAUCAAUUUUGCACUUUAUAUUAAUUCUUUUUUGGUUAAAAAAUAACACACAAAGUAUUACAAUAUUAUAAAUUCAAAAUAGAAAGUAGCUACAAAUAAUUCCUAUUAGCCUAUUAAUAUAAUAUUUGAUACCUCUAUUUGUGUUAUUUUUUUCCAAGGGUGAAAUUGGUAUUUUUUUUGUACUAACGGAAAUGUAGUAAAAUGAUAAGUUUUGUAAAGAUAUAGUAGUAAAAUGAUAGACUAAAAUACUUCUGUAGUUGUUUGAUAUAUUGUAAUUCUUAAAGUAGUCAAUUGAUAAUAUUCCCUAAAAUAAAUGUUCGUAAUAUGUUCUCAUUUUAAUGCAACUGAUUGUUUAAUAAAAUUGUAUUUCUUUGUUAAUCUUUUAUCAUGUGCAUGCUCAGUGAGAAUUUGACUUACUAGCACACAAGUUUGACUCUUCAUGUAAAUGUCCCUUGUAUCAUAUCCUUCAAUGUUGAGUGUGUUUCCAAUAAAAUUGAGUAGGGGAAUCCUUAAAUACCUUUUCCUUUUUUCCAAGGGCUGUGCCAAAUUGCUCUAAGUGAUUAUCAAUGGAUAAUGAAAAUAAAUUUUUUAUUAAAGCAAUUUUUUCCUUAAAGGGUGACUAAUAGUACCCCCUUUUUGGAAAAGAAAGUCAGAACAUGCCCAAAGAGAAUCAUUUAUAUUCCUCUAAUGUAUUUUCUAAUUUGUUUCGAGCCUUGAAUGUCCGUUUUGGUGCGUAUUCUCAUUCCAUGUCGAAUCUUAUCCAUAUGGACAACCCCAAUUACAAAAUGGAUCUAUUGAAGUUCAUAUGAGGUUUGUGCUUUAGAUUUAGACCUCCCCCCCCAACUUACCUGUCUUUCACUUACCUGUUUGCAUGCAUGCCCAUGUGCACACUUGCAAGAUAAUACACGGUCACGCGUACUUGUGCUUUGGUUGAGCUAUUGGCUGCUAACCCUCUGUAAUUCAGUUUGAAACUUGCCACCCUUAGUGCUUUGCUCAAAUGGUUGGUUAGGGUGGAUCGUUUUCCUGGUCUCUUUCCAAGGUUAUCUAAAGGGAUUUGGCAGUCUGAUUCUUUAGGGAAUAUCAUUGCAUAAGAUAUCUACUGUUUGUCAAUGAAUAAUUUCUAUUAAUUAGUUAUCUAUAUAAAUUGGUAAAUUUUAACUGCAUAAUUUGCAUUCAAUAAGAUUUUAUAAGAAUCUUAUUUUCAACUCAUGACUUAGACUCAUGUGAUAUGUUGAGCAUUAAGCUACAAGAUCUGCACAUCAAAGUGCUUCACUAUGUUAAGGAGAAAGCAUCUUUUUCUGUUCUUCAUGUGAUUUAAAGUUUCCAAGGUACUUAUCCUAUAAAAUAUCUUUCAAGACUUUGGAAAUGCUUUUAUGUAUGACUGAGAGAAACUUGUUGGGUUUUUUUUAGCAACAGACGGAGUUAUGGACUUUGUGUUGACUUGUUAUUGAUUAAGACAGUACAUCGGCUGAUCUAUUGGCAUCAAGCAGCAGAUGCAGAAAUUAUGGGUGGCAUAUCAUUGUAUCCAAAUAACGUACUACAUUGAUUUUUCUGACUUUCUGUUGGUCUCCGAGUGAAAUGCAGGCAUUUGCAGAUGAACUGGGGAUUCCUUUCCUGGAGAUGAGUGCCAAAGAUGCAAUCAAUGUGGAGCAGGCUUUCUUGACCAUGGCUGGCGAGAUUAAGAAAAAGUAAAAUCACUUAACUCUUUCCUUCUUGCCUUGUGAUUGAUUCUGUGAUCCAUUGCCUAUUUGCAAAUGCUGACUGUUCUUAUUCAAUAAUCACCAUUAUUGCUGGUUAUAUGCACUGUGAUGAAAAUUCUGCAAUGAGUAACUUUUUACCUAAUGUUUUCUGUUGGAACAAAUUACUCUGGUAGAAAAGCCCUACAGGGUUUGAGAAAACCCAUGAUGUGACGAUUGUGAGCAUUUUAGAGACCGUGUAGGGGUUUAUUUAUGACUAUAAAAUGGUAAGAUUGUUUCUAGUUUUGGUUUGUAGUUCAUAAAAGGAUUCAAAAUUUGACAUCUGUCUAAAUCAGAUUAAUAACAUGAUAAUGUACAUAUGCAAGAUGUGAGGAAUUGUUUUAUCUCACCCCUGAACUUUAAGAAAUUGAAACAUUAUCAUUCAAAAUAUUUAACAUUUCCAGAAUUGAUAGUUGUCUAUUUGAGCAGUGACCGGUGGUUAUCAUGAACUGAUGUGUGGUUGUGGUGUCAAAUCUUGGUGAAACCUGUUGUCAUCUGCCGGUUAACAUAGCUAGUCUCUGAAAUAAUUUCUUGAUUCACUAAUUAUGAGUUCAAAUUUGAUGCAGAAUGGGCAACCAGCCUACUGCAAACAAAUCUUCUGGAACAGUUCAGAUGAAGGGACAGCCAAUCCAGCAAAACAGCAACUGCUGUGGUUCGCAGAGCAUGUUAUUUUACUACUACAUGUUAGCUGACUGAUUGUAGACAGUUUUAACUAUGUUGACUGCAUUAUCUUAGGAAUCUUUUAAUAUGUCAAAUAUUUAUUUCCUGCUUUAAGUUCUUUCCGUUUAUAACAAAUUUAAUUUCUUGCUUCAUUGCAUUCCAAAUUCCUGUCAAUUUACGAGGGAAAAAGAAAAGAGAGACGAAAUCAGAGAAAAUGGUCAAAUUUGUUAGGGGGAGAGAGCUGUUCAAGUAGUUUCUGUUCUUGUUUAUCGUCGUGACCCUCUUGUAGCUUGUCUAUGACCUGGAAGUCCGGUCAUAUCGGAUGGGUAAAGUUACCAAAACGGCAUCAUUUUGGGUGAAAUAUCAUAUUUAUGUAACACUUUUGAUAAUGUUUUUGUGCAACAAAAAAAUGUUCGCGGUACCCUUUUCACAUUGUGUAGCGCAUGAUCGGAUGAGAGCAGUCUGGAUUCUGGCAUCACAAGCUAAUGCUUUGAUUUGCUUAGUUUUUUUUUUUUUUUUGUUUCUGAUAUUUUCUUGGCAUUGGGUGGCAUAUUGUUUCUCUUUUGAGUUUCCCUUUUUUUUUUUUUUUGUUAUGGAAUUUAGAGAUAAUGUACAUGUAUGAAGAUGACGUAAUAAAGUUAUUUGAUGCUGCUUGUAUGAAGAUAGUGUACAUGUAUGAAGAUGACAUAAUUAAUUUGACUUCCAUUAUAUUAAUUAUGUCCAAUCAUGCUUCUUUAAUAAAGAACGCCGGAGCAUUUAAAUGUAUACAACAUACCAAAUUAAUUACAAAAUGAUCUUUGACAAAGUCUGACCGGUCAACUAUCCAUCAGAUUCUGUAAUGUGUUACCGUUGAACUCUCAUAUCAAGUUUGGAUAGACAGCGCUUUGGCUAACAAUGAGAUAUAUGCGAGCAUCAAAGCUCCUUUCUCUGUUUUAAUGGUGUUUCUCUUUGUGGUUGUUGAGCUCUUAUCUCUGUUUUAAUGGUGUUUCUUUUUGUGGUUGUUGGACAAACUGUAAUGUGAAUUUCUAUUUAAUGGGUAUCCUAAUACUUUUAGUUAGUUUGGAAUUGUUGAUUUAUAUAUGACGUUCAGUAUCCAAAAUUCAGAUAAUGAUAACCUUUAGUACUCUUGUCAUAUUACCUUUCGUGUUGGUGUUAGUAUCUUAAUUAUGUACCCAAUGAUAAGGACAAUAUAUACCUAAUUUGAAACUUCUAUAAUUUUACAUAUAUAGAUGCAAAUUCAUUUUUAAGAGUGCAUUUAAUCAAGCAGUCCAUGUGUUUAUACUGAGUAAUUGGUUCAAUAUCAAUACAAUACUAUUUUAAGUAACAUGUGGCAUAUUCUAAUUCCAGUGAGCUUCCAACUCAUAUUCCCAAUUCAAAAGAAAAGUUUUCAAUUUUCUCCAGAACGUUCUACAAAACGUUUCUUCUAGUCUCUACACUGUGCUAGAAUUUUCUCUAAGUUUCUUUUGCAAAGACUUUUAAAGAACUAUCCAGAUACUGAGCUAUAAUCCAGUCUAAGCGUAUAUAUCUCUCUAUAUUUCACCUCCCUCCAUUUCACUAGAAGAUCAACAAACACUUAGCUUUGAAACAAACACUCUAAAAAAGCUAGCUUAGCUACCCAGAUGGCGAAAUCAAGAAUUCUUGCAAUGACAAUGUCGUUUCUUGUUAUGGCUGCAACAUUGAUUAUCAUGGCAUCACAAGCAAACACUCUGAUGUCGUACACACGAUCACCUUUCUUUGACGUGAUAUUUGCAAUGACAGAAGAUCCUUUCCGGGUUCUUGAACAAACCCCUCUAACAAUCCCAAAAAGAGUUGAUCAUCAUCAAACUCUAGCCCUGGCGAGAGCAGACUGGAUGGAGCACCAACAGCACACGUGAUCACGCUCGACAUUCCAGGGAUGAAGAAAGAUGAAGUGAAGAUUGAAGUUGAAGAGAACAAGGUACUCAGAGUGAGUGGGGAGAGGAAGAGUGAUGAUUAUUAUAAGGAGGGAGUUGAAGGAGAGAAAAGGCACAGAGCUGAGAGCACUUUUGGCAAGUUUUGGAGGCAGUUCAGGAUGCCUAUGAGUGCUGCCUUGGAACAUGUUAAGGCUCAUUCGGAAAAUGGUGUUCUAAGGAUCACAGUGCCAAAGCUUGCUGAGGAGAAGAGGAGGCAGCCUAAGGUUAUUAGCAUUAAUGAAGAGCUUGCAGGUAAUUCUUUCGGUGAAGAUAUUAAGGCCACCAAGGCCCAAAUGUGAUUGAUUAAAGAAAGAAGUGCUUGCUUCACUUGAUAUGCUAUUUGUUUAUGAUCUUUUCUUAGUUUUGUUGUGGGAUGUUUCUCUCUGAACGUUUUGUUUAUUGUAUUUUGAUGGGUUUUUUAAGAUGGUUUGCAUGUACUAACAACAAUAAAAGUGUUUUUUUAUAAAUCCGUGUCCUAAGUUUGUAAAAGAAAUUAAUAUGCUUGGUUGUUAAUAAAAAAAUAAAAAUAAAAAGCCUUUUUCUUUGGCGUAUAUUAUGCAUUUUAAGAAAUUUUUUUUUUCACACUCCAAUUCAUAAAGAUAUUCUUCUUCUGUCAUAUUAAUGUGUCAGUUUUGAUGAAUCCAAAUAUUCAAUAACUGAUCAAUUAUAUUUAUAAAUAUUAAUAGCGAUGGCACAUAAAUAAUUAAUUCAAGAACUCGCCCAAAGUGCAUUAAUUUGAAGAGUAUAAAUAACAUUGCAAUACAGUUCAGCCCUUACGUGUUUAAUUAGCAAUUAAAAACUACUUUAUAUUGUAAAACACCAUUAAAAGAAGAUUUGCCAAAGUCUGAUUGAAGAGAAUAUACACGCACACAUGUAUAUAACCGUACAGCAGAAGGAUCAAUAAAAGAAAAUGAAGUUUCAACAGCUGAAUAAUGCAAAAUCAUUUUUUAAAAAAGUAUUUUAUUGUUUAAUUAAAAAAUUCGAAAACCCAUUCGCCUUAUAUAUAUGAUAAAGACUCACCGACACCGAACCAUAUUAAUUUAAAUUAGUUUUCAACUGAGAUUUGAAUUUUAAAAUUAUAUACACAAACACGCCCAUUUUUUUUAAAAUACUAAUAGUAAAAUAUUUCAUUUUUCAUCUAUUACAACAAGAGGUAUAAUCGCAAAAGUGAAAAAUAUUUCAUUUAACAAGUCCCAAUAUUGUCCUCCAUCCUUUCUGCACUUCUCUGCUAUCAACGGACAACUCCAGAUCCAUAAUCGCAAAAGUGAGGAAGGCAGUCAUCAUCUGUUCAAUUAUCAAAAAAUCCUUUUACCAUCCAUUUUUUUUUUUGAGAAAAGAAGUGGUUUUCAUUCAUUCAAAGAGUUAAAUAACUCCAUAACUUCUGAAGGGUACAAGUCUACCCAUACAAAAGUUUUACCUUUCUCUAAAGCUAGCUGCUAUAGAGUGAGUAAUAACAUUACAUGAUCUUGGUGUUUGCUGGAUUUUCCAUGCAUUGAAGCCUUUCAAGCUACUUUGCAUUUCUGCAACUAACCAUUGAAUCUUUGUUCUGCUGCUCUUCCUGUUGUUGACAAAAUCUACUGCCUCCUGGGAAUCCGAUUCUACAAUGACUCUUGCCAAACCUUUCUCUAUAGCUACACUCAGGCCCCAAUUCAUUGCCUCAGCUUCUGCAAAUGUUACAUCACUGUGAAGCUUUGUACUCUUGACAGCAGCUGCGAUAACAUCUUUGUUUGCAUCCCUUAUGAUUAUCCCCAAGCUUACUCGGUGCUCCUCUCGGUUUAUGGCAGCAUCUACGUUAAUUUUAACCCAACCUGAGGGUGGAGGGCUCCAACAUGUUUGAGUUGUCAUCUGGUCCCCAGCCUUGAGAAUUCUUCUUGGAGCUUGAAUCCUUUUGAAAGAAUCAACAACUGCCUCUGCUUUGGCUGCUGUUAUGCAAGGCUCAUCUCUUUUUCCCCGAACAAAACAUGAUUUCUUGCACUCCAAAUUACCCAACACAGAGCUAUUACCAGAUCAGCAUUGUUUUUACCCAUUCUUCUCACUGCUUCAUGGACAAAACUGAGGAUGUCUUGGUGAGCUAUAUUUCCAAUAUCAACUGCAAAUUUGGUGGUUUUCCAUACUGUACGGGCUAAUUUGCACUCCAUCAGGGCAUGGGCAGUUGUUUCCAUCUUAGUUCCACAUAGUUGGCAGGUUGGCUGUGGUAAUAGUUUCCUCUUCCACAAGAUCUCAGUGGUUGGGAGCAAAUUUUUUGUUGCCCUCCAUACAAAAAUCUUAAUUUUUUCUGGUAAAGACAAGGUCCAAAUGACUGACCAUUGGUUUGUCUUUUGAUUUGAGCAGCUCGGGAUGUCCGGGAAUUUCUCUCUCAAUGCCACCUGAUAUCCACUCUUCACAGAGUAGAUCCCUUUUUUAUCGUAGUGCCAAACUAUUUGAUCCUCCAUGGGUCGGUUGGGGAGGGGAAUUCUUAAAAUCAUCUCGGCAUCUUCUUUUUCAAAGUGUUGAUUAAUCAAGCCUUCAUUCCACUGGUUAGCAGCAUUAAUCAAAUCUGAGACUUUUGAAUCGAUGGGUAGAGAUGGAGAGGAAACUGGUUUGAAGGUUGUGGGCCUUGGCAUCCAGUUUCCUUUAUAAACCUUGACUUGCUCUCCAUUCCCGAUCCUCCAUCUGAUCCCUUUGUGAAUCACUUGUCUCCCCCACAAAAUACUCCUCCAUAUGAAUGAAGGCUUACUUCCCAGCCUUGCAUUUAAGAACUGACCGUUCUUGAAAUACCUAGCUUGCAGGACUCUAGCCACCAGAGAGUUAGGAAAUUGAAUAAUUCUCCAACUUUGCUUAGCUACUAGCACCUGGUUAAAGCUUGCAAAGUCUCAUAAUCCCAGCCCUCCUCUUUGCUUGGCUUGGCUUAAUUUCUCCCAUUUUGCCCAGUGAAUCCCUUUUUUUUCCUUAUUGCUGCUCCACCAAAAUUUGGCUAUUACUUGUUAGAUAUCAUUACAAGUACUUAAGGGGAGUUUGAAGACACUCAUUGCGUAUGCCGGAACCGCCUGAGCCACUGCCUUGAUAAGAACUUCUUUGCCCCCGCAUGAGAAGAAUUUAUGCUGCCAAUUGGUGAUUUUGCUGGACACUCUCAGCUCGUGUUUCCGCUAAAAAACAUGGAGGAUUUGUCGUAAUUGAAGAGCUGGCCUGAUGCAGCUACAUAGGCCUCAAAUAUCCUUUUCAGAUGCAAAAAAUUUGCUUCUGAGGCAUUUGUGAAGAUGAGACUAUCAUCGGCAAACAAUAAGUGGGAUAUGAUGAUAUCUUUGCUGAAUUUCAGACCAUGGAUUAGGCUUUUUUCUUUAGCUCUUUUACCAUCCAUUUGAACAUACACAAACACGCCCAAUUUGAAAAAAAAAAUAGUAAUUAUAAAAUAUUUCAAUCGUCCACUGUUCAGUCACCAAAAACCAAUUUACCAUCCAUUUCAACGCCUAAUUUGAAAAAAGAAAAUACUAAUAAUAAAAUAUUACAGUCGUCCAUCCUUUCACAAAUCAAAAAUAUCACCAAAAACCAAUUAACCAGCUAUUUCAACAUAAGGUAUAUGGGUUGACAAGUCCCAAUAUUGUGCUCCAUCCUUUCUGCACUUCUCUGCUAUCAACGGACAUCUCCAGAUCCAUAAUUGCAAAAGUGAGGAAGGCAGGCCCUUCUCCGGAAAGUAUUUGAGCUUGGGACAAUCCUCGAGAUACAAUUCAGUGAGGUUUUGAAGAUCAACAAUUGAAGAAGAUAAGCGUUCCAGAUUUGAAAAUUUAUAAAUGCUCAGAGAUGUUAGAGAGGCAGGAAGAGGAAGCGCGGUCCCUAAUCUUUUGUCCUCUAGUGGAAAUGACACCAUGUCGUCAUCACAUCCUUCGAUUGUAAGAUGUCGCAGAGAGGAGAAUCUGUGAAAUCCCCGGCCCCGCUCAAUCAUUGACUUCCAAAUCUCCAUAUUACCCCAAAUACGAAGUGACUGAAGGUUGGUGGGAAGGCCAUCUUCUUCAAGGCUUGGAAGCUCACCUCCUUUUCCUAUUGUUAGUUUUUGAAGAGAGGUCAGAUUGUGCAAUCCCUUGGGUAAGGCCUCUAGUCUCUUGCAAUCAAGUAUCGUCAGCCUCGUGAGUUUCGCACAAGGCAACCCCCCUUCGGGAAAGGACACCAGAUUUCCACAAAUCUGUAUACUAAUCUCUCGAAGCCGGUGGAGUUUAUGUAAACCACUCGGUAAAAUUUUGAGAUUUUCACAAUAAGCAAUGUAGAUAUCUUCAAGAGAUGUGUUGUUGUCCAACCUUUCUGCUAUUGACUCCAGCUUUGAACAUCCACAAACACGAAGGGACUUAAGAGACAGAGGUAGAUUGCCAACUUCAAGGGACUCAAGCGUGGCAGGUAACUCGUUUUUUGAAAAUAUACAUGUCAGUGAUGGACAAUAGCGAAUAUUCAAGUCCUCGAGAAGAGAUGAGGUGUACCUUCCACUGCUGCUGCUACACUGGAUGCCCUCUUCCACUGUCAAAGUCCUUAUAUUAUCACAAUUCUGGAUGUCCAACAUCUUAAGGCUCGGUGCUAGCUGGACUCUAGCAAUAUAUGUCAACGAAUAGCAAUAUGAAAUCCUCAAGAUCUCGAGAGAUGAAUUGGUGUCGCAUAUCCAUGCCUCUGGUAACGAUUUCAGUGCAUCACAUUCUCUAAUCUGAAUUAUCUUCAACUUGGAAGGCAGACCAACCUCAGGAAAGGAAACAAGGGAACUGCAGUUGUAGAUUUCUAUAUCUCUCAAGGAACUGAGGCUGAACGAUGAUUGUGGCAGCUUCACAAGGCCUUCGCAAUAACUCAAUCUUAGAUAUUCAAGUCUGCAUGACAACUCGCAGAGCUGCUGUUGUUGGUCUUUCUCUUCCUCCGCGACCAAGGAUUGAAGUUUGGGACAACUUGUAAUCGUCAGUCUUUUGAGAGAGCAAAUGUCCUGCAGUAAUUCGUUAUGGCUCUUCCAUAUACAUGUUUCAUUUUGAAUAUUAUUUAUCUUCAAUUCUUCCAGUUUUGGUAUUCGCGACUUCAAUGGCCCUGCGAGAAACACUUGAUUUGAUGUAUCUCUACAAACCACUGAAUUCUGUGAGCCGAGAAGAUCAGUUGCACUUCUCCAAACAACCUUUUUACAUCCACCAAUAUGCAAGUUGCAAAGAGCUGGAAGACUCGUAACUGAAACUGACAAUUCUUCACAUCCUUCAAUUACAAGCAUCUCCAAUGCAGCAAGGUGCUCUGGAAAUGUUCCUUGCAGUUUAGAACACCUUAUAAUGCGAAGCUCUCUCAAUUUAGGAAACCCUUCAACUCCCUGACCAGAUCUAAGAGGAAUCCAGUCUUCCCAUUCUCGCAUGUUUUCAAAAUGAAGAGUCUCCAAGCAUGGAAAAUGAAUCGGAGAAUCAUUCCCAUAGAACUCUGAACCCAAACUCUUUACUCUACUCAUUCCACGUACUUCAAGAUGCUUUAGAGAGGGUAGUUGCCCGACUGACGGCAGGGUAGUACACACGCCGCAAUCUUCAAAUUUUAAGGUCGCUAAAUUUGAGAAUGAGGAAUCUCCCAACCAAGUUGGAAAUUCUUUACCUCCAUAGCCACUGACACAAAAUUGUUCCAGAUUUUCAUGAGGUUUUAGCAUGUCGAGCACAUCCUUUUCAGUUUCUGCCUCCCUCGAAGACAAACCAUUGGUACUCAGUGUCCAUCGAAACAUUAACACUUUAAGAUUCUUCUUUCCAUCCAAUUGAGCCUCCUUCGCAUCACCAAUGUCUUUAACGUUCUCCAAUUUUGAAAUGUUAAGUGUCCCACGAAGAUGCGUCAACAAUUUUAGCUCUCGUAUCCCGGAACCACUGUCUUUUCCCACAACAAAAUUACACAGAGUCUGAAGGCAAGUCAACUUACCAAUUCCUAGUGGCAUCUCCUCCAACGAAUCUGUAUUUGAAUUAUUGAGAUGAUGCAAUUUGAUGAGAUUUCCCAUGUCUGCACACAACUUCUUCAGUCGCCGACAGCCCUCCAACAGAAGCGUGUGCAAAUUGUAAAGCGUGUUGACUGAUUCGGGCAGAGUUAUAAUGCCAGUUCCCGAUAAGUUAAGGUACCUUAAAUACCUCAAAUCACCGAUUGUAUCUGGCAGCUCGGAGACGUAAUAUCGAUGCAAAGAGAAGACCCUCAACCGUUGGAGUUUGAACAACUUAGGAAGAAUGCUACGAGCCAAGUAUCCAGACAGAAAGCCAUUUGACAGCCUUACUGGUAAAAAGGUUCGCAAAUGUUGGAUAUCGUACAAGUCCUCAAACCUUUUAACGCCAUCAUAUUCUCCAAAAAUGUACGAUAGAUGACGAAGAUUUUUGGAAAAACUUUGUUGCUUGUUAACUUCCGAGGUAUACUCCAUUGUGAAGUAUAUUUCCCCCGCAGCCCAUUGAGCAAGGUCGCUGAUAAGAUCGUGCAUCACAAAUCGUGAUGCAUCGUUGCUUGAUUGCUGGAAAAAAGAUCUUGAGUGCAGCUCCUUAAAGAUCUUACGACCGAAAUCGUCACAGGAAUUCCCACUCCCUUUGUGAUCCAAGAAACCCGAAGCACACCAUAAUAAAAUUAUCUCCUCCUCUUCAAAUUCAUAAUCCUUUGGAAACAAUGAGCAGUAUGCAAAGCAUUGUUUCAAAGGUGCCGAAAGAUAAUAGUAGCUCACUGCAAGGGCUGGUAUAAUGCCACAUCUCUCUUCUGGUAAUUCCCAUAUCUUGCUAUUGAGCACAUCUUCCCACUCACUUCUGUCAUGAUUCCCACGCAAAAGUCCUCCAAGUGUUUGGGCUGCCAAGGGCAAGCCAUCGCAUUUGGUCACUAUCUUCUUGCCGAUUUCCUCCAGUGACUUAUGUGAACUGAAAUCUCUCGUCCCCAAUGAAUGUUGAACGAAUACAGCUAGACAAUCAUUAUCUGACAACUUCUUUAAUUGAUAAGCCGGAACAGUACCCAUAAUUUUAGCAACCUCUUGAUUGCGAGUAGUGACAAUAAUUUUACUUCCCGGUGCGCCAACUUCAAAGGGACGUCUGAGUUUAUCCCAAUCAUCGUAAUUCCGGUUCCACACGUCAUCUAAAACAAGCAAAAAUUUCUUUCCAGAUAGUUGCUUAUUCAGUUUCUCUUGAAGUGAAUUCAAUUUGAGAUUAUCUACGUUCUGGUCAGCAACAAUGGAUGUUAAGAUUGUUUUUGUGAGCCUGAUAACGUCGAAAUCAUCAGAGACACAAGUCCAUGCCUUGAGAUCAAAAUGAUCCAGCACUUGCUUAUCAUUGUAGACAAGCUGAGCAAGAGUGGUUUUGCCCAGCCCGCCCAUACCUAUGAUAGGAAUUACAGAGAAUUCACCAUCGUUGCUUAAAUCAUCCCUCAACAGCAGUUCUACAACAUCCUUCUUUUCUGUUUCUCUGCCAUAUACUUUGGCUUCCUUCACCAAAGAAGUUGUCUCUCGCCUUUGCCUGUCUUUUAUGGUCCUCCCACCUGAACUUACGUUCAAACCCAGCGAAUCCUUCUGAGUUACAAUUUCUUGAAAUCUGCCGUCGAUCUCUUUGAUUUUGGACAUUAUGGCGUAAUCGAACUGAAUCGAUUGUGGAGCAAAAGUGGUGCAGCAAGUGGGAAUGAGCUUCCGAAACUUACUUGUUCUUGUACGACUGCUACUGGGUUGAUCAAGAGCAGCAGCAGGUUCUCCAUUUCCAAGCAGCAACUUCCUCCGGAAAACCUCAGUUUGAAACUCAUCCAACAGGUCCUCAACAUCAUAAGCCAAGUUCUGAAGCUUGCCAAGCCACUUCUUCACAAACCGAUUAGUCGUCUUCUUCUCCUCAGCAUCAUCAAGCACCGCCUUGAUCAUCUCCAACAUAUUCUCCCACUUUAUUAGAUCGGCCUGGAUUUGCUCUUGGCGUGCAAACAACCGAAUCCCCUCUGAAGCUAACUUAUUGACCAGCAAAUCAACGGACGCCGUAAGGAUUGCCUCUCCGAUGAAUGACAUUUUUUUUUUUUUGUUUUGCAAAGAAAGAAACAGAAUUUUGAGUUUUGAAAAGCAAAAUGAGAAAAUUGAACGGGUCAAGCAAAAUGCGCGUAACAAGUCUUCCGCUUGUUGUUUAUUCCAAUAAAGUGAAAAUAAAAACAGAGCCCACCACCCAUUGAUAAUUUAGCAAUUCACCANNNNNNNNNNNNNNNNNNNNNNNNNNNNNNNNNNNNNNNNNNNNNNNNNNNNNNNNNNNNNNNNNNNNNNNNNNNNNNNNNNNNNNNNNNNNNNNNNNNNNNNNNNNNNNNNNNNNNNNNNNNNNNNNNNNNNNNNNNNNNNNNNNNNNNNNNNNNNNNNNNNNNNNNNNNNNNNNNNNNNNNNNNNNNNNNNNNNNNNNNNNNNNNNNNNNNNNNNNNNNNNNNNNNNNNNNNNNNNNNNNNNNNNNNNNNNNNNNNNNNNNNNNNNNNNNNNNNNNNNNNNNNNNNNNNNNNNNNNNNNNNNNNNNNNNNNNNNNNNNNNNNNNNNNNNNNNNNNNNNNNNNNNNNNNNNNNNNNNNNNNNNNNNNNNNNNNNNNNNNNNNNNNNNNNNNNNNNNNNNNNNNNNNNNNNNNNNNNNNNNNNNNNNNNNNNNNNNNNNNNNNNNNNNNNNNNNNNNNNNNNNNNNNNNNNNNNNNNNNNNNNNNNNNNNNNNNNNNNNNNNNNNNNNNNNNNNNNNNNNNNNNNNNNNNNNNNNNNNNNNNNNNNNNNNNNNNNNNNNNNNNNNNNNNNNNNNNNNNNNNNNNNNNNNNNNNNNNNNNNNNNNNNNNNNNNNNNNNNNNNNNNNNNNNNNNNNNNNNNNNNNNNNNNNNNNNNNNNNNNNNNNNNNNNNNNNNNNNNNNNNNNNNNNNNNNNNNNNNNNNNNNNNNNNNNNNNNNNNNNNNNNNNNNNNNNNNNNNNNNNNNNNNNNNNNNNNNNNNNNNNNNNNNNNNNNNNNNNNNNNNNNNNNNNNNNNNNNNNNNNNNNNNNNNNNNNNNNNNNNNNNNNNNNNNNNNNNNNNNNNNNNNNNNNNNNNNNNNNNNNNNNNNNNNNNNNNNNNNNNNNNNNNNNNNNNNNNNNNNNNNNNNNNNNNNNNNNNNNNNNNNNNNNNNNNNNNNNNNNNNNNNNNNNNNNNNNNNNNNNNNNNNNNNNNNNNNNNNNNNNNNNNNNNNNNNNNNNNNNNNNNNNNNNNNNNNNNNNNNNNNNNNNNNNNNNNNNNNNNNNNNNNNNNNNNNNNNNNNNNNNNNNNNNNNNNNNNNNNNNNNNNNNNNNNNNNNNNNNNNNNNNNNNNNNNNNNNNNNNNNNNNNNNNNNNNNNNNNNNNNNNNNNNNNNNNNNNNNNNNNNNNNNNNNNNNNNNNNNNNNNNNNNNNNNNNNNNNNNNNNNNNNNNNNNNNNNNNNNNNNNNNNNNNNNNNNNNNNNNNNNNNNNNNNNNNNNNNNNNNNNNNNNNNNNNNNNNNNNNNNNNNNNNNNNNNNNNNNNNNNNNNNNNNNNNNNNNNNNNNNNNNNNNNNNNNNNNNNNNNNNNNNNNNNNNNNNNNNNNNNNNNNNNNNNNNNNNNNNNNNNNNNNNNNNNNNNNNNNNNNNNNNNNNNNNNNNNNNNNNNNNNNNNNNNNNNNNNNNNNNNNNNNNNNNNNNNNNNNNNNNNNNNNNNNNNNNNNNNNNNNNNNNNNNNNNNNNNNNNNNNNNNNNNNNNNNNNNNNNNNNNNNNNNNNNNNNNNNNNNNNNNNNNNNNNNNNNNNNNNNNNNNNNNNNNNNNNNNNNNNNNNNNNNNNNNNNNNNNNNNNNNNNNNNNNNNNNNNNNNNNNNNNNNNNNNNNNNNNNNNNNNNNNNNNNNNNNNNNNNNNNNNNNNNNNNNNNNNNNNNNNNNNNNNNNNNNNNNNNNNNNNNNNNNNNNNNNNNNNNNNNNNNNNNNNNNNNNNNNNNNNNNNNNNNNNNNNNNNNNNNNNNNNNNNNNNNNNNNNNNNNNNNNNNNNNNNNNNNNNNNNNNNNNNNNNNNNNNNNNNNNNNNNNNNNNNNNNNNNNNNNNNNNNNNNNNNNNNNNNNNNNNNNNNNNNNNNNNNNNNNNNNNNNNNNNNNNNNNNNNNNNNNNNNNNNNNNNNNNNNNNNNNNNNNNNNNNNNNNNNNNNNNNNNNNNNNNNNNNNNNNNNNNNNNNNNNNNNNNNNNNNNNNNNNNNNNNNNNNNNNNNNNNNNNNNNNNNNNNNNNNNNNNNNNNNNNNNNNNNNNNNNNNNNNNNNNNNNNNNNNNNNNNNNNNNAUUUGGGUGGUCAUUUUUUUAUAAUAUUCCUUCAUUCAUGGUCAUUAGAUCAAACAAUUCAAUCCCUACUAUAGCUAAUUAACUUAUUGACCAGCAACUUAAAGGAUGCCAUAAGGAUUGCCUCUCCGAUGAUUGACAUUUUUUUUCUCCGUUUUUUGUUUUUUUUUUUUUGGGUGGGGGUGGGGAAAAAGAAACCGAAUUAUGAAUUUAUGGAAAUUAAAGCAAAUAAGAAAGUGAAUUACAGCCGAAUGAGUUUGUGAUUGUGAUAGGUCGGGCAAGUCUAGAAAUCAAUUAGGCAAAACCCACCACGAAAGUUAAAAAGGAAAAAUAGCGCCCACCACAAAUAUAGAAUUGGAGGAGCUCACGACCAUGCCUUUGCUUUACAUAUUAAAUUAAAUAAAAGCCAAACCAAGAACCUUGCCUUUGCUUAACAUGAUUAAUUAGGCACUACUUCAGAAAGAAUCACGAAAGAAAUGAACCCUUUUAUUAAUCUUUAGUGUCAGGAAUAAAGCUACAUUUUCUCCUCUUACCAUCUGUUCACGUUCAUUUCAAAAGUUUGAAGAGAGUUUAUCCAUUCUUCUAAACUAAAAAAAUCAACAUUCUUGCUUUCUUCAAAUGUUGAAUAAAGAAAAAUAAGGAAAAAAUUAGAAUGUAUCUACCUUCACUAACCUAAAAUAAAAAAAAUUUAAUCUCUCUUUUAUUACUCAAGUACACUAUUUUUUUAAUAAUUGUAUUGACAAUGACAAUAUAUAUCAUCGAUUAUAUUCUUGUUGUGUUGAAAUAAGAUAUAAAAAAUUUUGGAUCAAGAGGAAUCGAUCGACUCAUUAGUUAAAGGUAUAUAUUUAAUAUACUAAAAACAAAAAUUAACAUAACACGAUUAUUACACUAAAGUGAAAUGAAAGCCAGUACCCACCAGUUCACCAACAGUAAUUUAGCAAACUUUGCAUUCUCGAGUUUGAGGAAAUGGACAUUGGUAAAUUAACCAAAGGACCAAUGAAAGAAUUUUAAAUAACAAAAUGGAGACUACACAUGUUUUUUCUUUUUUUCCAUAUAAUUGUUCAGGAAAUGGAACUAAUUUUGAGACAUUUUCAAAUAAACUUAUUUUCAAAAGCAAUACAAAAGGAUUUCGUUUUAUUUUGAAACAUUUCAUGGAAUCAAUUCACAGUAAAAUAAAUAGAAAAGUGGUAAUUCUCUCAUUUUAUUAUUUUCUUUUUUAAAAGGAGAUGAUGGGGUUGGGUUGUUCACCAAAUUAUUGGUGCGGGGUCUAUUUGUUUUUGUUUUAACUUUAUUAAUUAAUUGGCGAAGCAAACAUGUAAUGAUUUGUAAAAAGAUCACUAGCAUCAGAUUACUGGGAGGUAUUAUGGAGAAGUCACGCUUAGUAUUUACAAUUCAUGUAAGAUGAAUUUGUAAGACUUAUUAAUUUCGAUGAAAAUGUAGAUUUAUUAAGUUACUAACUCAUUAAGUUAACUUGAGAUAUUAAUAUUUAUUAAUUGUGGAGAUUAAUUUAUUUAACUUGUCAUGAUUUUCAAUUAAAAAUGAAGUUCAGUCAAUUUAUGGAAAGAACGAUAAUUUUUUUUUUUCAGAUUUUUAAUUCCUAGGAUUUGAUUUUACUUUGUUUCGAUUGUCGAUGUUGCUGAAGAGGCAGUGAAAGUUUGUUGAAUGCCAUCAAAUGCUUGGAUCUUAUCUCACAAAAUGUCAAUAUCGGUUUGUUUCCCCAUAGGCGCAACCAUCACAAAUUGAAAGUAACAACAUGAUGAACAUAUAACAUAUACAUAUUUUACCAUUAAUUAUAUAAUUGCUAGUUAUUUUUAUUUGUUAUUUUUAAUUAAUUAAAAUAUUUUACUGAAUAGGAAAUUAAUUGGAGAUUAUGGAUAAAAAGGGCCUGAAGAAGUUUAAUUUGGGAAACAAUAAAAAUUAAAUUGAAAGACAAAAAUAUAGAUAAGGAUUAAUGGAAUCCGAGCCGAAAAAAUCAAAGCACAAGGAUUUUCUUAAUGUCAUUAUUUAGGCAAGUGUUUUGAUGCAGUAGAAGUUUAUAGUUUCAAUAUUCCAUUGAUUUUUAGAAAAUACCUGAAUAAAUGGACAAACUAAAUUCACGUUGAUUCAAAAGAAUGGUGCGAAUUUAGGGGUUAAGACUCGUUGAUUCCGUAAAAUACCGAGAAUUAUCUAACUCAAAUACUCACCUAGAGUUUUGAAAAUUAAAAUAUUAUUGAACUCAAAAUCUUUGCUUGUAAAAUCUUUAAUAAUUUACAUAAUUAUAUAAAGUGUGUAUAAACUAAUGUGACAUAAAGAGAUUGGUUGUAUUAAACUAUCAUGAACCCACAUAAUUGAAAAAAAUAAUUGUUAUUACUUUUUAGUUAAUUUUUUCAUGUCACAUUAGUUUGUGCAUAUUAGUUUGUACAAAACUGUUUGUAUCUCUAUUAUUAUUGUUAUAUUAAUUCUUCAAUUUUCUCAAAAAUAUGAAUAUGGGCAAGGUAUUCAUUCCUAUUUCAUCAUAAAUAAAUAAAUAAAUUUCAUUGUUUAUCUUAUCAACCAUUUGAGAGUACGGAGGUUGGUUAAUUCCAUUCGUAUGAAUUAUCUACAGGUAAAUCUUGCGUUUACUUUUUGGAUUGGAGUGGGAAUCCUGAGGAGUGGGAAUCCUUGGAUUAGGAGUGUGGAGUGAGAGUGAGAGUAGGGUGUUUACUUAGACUAAAUGAAAGUAUGGAUUGUCAAUCAGAAUCUCAAUUAUUUGUUUAUUUUGUCUUGGAUUGGGAGUAAAUUAUUUUAAAUUACAAUUUUAUCCUUAUGUAAAGAAUUAUAAUUUGUAAUUAAAAAAUUAAUAAAAAAUAUAUUUGGAAAAUAAAAUAAAUUUUUAUUAUAUUUAUAAAUUAAUAAUAUUCUUAAUUAUGUAAAUCAUAAUUUUUUAUUAAUUUUAAUUUAAAUUAUGUUAAUAAAAAUUAUUAAUAAUAGCAACACAAAUGAAAUAUUAUUAUUGAUAAUAUAGUAUAAAAUUAAUAUUUUUUAGAAUAAAAUAUUUUAUUAUUAUUAAUUAAUUAAAUAAUAUUUAUUAAAAUUAAUGUUUAAUAUUAUUAAUUUAAAUAUAAUAUUUAUUUAUUUUUAUUUUAUUAAAUUUAAUAAAAUAAAUAUGUUAUAAUUAUUAUUUUUAAUAAAUAUGAUAUUAUUUAUUUUAUUAAAUAUAAUAUUAUUUAUUUUAUUAAAUAUAAUAUUAUUUAUUUUAUUAAAUAUAAUAUUAUUUAUUUUAUUAAAUAUAAUAUUAUUUAUUUUAUUAAAUAUAAUAUUAUUUAUUUUAUUAAAUAUUAUUUAUUUAUUUUAUUAAAUUUUAUUUAUUUAUUUUUAUUAGGAAGGUAAAAAGGGAAGAGGGGGGAGUGGAUUCCCACUCCCACCUCCCCCCAUGGGAGUGGGAAUCCCACUCCCCACUCUAAAAUUAAGUGGGAUCCAUGGAGUGGGAAUCUCACUCCCCCUAUUUUAAGGUAAGUAAACACUGGAGUGGGAGGAAUCCACACUCCACACUCCCAAUUUAGAAAGUAAACACUACCUAAAGGUAUUUACAGUCAGGAUUUUUUUUUCCAUGUAACCUCAAAUGCACUAUGCAAUAAAAUAUAAAUAUAAAUAAAGCAAGCAGUUACUAAGUCUUUAGGUUGUUAGGCAGAUGCUAAGGCCUUGUCCUGAAUAAGCCCAGCAAUUCAAACUUAAGAUUACACUAUAAAAAGGGGGCGCAAAGGCAAAGAAAGUGGCACGGCAAGUGCAGCGAAGGAAGCAAAGGAGAGCAUGUCACACUGAGAUUACAUGUCUGAUAUUUGGCUCCGCUUCUUCCCUUUAAACACCUCGAAAUAAGCAUCAAGGAAGUGGUCUUGUCAUCAUCUUCUUCCAGUACAUCAAUGGAGAAACAACAUUCGAACACAUGGAAAUAAGAAAAAUCAUUAAAAUUGACUACUACUGUUGCAUAUUCAUAAUAUGACUGCUGGCUUUUCUUCUAUCUCAGUUUUUUUCAGAGCUCAACUAAGGGCAGUUUGAUGCUGUCAUUGGAUAGCAGUAGCUUGAAAAACUACAGUACUUUAGUGGUUAGUAAACACUUAUUGCUAUAAUUUGGAAUUUAGGUUCAUUUUAUCCGAUACUCGAAAUACGCUAAUGGGAAAAAUAGUCAAAACUCAGGUAAUUUUUUCAUUUCUCUUUUUAUGUUUCUAAACACAUCAAAACUCUCUCUUGAUGUUUAAAAAAAUUUAUUAACUUUUAACUUUUAUUUGUGUCCUUUCUUAUUUCAUCCAUGAUGUCGUAAAACCCACUGUUAAUCAAUAAAAAUUUCUGAAGAUAGAAUAAUGAAGGAUACAAAAAAAUUUACAAGCCUUUUGUAUAUGAUAGUUGACUAUGUGUAUCGGGACAAUGUUGUGAGCAUUAGAUUGGACAAGUUAUGAAUUUUUAUCAGUCUAGCUCAUACGCAAAAACUUUGAAAAACUUUGAAAAGAAUAAGUUAUCCAUAUAACACAAAAUCACCAUUUAUACUUAGCUCAUUUAUAUUUUUUAUGGAUAUGAAUGUAAAUUUCUGCCUUUGGAGAGUAAUAAUAAUCCAAUAUCGUCGACGUGGCCGUUGCAGUUGCCGAGUCGAUGCAAAAAGAGCAACGGCGAUUUGUUGAAGAGAAGCAACAGCAACUGAAUAAUAAUAUAACAGCAACAACAACGUUGAUUCUUCGAAAGAGAAAAGAGUCAAAUCCGGCAAAAAGGCCAAGGCAAAAGCAGCCACCGUGUCGGCGCACGAGGCUUUUUAUUCUAAAUUGAAAAAGAAAAAUUGGGUAAUUAACUUAACUUAUCAAGGAUAACAUUGUCAUAUCACAAAAAAUAUUUUAUUUUGAUGAAUAGUUACAGUUUGUAAAAUAAUUAAAUCAAUUAAGAAAAAUAAGGGCAUUUUCAUUGUAAAAUAACGUAAUUUUUUAGUGUUAGGAGUAAGUGUAGCGUUUUUAAAUUUAAAGAGGCAAGCUAGAGGAAGAUGGAGCUGUCAACUUUCAAGUAAUGUAUGCAUCAAGGUAAGUGACAGAGCUAAGGAGAAAUGGACAAGUACUAAUCAUCGUUAUAAAAAAUUAAACAGAGCAGCAUUUUGUCAGUUCUGGCCAUAUAUAUUUUUCAAGGAUUGGGACUGUUAGCACCGCUGUAAUUUUAUUUUCAAGCUCUUCUCUGUCAAAACCUAUUUUACUUUCCAAAAUAUCUUAUUCCAUUUUUUUAGUUUCUUUCUGAUUCAAGAUUUUUUUUUUAAAAAAAAAAAAUCUGUUUCUUCCAAACAACUCCAAUUACAAUUUUUUUUUAUAAAUUUUUGAAUUAUUAAAUCAUAUAUAGUUAACUAAAGAGAAUCAUAUAUACAAACUAAAUAGAAUUAAAAGUGGACUCAAAUGGCUAUUAUGUUAUUUUUUUCUAAAUUAAAAAAAAAAGUUUAGAAUCAGAGCCUCCUUGUAAGCCAUAAAAAAAAAGAAAAGAAAAGUUUAUAAUGCAAAAGUAUUUGUGAGAAAAAAAAAAAACACUUUGAUGUAGUUGCAUGAAUGUAAAGAGUUAGAUAGAGAAAUAGAGUGUAUAAUUAGAUUUAUUUUUUUCUUUAAAGUAAUCGCAAUAUAAGAGGGGUUAAGAAUUUCACAGGAGUGCCACUGAUUCAACUCUUUUUCAAGAGAAUUGAUGUUCUGGAAGAAAAUUAUGACUCUAUCAUUGCUAUUAGUUUGUCUUGUAAUUCAAUUAUUGCCGACAAGUAUUAACUGUGAUUAUUUUUAUUUUAAAAAUUAUUAUUAUUAAUGUAUUGCAAUUUUGAGCCUUAUAAUUGCAAUUAGUUUGUCUUGUAACUAAAUUAUUGCCGACAAACACUAUCAUGCUGACAAACAAUGCAUGCACGUCCUCAGUCACCCACGUCCUCUACUUGUGUGAAUGUGUAUAUAAAUAUAUCUGGAGCAUAUUAUAAAACCAGAAGCAAAAGCAACUGAAGUUUUGAAUACGGUUCACCAGAAGUUAGAAGAUAUCUUUUCUAAUUUGAAGAAUAUGGAAACUCCUUAUCCAGGUUCUUAGGCCAUGUUCAGCUGAAUGUCACUUAUAAUUUUUAUUUUAAUAUAUGUAUUUAUGAAUACAAUUGUUGUUAUGAUUUUUUCAGGUAAGAACGAAUGGUCAGAGGGUAACCCAAUAACUAUGUACAGCAUUAUUAAUGAUGAGAGCGUGAAUGACAAUCUGGAUCUUAUUGUCGUCCCUCAAUACGGAAGAAAUCUCGAUCACACUGGUUAAGUGCUAUCCUACUCUUUCGUAUUAUGUUCAAUUAAAUAAAAUGAUGGGUUAUUAAUACCUGUCAAUUAUGUGAGUGUCUCUGUUUGGUUUAGUUCAACUUAUAAAAUCUCUUGAAAUAUACAAGAGAUUUUCUUUAUUUACGUUUGUGUACCGUGUCUUCUUGAAAAAAGAAAUUAAUAAAAAAUAUCAUUGUGUGAUCCUUUUCUUUCCCCUACUGCUGUAGCAUCAAAUCCUUAGAAUUAGAUAUCAAGUGGUAUUCGAGCCGUCAAAUGAUCCGUGGCAACACGCAACAAAUCAAAUGCUGAAUUUCGCGAAGAGAUUAACAAAAUCCUUGCUAGACACGAGUCUAGCUUUGACCAAGUUGACGCCACCCUUCAAACAAUCCUUACUGAACUUCAAUCCUUGCAUCUCCACUCUCCAAUGUACUUCCCCAGAGGGGAGACCAACCCAUUUGCUACAGCUCACAUCUCUUCACGAUACUGGUUAAAAGCAUGGGGGCAUUAGUCGAAGACGCUUCUUGGGAAAACCUUUAGCGAUUCUCAAAGACUUUGACAUUGUGGACAAAGUGGUUGCAAGGGGUGGGGAUUAAUAUGUCUCCAAACGACAAGCAGCCAUGCUCACUGAUUAUGUGUGCAAUAUUCCCGUAUUUCCCAUUAUUUCCUGUACUUUAUGCAUUAUUGUUUUGUAUGUCUUUUGGUGUUUGUGGUGUAGUUAGGGAUGGUAGCGGGUAGGGUCUGGUACGGGUUUGACAUCACCAAACCCGCAUCAACAAAAAACUUUAAUUACUAGAUUCGCUGUGGGUUAUAUUUAAUUUUAUUUUUUAAACAAAGCCCAUUCACUGUGGGUUUGAUUGGUGCCUAGUAGAUAUUUUGCGAGUUCCCACAUAUAAAAUCACACUAGCAACAAAAUCUAAAAAUUUAAAUUACGUAAUUCAAAUUAUAAAUUUAUAACUGUUGCCUAAAAAUACCACAUAAAAUACUUAAUUGUAGAUUUUAUCAAUGUAAAUGAGAAAUGAAAAUAUCAACAUUAAAAAAUACACAAAAUAUAUCAAUUUAACACGAAUUUUCAAAUUCAAUUACCAAAUAAAUAAGUUUAUCACAACUCGAAGUGCUUUCAAUUGAAAAAGAAAAAAGAGAAAGAGAAAAAAAUAAAGAACUACAAAUCAAAGUAGCACCCAUGACCUAUUUCAUAGGCUCAUUCAACACCAAGAUCUUAGAAUUAAGAUCUUCAAUUCAUCCGUUACCACUAGCACCCAUUCAACGUGGUUUUUCUAAACAAAAAAUAAAGUACAAAAUUACAAUAAGCAUAUGAUACUCCAUGCUUUAAGUUAAAGAUCCUUCUAUAAUUUUAUGAAUAAUUUUUUAGUGAAAUUUUAUGAUUAAAGUUAAAAAUACAAAUAUUAAAAUAAGAAUGUUGGACGCCUUCGCAACUAUUUGCCAAUUUUUUUUUCUAUAUAAAAAUUCACCUGCAACUUAUAGCAGGUUUAAAUUUAUAAUAUCAAACUUGAUUGUGGCUCGCAAAAUUUUUGGAUUUGCGAUAAUUUUGCCACCCUAAGUGUGGUUAGUGUGUUUCCAUUGGCUCUUUAUAAAAGCCUAGAAGUUGUUUGAAUAAUGAGGGAGACAAAUAUUUCCCAAAGAUAUUCUCUUUUUCAAAUUGUUUUCAAAUAUUUCCCAAAGAUAUUCUCUUUUUCAAAUUCUUUUCUUUUCUCUAUUAUUGUAACUUCAAAUCCUUGAAAUUACAUAUUUCAAAUCCUUGACAUGAGCACAAUGUUUUGACAUAGUGGCUUUUGGCUUGUCUAGAGAAAUUUAGGAUAGAUUUUGAUGUAUUAAGGCUCGUUUUACUAUUGAGAUUUUGGAACUUUUGAGCCACACUUGAAAUUUGUAUUGUUCUAAUAGAGUUGUACCCUUCGAUAUGUGAUUGGUAUUAAUCAGGUGAUAUGUUUACAGCAGUUAAAGGCAUAUUGAAUCAAAGUCCACUUUUGAUUGAGAUUUUAAAGUAUGUUUUUAAUUUGAUAGCCACUCAAGUUCAAAUAUUGGAACCACAGUGCUUUAUAACCAAGUGAGAGAAUUUGUGUCCUGAAGGUUGAGGGCUGCAAAUCGAGUUUUACUACCAACAAAAGUUGGUGUUAAGACUUUAGUUGCCCUCCUACUUAUGGAUAAGGAUAAUUAGGACUUUACAUCCCCUCCUACUAAUAGAUAGGGGUUAUUAGGAAUAUUAAAAAAAGGUUCAAAUAUUGAAAAAAUAGGUAUGGGUUAUAAAAUUCAUAAUACAAGAACAAGAAAUCAAGAUAAAAAUUUAAAAAUUAGAACCAUGAGAGCGUAACUUGUAAGUUUCAAAGAAUCAUGUGCAAACAUAUGCAUAUCGAUACCCAUUAGGGGUGGGCAUUAAGAUCGGGUUAACCCGAACCGAACCUCAAAUUUAUUUUGGGUUCAAUUUGAUUUUGGUUGAACCUUUCAACUGAGUUGAAAACUUAUAAACGACUGUGUUGUAUUUCUGUUCGAAUUUAACAACAAACUAAGCAACCUAAUCAACUUAAGUAAGCAAAUUUUAAAAAAAUCCCAAAAAAUUAAAUCUAACCCUAAUUAAAAAAAUUCAACCGCGGCCUCCUUCUCGUCUUCUUUUCUUCUUCUUCCUCUUGCUCACCCCUAAUGCCCCAUUAAUGGAAUUCCAACAGCUAGAAACGCGUUUCACCCGCUUGCGCGUGUGAGAAAUUUUCCCUCCCAUAGGAUUGUUCGUUUCCUUGGCUUGCAUCCCGGCAGGAUACUCAAGCCGGGCAUUUUUCGGGGCCUAGCCCACCUAUAAGUUUUACCAAAGCCCAAUCACAAGUUCAUAAUGUUUAGUGGUUACUAUUGCUAUAUAUAUAUAUUUUUUAAACCAAUUUUCACAUUUAUUAAUAUAGCCCAACAGAUUUUUCCAAAAAAUAAAAUUAAAUAAAAAUACAAGCCCACGAAAUUCCUUUUCCGAUUUUGGAAUCCACCUGCACCUUUCACUUGCUAGGCUUUAACCAAACAGACGAUGUUAUACAAACUUCUAUCCAAUAAGGCAAUGCAAACAAAAGCAAGUGAAUUAAAAAUAAAUAAUUUCUCAUUAAUUUGCAACAAGUAUUAAUAAAGUGCAUCAGAAAAUAUGCAUUUUUUAAAAUGAAAAUAAAUGUGUUAAUUAGUCAAUUUAAAUGGUACGAUGUUUUGAAAUGAUAGAAGCGAUCUGGAGUUUAAGGUGGCGUUUAUUUUUUUGUUUGAAAUCUGAAUAGAGCUGAAUUAGUCUGAAUUCUGAAUAGAUCUGAAUAUCUGAAUCUGAAUAAUAUGUUUAUUUUUUCGUCUGAAUCUCGAAAAAUAAGUAUUAAGUUAUUUUUUUUUCAACUUAAAAACAUGAAAAUAUGUACUUUUACAUUUGUAUCCUUAUUAAAUUUGAAUGUCAAAUAAAUAAUAUAUUAAAUACCACAAUAUUUUAAGAUUUAUAAGUAAAAUUGUAUUCAAGUGAAUACAUAAUUAUUUUAAAAUUUUAAUAUAUAAAAUACCAUAAAUUUCAAAUUUUAUUGUAUAUAAAUAAGAAAGAAAAAACAGAGAUAUUUUUAUGUGGGGUAAAUAUCUAUGGGUGAGUUUUGGGAUAGACACGAAAAAUAAAUUAUAAAGCAGGGAUAUUUUUGACAUUAGUAAAUAAUUGACUUAAUUCAGAUUUCUCCAUUAAGUAAAAAGCCAAAAAAAUUGGCUUAUUUUAUUAAGUCAAAAUUAUCUAAAAAGUCUCAUUAAGUUAUAAAAACAAACAUCUCUAAUUAACUUAAUCAAUUAAGUUAAAUUACUUUAAGUUAUUAAGUUAAAAAACAAAAGCUACCUAAAUCUUACUCUUGACGUAAUAUUUAAUAACGAAUUUGAAGAACAAUUAAAAAUUAAAAGAAAAGAAAAAGUGCUUUCUUUUUUAACGAUGAUAAUUUGUUCGGAUGAUGAAAAUUCUUAGAGUGGUAUAAUAAGUAUUUUCGAGUGUUGCCAUCGCGAAUAAUAUUUAAUUUCCUUUAUAUAGUUAUAUCUCAAGUAACAUUUAAAUAGAAGCAAGUUGGAAAUUAAAAAAAAAAAAAGAACCAUUGAGAGAAUGAAAAACUAACCAAAAAAAAAAGUUAAAAAUUUGUAUCUCAAUAAAUUUACUUGAGAGCUACUCUACUAAUCCGUGAAGAGAAAACACAAAGAAUAAUGAUGUAUCUCAAUUAAUAGGACAAUUUUUGUAUUUUUCUUUUAUUCAAGAAUCAUGAAACUUCAUUUAAACUUAUUAUUUCAUUGAUAAUAUAUUAAUAUUGAACAAUUUAGGAGACAUUCCUUUCCAAUUAUGCCCAUGUAUUAAUUAAAAACCACAAAUACGUUCAGGGAUACUAUAGUAAUUUAAAUCAACAAUUUCUGUGCUUGAAAUCAUCCGAUUAGACUCACGUCAGAAUAAACUGAGAUAUCAAAAUCACAUUCUCCAAUUCUACGAUUUCAAUUCAUCUUCAUAACUUCAACUGAAGAAUUGAUUGUAUAUCGUUUUAAUUUUUUUUAUAUAAAGAUAAAUAUAAAAUAUAAAUGACGAGGAGACUGGAAAAGUAAAAUAAAAAAAAGAGCACGAGUUUUAUUGAAAAUUACUCUUUUUCAUCAUUUUGCCGAAGUGAAUGUAUCUACAUUUAAACGAAAGAAGCACAUUUGUUUGUAUUAGCUUUUUUAUUGUAUUUUUAAUAAUAAGUCAUUUUUCAAUGAACUUAUAUCAUUUUUUACGAAAAUAAUAGGUGUUAGUUAGUUGAUUCAAAUGGCAAGACCUCUUGGGAUAGAGUUUGUAAUUUAGUGGCUUAUCAAUUGUUUAAAUAGGUAUUAUUAGAGCCAAAUUAUUGUAUUUGGUUAAAAAAGCUCCUACUUAGCUUACAACUUUAUUAUCCUAUUAUGUUUAUUAAUAAAUAACAAUUUUAUUGAAAAAAAACAGGAUCUGUUGAAAUGGUACAAAAAAUUUGGGAUCUAAAUCUCACUCGAAUUUAGCUUGAGGUUGGCAUUGUUAGCAUAAUAUUUGAAGAUAGAUUUUUUAAAAUUAAAAAAAAAAAAUUGGGUUCACACUAGUUAGUUUUAACUCAUAGUGAGAUUUAAAAAAAAGCGGAAUAAUAAAUCUUGAUAUCCUAAUUCAUGGAUAACAUCUACAUAAAAUAGUAAAAUUUAUUGUGUCGAAAAUAAGGGGUUUGAAGUUUAAUUUCGCUCACAUAGGUAGCAAGAGAAUCAAAUUAUUAUUAGAUUAAAUUAAUUAAAAAAAUUAUCUGAUAUCCAAAACACAGCAUAUCAAAAAAAUUGAAAUAAAAGAAAAUUGAAAAGCAAAACGAUUGAGAGAACGAAAAACUAACACAAGAAAAUGCCGAUAAUUAAUUGCCUCAGCGGGCACCAACUUAAUUAUGCUUAUUAAAGCAUGGGUUAUUUCAUUUUCAUUGAUAAUCAUUUUGACACCGGUCAAAUUUAAAAGUUUAAAUAAUGGGGGCCAUUUUUCUUUCCAGCUAUGCCCAUUAGCUAAUAAAAGAACCGCCGAAAGGGUUCGGGGAUAAUAUAGUAAUAUGAUUGAUAAUCAUUUUGGAGCUGAGAGUUCCACAUUUUGGGUUUUGGUUGACCAUAUUUUAAUACUUUUUCUGGAAAACAAAUAUAUAUUUAUUGACUUGUAAUGGGUGCAACUCAUGUUUUUGAAACAUUAAGAUCUUUACUUACUUACACUAAUGCGGCAACUGCUGCUUUGCUUUUUUUUUUUGUCCUUUUGCUUUUGACUUUUAUUUUUACUUUUUGACUUUUGCUUUUGGUUAAUAAUAAUAAUAAUAAUAAUAAUAAUAAUAAUAAUAAUAAUAAUAAUAAUAACUUUUUAAUUUAAUAUAAUAUUAAAUAAUUUAUUUUUAUUUUUAUUUGAAUAAUAUUAAUUUAAAAUUAAUAAUAAUAUAAAUAAUAAUAUAAAAUAUUAAUACAAUUUAAAUAUAUUAAUAUAAUAUAAUAUUUAAUUUAAAUUAAUCACAAAAAAUUAAUACAAUACAUUGUAGCAUCAAAUAUUAUACAAUAUUAUUAAAAUACAGUAGUGAUACAAUUUGAGGGAGAGUGUCAGCUUUUUCGAAUUAAAAAUAAUAUAUACCGCUUACUCUUUAUUAUUUUUAUAAUGUUCAACAAUCCCCUUGAGAUAAAAAAAAAAUUAAAUGAAAAGAAGGAGUAAAUAGAUGAUUUGCUUGAUGUUGUAUCUUAGAAAUAUAAAAUAUAUAUUUAUUAUUAAAAAUAUUUAAAAAUAAUAAAGAGUACAUAAAAAAAUAUCUUAUCCUCAACAACAAGAUCAGACGACGUCAAUCCAGCAAAAUGACUUGAACAAUUUGAAAGUCCAGCAACGGUCACCUCUUGGCACAUAUAUGGCAACGAGGUCUCCCAAAAGGACGAUUAAGGAAAGAUUGCAAGACAGAAUCAUGAGUGUUAGAAAUCACAUCCCUGUACUAAUUUCCAGAAAUAUGUUUGUUCCAUAUUUGCCGUACAUGUAUGUAUUCUAUAUAAUGGGAAUAGAAAGAGCGUGUAAAAAAUUCUUCAUUCAUCAAUUAAAACUUAACUUAUGUACGAGGGUUAAGUGUAGAGUUUUUAAAUUUGAAAGGGAUAAGUAUUAUAGUCCAUUUCAAUUUAGAUACAAGUACUUCGAACUUAUAUUUGAGGCAAAAAUCUGUAUACCAUAGUACAUAUUAUAUAUCCAGUCAUGGGAUCCAUGCAUGGUUCCAUGUAAUUCGCAGAGUUGAACUGGAGACACUGAUUAGUUGGUUGUCUACUUACCAACUUAUGUACUACUAAGUAAUUUUUUGUAUUAUGGUUCAAAAGCAUAUUAUCAAACCAGAAUCAGAAGCAACUUAAGUUUUGAUUACGGUUCACCAGAAGUCACAGCUAGCAAGUGAUCCUUGCAUCAUUUUACUAAACAUACAAUGAAUUUAACCCUUGUAAUUUCGGCCUUUGCCAUAGUCGUUUUGUUUAUUAGGUUUAUGUUUAUCAACAUGAUAUAUUGUCAACCAUAAUCACAAUCAAGUUGUUAAUUAUUUUUUAAAUAAUGUGAAGGUACAAGAUUUUGGUCUUUGAGUGUGGGGUUAAAAAUAUCUCACCUCAAUAUACGGUGUUGUGCUCUCAUCAUCUUAACAUUAUUUGUUAAAAAUUAUGUCAAAGAGGAAAGCAGAUUCAAACAUUACUUCAAUUUUCUUUAAGAGCAUAAAAAAAUCGUUAAUAGGCUACUGUUAUUUGUUAGUACGAUUUCACAAAAGGAAGCUGGAGGAAGCUUUCAAGUCAUGUGUUCAUCAAAGUAAGAAACAGAGCUAAUGGGAAAUUUUCAUAAGAGUGCCAAUAUUUCAACUCUUUUUCAAAUGAAGUGAUGUCCUGGAAUAAAGGACUUGACUAGCUUACAGAUUCUGUAAGCUACAGACUGCAGCAUCAGCCGUUGGAUGUGGUUGGACGUGGAGUGAGAAACUAAACAAUAGAAAAUCGGAUGGUGGGAUGACGGGAGAUGUUUGUUACAGAAUCUGUACCAUAGACAGGUCCUGGAAUAAAAUCACUACUCUAUCAUUGCUAUUAGUUUGUCUUGUAAUUCAAUCAUUGCCGACAAGUAUUAAUUGUGAAUAUUAUUAUUUUAAAAAUAUUAUUAUUAUUAUCGUCGUUAUUCUUAACAGCAAUGACUAGAAUUAUAAUAAUAACAAUAACAUUAAUACAAUAAUAUUACAACAUAAUAAUAUUUUAAUUGAGAGGAUAAGAAUGAAAUUAUGAAAUUUAGGUUGGGUAAAAAUGGUGAGUAUGAGGAAAUUAAUUUACCAUUUUUUAAGCUAAACAAUUUAUAAAUUCCACAUAUUUCAUUUUUAUUUCUCUUAUAUUUUAACAAAUAAACAUUAUCAAUUGUUUUAAUAUUUUAAUUAAUAAACACGGCAUUAACUACGGAACUAAAAGAUCCCCCCCCAAAAAAAAAAACAGAGACGCGUGUAUGUAUUGCUUGUGACAAAUCUCACCCAUGGAAAACUUUGUGAAAGGCAUUUGAAUGUGUGGCCACAUUUAAUGAACGAAACGUUAACUUUAAAAGAAAGUAUGUACUGUGUUCAUUAUUAGGCUUUAGCCUGAUGAUUGCAAUUAGUUUGUCUUUUAAUUAAAUUAUUGCCGACAAACACUAUCACGACCCACGUCCGCUACUUGUGUGAAUGUGUGUAUAAAUAUCCGCAGCAUAUUAUCAAACCUGAAGCGCGAUCAUCUUUAAAUUUUGGUUAGGGUUCAUCAGACGUUGGAAGAUAUCUUUUCUAAUUUGAAGAAGAUGGAAACUCCUUAUGCAGGUUCUUAGGCCAUGUUCAGUUGAAUGUCAUUUAUAAUUUUUAUUUUAAUAUUAUGUAUUUAUGAAUAUAAUUAUUGUUAUGAUUUUUUCAAGUAAGAACGGAUGGUCUGAGGGUAAUUCAAUAACUAUGUACAGUAUUAUUAAUGAUGAGAGCGUGAAUGACAAUUUGGAUUUUAUUCUCGUCUCUAAAUACGGAAAAAAUCUCGACUAUAGUGGUUAAGUGCUAUGUAACUCUUUCGUAUUAUAUUUAAUUAAAUAAAAUGAUUUGUUAUUAUUACUUGUCAAUUAUGUGAGUGUCUCUGCUUGAUUUAAUUCAACUUAUAAAAUCUCUUGAGAUAUAUAAGAGAUUUUCUUUAUUCACUUUCAUGUACAUCAUCUUCUUGUAAAAAGAAAUUAAUAAAAAAAAUAUCAUUGUGUGCAAAGUAUUGACUAAGUUAGUGUAUUCAUGUUAGCUUAAUUGUGCUCUCUCUUCUUAAUUUUUUUGUUUUUUUUGGUUAAAACAAACUCCACAUAUUGUUGGUUAGCUAAUUCUUGCAGCUAGCAAGUGAUCAUUUUCUUUCCCCUACUGCAGUAGCAUCAAAUCCUUACAAUUACAUAUCAAGUGGUAUUCGAGCCGUCAAAUGAUCCAUGGAAACACACAACAAAUCAAAUGCUGAAUUUUGCGAAGAUAUUCACGAAAUCCUUGCUAUACAUGAGUCUAGUUUAUUUCAAACUACGCGUGCAAUGUUCCCGUUAUUGUUUAGUAUGUCUUUUGUUGUUUGCAAUGUAGUUAGGGAUGCUAGCGGGUAGGAUUUGGUACGGGUUUGACAUUACCAAAAGCCGCAUCUGUAAAAAAAUUUUAAUUAUCAAAUUCAUUGUGGGUUUUAUUUAUUCGUUUUUUUUCUUUUAACAAAGCCCAUCAGCUGUGGGUUUAAAUGGUACCUGAUGGAUAUUUUGUGAGUUCCUACAUAUAAAAUCACACUUGCAACAAAACCUAAAAACUUAAAUUACGCAAUUCAAAAUAUAAAUUUAUAAUCAUAGUCUAAAAAACCACAUAAAAUACUUAAUUCUAGAUUUUAUUAAUGUAAAUGAGAAAUGAAAAUUUUAAUAUUAAAAUAAAUACACAAAAUAUAUCAAUUUAACACAAAUUUUCAAAGUUAAUUAUCAAAUACAGAAGUCUAUCGCAACUCAAAGUGCUUUCAAUUGAAAACGAAAAAAGAGAAAGAGAAAAAAAACAAAGAACUACAAAUCAAAGUAGCACCCAUGACCCAUUUUGCAGUCUCAUUCAAUACCACUAGCACCCAUCCAACACGAUUUUUCUAAAGAAAGUAUAAAGUACAAAAUUACAAUAAGCAUAUCAUACUCCAUGCUUUAAGUUAAAGAUCCUUAUAUAUUUUUAUGAAUAAUUUUUUAAUGACAUUUUAUGAUUAAAAUUAAAAAUACAAACAUUCAAAUAAGAAUGUCGGACACUUGCGCAACUAUUUACCAAAUUUUUUCUCUAUAAAAAUCGACCUGCAACUUUCAAUAGGUAUAAAUUUAUAAUAUCAAACUUGAUUGCAGAUCGCAAAAAUUAUCCGUUGCGGCCAAGACUUUGGAUUUGCGAUGAUUUUACCACCCUAAGUGUAGUUAGUAUUGUAUAUCAUGUGGCUCUUAUAAAAAGCCUAGAAGAUGUUUGAAUAACGGGGGAGACACAUAUCUCCCAAAGAUUUUCUCUUUUUCAAAUUAUUAUUUUUUCUCUAUUAUUGUAACUUCGAAUCCUUAUAAAUUACAGAUUGGAGACAUGAACACAAUGUUUUGACAUAGUGGACUUUUGGCUUGUCCAGAGAAAUUUAGGAUAGAUUUUUACGCACUAAGGCUUUAUUUACUAUUGAGGUUUUAGAACUUUUAAGCCACACUAGAAAUUUGUAUUGUUUUGAUAGAGUUGUAGUCUUUGAUAUGUGAUUGGUAGUAAUCAAGUGUUAUGUUUACAAUAGUUAAAGGCAUAUUGAAUCAAAAUCCACUUCUAAGGGCUUGAUUGAGUGAUUGUAAAGCAGGUUUUUAGUUUGCUAGCCACUCAAGUUCAAAUAUUGGAACCACAUAGCUUUAUAGCCAAGUGAGAGAACUUGUGCCCUAAAAAUUGAGGGGUGCAUAUCGAGUUUUACCACCAAUAAAAAUUGGUGUUAAAACUUUAAUUUCCGUCCUAUCAAUGGAUAGGGGUAAUUAGGAGUUUACAUCCCCUCCUAUUUAUAGACAGGGGCUAUUAGGAAUAUUAAAAAAAAGUUCAAAUAUUGAAAAUAUAGGUAUGUUUUAUAAAAUUCAUAAUAUAAAGACACAAAAUCAAGAUAAAUAUUUAAAAAUUUAGAACCAUGAGAGCAUGACUUGUAAGUUUCAAAGAAGUAUGUGCAAAUAUAUGCAUUAUCGAUGCCCAAUUAAGGAUAAGCAUUGAGAUCGGGUUAACCCGAACCGAACCGAACUUAAAAUUGAUUUUGGAUUCAAUUUCGUUAUGGUUGAAGCUUUCAACUGAGUUCAAAACUUAAAAAUGAUUGGGUUGUAUUUCUGUUUGAAUUUAACCCCAAAAGACUAAUCAAUCCAAUCGAGUUAAGUAAGCAAAUUAAGACAAAAUAUCCCAAAAAAUUAAAACUAACCCUAACUAAAAUAUUCGACCGCGGCCUCCUCGUUUUCUUUUCUUCUUCCUCCCCUCGCUCACCCCUAAUGCCCUUCAUGGAAAUCCAACAGCGCCAAACGCGUUUCGGCCGCUCGCACGUGUGAGAAAUUUUCCUUCUCGUAGGAUUAUUCGUUUCCUUCGCUUGCAUGCCAGCAGAAUAUUCAGGCCGAGGAUUUUUCCGGGCCUAGCCCAACUAUAAGCUCGCCCGAAACCCAAUCAUAAGUUCAUAACGUUUAGCGUUUGCUAUUACUAUAAUUUUUUUUAACCAAUUUUCACAUUCAUCAACAUAGGCUGACAUAUUUUGUAGAAAAAAAAUUAAAUAAAAAUACAAGCUCACGAAAUUCCUUUUCCGAUGUGGGAAUCUAUCUACACCUUUCACGUGCUUUUUUUUUUGGUGGUGGGGGAUUCACUUGCUUUUGUUUGCAUUGCCUUAUUGGAUAAAAGUUUGUAGAACAUCGUCUGUUUGGUUAAAGCCGAGCAUGAGUGAAGAAGCGAUCUAAAGUUUAAAUCUUACUCACACUUAAUUUAGGGUUGGGGAUUAAUUGACGUAAUAUGUAUUAACGAAUUCGAAAGACAAUUAAAAAUUAAAAGAAAAUAAAAAAGUGCUUUAUUUUUUAUGAUGGUAAUUUGUUUAGAUGAUGAAAACUCUUAGAGUGGUAUUAUCAAUACAUAGUUUUGAGCGUUGCCAACGUGAAUAAUAUUUAAUUUCCUUUAUAUAGUUAUAUCUCAACUAACAUUUAAACAGAAGUAAGUUGUAAAAAAAAUGAACCAUUGAGAUUUGAGAGAACGAAAAACUAAAAAAAAAAAGUUAAAAAAUUAGAUCUCAAUAAAUUUACUUGAGAGCUACUUUACUGAUUAGUGAAGAGAAAACACAAAGAAUAAUGAUGUAUCUCAAUUAAUAGGACAGUUUUUGUAUUUUUCGUUUAUUCAAGAAUCACGAAACUUCAUUUAAACUUGUUAUGUCAUUGAUAAUAUAUUAAUAUUGAACAAUUAAUGUAGGAGACAUUCCUUUCCAAUUAUGCCCAUAUAUUAAUUAAAGACCACCAAAAAGUUCAGGAAUACUAUAGUAAUUUAAGUCAACAAUUUAUGUGCUUGAAAUCAGCAGAUCAAACUCACUUUAGAAUAAACUGAGAAAUCAAUAUCAUAUUCUCUGAUUCUACGAUUUCAAUUCAUCUUAUUCUUCAACUGAAAACUUGGUUGUAUUUCGUUUUAUUUUAUUUUUAUUUUUAUAUAAAGAUAAAUAUAAAAUAUAAAUGACGAGGAGACUAUAAAAGUAAAAUUAAAAGAAGAGCACGAGUUUUAUUAAACAUGACUCUUUUCAUCAUUUUGCCAAAGUGAAUGUAUCUACAUAUAAACUAAAGAAACACAUUUGUUUGUAUUGGCUUUUUUAUUAUAUUUUUAAUAAUAAGUCAUUUGUCAAUGAACUUAUAUCAAUUUUUACGAAAAUAAUAGGUGUUAGUUAGAUUAUUCAAAUGGCAAAACCUCUUGGGAUAGAGCUUGUAAUUUAGUGGCUCAUGAAUUGUCUAAAUUGACACUACCGAAUUAUUGUAUUUGGUUAAAAAAGCUCCUACUCUGCUUCAACUUUAUUAUCCUAUGAUGUUUAUUAAUAAAUAACAAUUUUAUUGAAAAAAAAGACCUCUUGAAAUGAUACAAAAGAUUUGGGAUAUGAAUCUCACUCGAAUUUAGCUUGAGGUUGGCAUUGUUACCAAAAUAUUUGAAGAUAGAAUUUUUUUUAAUUAAAAAUCAAAAGAUUUUUUUUUUGGGGUUCAUACUAGUUAGUUUUAACUCAUAGUGAGAUUUAAACAAAAACGGAAUAAUAAAUCUUGAUAUCCUGACUCAUGGAUAACGUAUAGAUAAGAUAGUAAAAUUUAUUGUGUCGAAAAUAAGAGGUUUGAAGUUUGAAUUUCGCUCACAUAGGUAGUAAGAGAAUCAAAUUAUUGAUAGAUUAAAUUAAUUAAAAAAAUUUCUGAUACCCAAAACAACAUAUCAACAAAAUUGAAAUAAAAGAAAAUUGAAGAGAAAAACCAUUGAGAGAACGAAAAAUUAACACAAAAAAAUUUCUAUAACUAAUUGUAUCAGUGUGCGCCAACUUCACUUAUUAAAACAUGGUUAUUUCAUUUUAAUGGAUAAUCAUUUUGACACCGGUCAAAUUUAAAAGUGUUAAAAAAUAUGGGCGAUUUUUCUUUCCACCUAUGCCCAUUAACUAAUAAAAGAACCGCCGGAAGGGUUCGGGGAUAAUAUAGUAAUUUAAACUAACAGUUUCUGUGCUUCAAAUCAUCAAAUCAAACUCACACCUCACAAAAGCAGAGAAAUCAAAUGGUUUCCGACUCUACGCUUUAAAUUCAGCUUCAUUUCUUCAACUGAAGAAUCGGUCGUCUCUCAUUUUUUAUUUAUUAUAUAAAGAUAAAUAUCUAAAUUUAAAUGGCGAGAAGAGCGGACGAGGAAUACGAUUACUUGUUCAAAGUGGUAUUAAUCGGCGAUUCGGGAGUCGGCAAAUCGAACUUACUCUCCCGAUUUACUCGUAACGAGUUCUGUUUGGAGUCCAAAUCCACUAUUGGCGUCGAAUUCGCCACCCGCACUCUUCAAGUAACUAACUUUUCCUCUUUCACUUCUCUUCAUUUUUAUUAGUUAAUUAAGAUCCAGUUAAUGUAAUUAAUUUUAUUUAAUCUUUCAAAUAAAGUUCUAGAUUAGGUUAACUUAGAUUCAUGUGAAGUUGAAGUGAUUUACUUUCGAUCUCUUUUUCGUCCUAUGUUUAUUUGUACUUACUAUUACUUUUUUUUGGGUUAAAAUUUUCGUUUUUGAAGUGUUUACUGAAUAAAUUUCUGAGCUUUAUUUGUGUAUGCUGAUUGAUUUGUGAUUUUAAUUUGUGAUUUUUUUUUUUGGAAUUUAAAUUUGAAUGCUUUUUAAGUUGAAUCUGAAUGUGUUGGGCUGCGAUUUAAUUAAGUCAUCUGUGAGCGCCAAAUUGUGAUAGACUGAUAGCUAUAUAUUGGGGUGAAAAUUUGGGAUUUAAAGUUAUGUAUUUAAGAUGCAGUUAAUUCGCAAGUGACAAUUAUGGGCCGGCAGAUUUUGUCAUUGGAAGACUGUUCUCCACAUGUUGAAGUUAGUGAUGCAAGUUGAAACCAAUCUGUUUAAGCUUGGGGUUUCAUGUCUUGAAUCAAGGCUGUGACUUGGGGUGGGUUGAAAGUAUUAUAGCUUUAGCUAUUCCUGAAGUGAUCUGUUUAGACUCACCGUGAUGAGACCGAGUGCUGUACAGUAAAAUUAAAGGAAGUUGGAAAAUAUUUACUUAGCAUUUCGCGUUACUAAUGUUGAACUAAUAAAACCUAGCCCCUAUCCUAGUGAAUUUAUGUUAAAAAGCUAUGCACGCAUUAAGUUAGUGCGAGAGUCUGCUGAAGCAUACGUCAGCUGUGUGUUUGGAGCUGAGUAUUCUUCAUUCCACAUUUUGGGUUUUGGUUGACCUCCAGCAUGACUCAACCCACUUGAGUUAAAAGCCCUAGAGUUACAUUCUACCCAUGAUGUCUUAGGUUUGGAAAAGAUGGGGCACAGGUUACAAAAUUUUUUUGAGUUUUGGAUUGAAGGAACAAAAUUGUUGAUGUCUAGCUCACAAUAUUUGAAGUCACUCUGUGCUUCAUCAUGUAAAAUGGAUUGAAUUGCUGUAAGAUCAGGUCAAAUUAAAAUGUUUAAACUCAUUUUUAAGAAACGAAUUCUCAAUUGGACCAGCCUUUCACAGAAGCUGAUAUCACAGAAGCUUUGAGUCAGAUGCAUCCAACCAAAGCCCCUAGCCCAGAUGGUCUCCCAGUAGUAUUUUUCCAAAAGCUUUAGAAUUCAGUAAGCGAAGGAGUUAUAGCCACUUGUCUGCAUAUCCUCAAUGAUGGAGGUAAUAUUGCUCCUUUGAAUCAUACAUACAUUGCUUUAAUCCCCAAGAUAGCAAAACCUAGGACUCUGAUGGAGUAUAGACCAAUCAGCAUAUGUAAUGUAAUUUAUAGGAUCAUUGCAAAGACUGUAGCGAAUAGGCUGAAGCUAAUCUUAGAUCAUGUUAUUUCGCCAACUCAGAGUGCUUUUAUGCCAAAUAGGCUCAUAACUCAUAAUAUAAUUAUUGGGCAUGAGUGUCUUCAUAAGUGGACAAAGCUAUGUUCCAGAGGUGAGAUAGGAAAUUCUCCCGCACGACACAGCAGAAACAAACUUUCCCUUUCAUUUUCUUUUCUCUUUCUCGCUCUCCAAACAGAGCAAAAGGACCGUCGCAAGAUUCUUCACUUCCAUCCAAAAUCAUGAGCAACGAAUAGUGAGCCUCCCUGUUUCCUUCCUUUUUUUGAUAUUAACAUUGUUAACAUAUACUCAUUUUAAUUUGACAAUACUUCAACUUUUUUUAUUUUUUUGCCUUUUCAUUUUUUUUGUGGAAGCAAUUAUCUGUUCAAGCUGUUGCUUAUCGGAGACUCGUCUGUCGGAAAUUCCUGCCUGCUGCUCUGAUUUGCUGUCUGUUGACUUUUCCUUUCCCUUCUUAUUUUCUUUUUUUAUAUUAAUUACUUUCUAUUUUAGCUUUUUGUUCUCUGAAUUUGUGUUAUUAAAAUGAUAAUUUAGAUGAUAAAUAAUUGUUAUUCUUGUAAAUUUAGGUUUUCAUUACGUUAAUUGUUAGUUUUUAGGUUUAUUAAUGUAAUUUUUUUUGUUUUUUUUUUUCAAUUUUUCAGGAUGAUUCUUAUGUCACCGCUACAUCAGUACCAUUGGAGUUGAUUUUGUGAGUCUCUCUUCUAUAUAUAUGUAUAUAUGUGUAUCAGUUAUAAUAUGAGUCUAUGUACGUGUAUGUAUGUAUGUGUAUGUAUAUAUGGAAAGAAAUGUUGGCAGACUUCAGCAUUUUACUCUUUUUUUUUUUUUUUUGGGCAGAAAAUAAGAACUGUGGAGCUGGAUGGGAAGACGAUCAAACUGCAGAUUGUGAGUCAAAAUUUCCUUUUAUCUUGUAUUGAGAGAAAUUCGAUUUGUCUUAUUUAGUGAAGGUUAUGUUCAAGAACCUUGUCUUAUUUUCUUUGUUUGAAGAGUGAUAUGUUGAAAUGAGUGUAUUUGUCUUAUAAACAUCAUUUAGGUAAUGUCUGAUGUUUGAUUGUUUUUCAUCUGUUUAGUGGGACACUGCUGGACAGGAGCGAUUCAGGACUAUAACUAGCAGUUAUUACCGAGGAGCCCAUGGAAUCAUAGUAAGGAGCCUUCCCGCUUCUUGGUUUAAAUCAGAAAGUUUGUGAUUUACAUGUGACAUCUUAACAACAUUGUACUUUUCAAAAAAAAAAAUAAACAACAUUGUAUGUGUUUAUUAACUUAUUUUUCAUCUUUCGUUAAGCAGUACAUUUUCCAAUAAAUCUGUAUACAAGAUGAUGUAGUCCAAGAAUGGGAGCGAUAAUAUGAUGCAAAUUGUCUAAUAAAUUCUUAUGACAUAUGAUGUUGUCGGAAGUAAAAGUCUUGCAAUGCUCUCUUUUAAGAAAGAAUAAGUGGUAAUUUUGUUUUUCCAAUUUUUUAAUUGAGCAACUGUGUGAGAUUAAUUAAAUGUGUUGGGAUUUCAACAGAUUGUCUAUGAUGUAACUGAGAUGGAGAGCUUCAAUAAUGUCAAGCAGUGGUUGAAUGAGAUUGACAGAUACGCAAAUGACAGUGUAUGCAAACUUCUAGUUGGGAACAAAUGCGAUUUAGUUGUGAACAAGGUUGUGGACACACAGACAGCCAAGGUAUAUUCAUGACUUUUGUCGCCUGAACUUUGAAUAUAAUUUUAAACUCUUCUCAAGUGCAUUUGCUUGGUAAGUUUCUGCAUACCCAGGACACUCAAACUUUGGACAGUCUGUAUCUUGAGUUGGAAUCUUUUCUGUCAAUACGACAUGUUAAAAUAAGGGUUAUUAUCGUUUGAAUCAUUCAAGAAUUGCAAUAAAUCUAAAGUCCAUAAAAAAAUAUGAUUCCAUCAUUUUACUAUUAUAUCUAGACAAAACCCAUUAUUUUACUACAUUUCAUUGGCACCGAUAGUUGACCUGUUGGCUGACUGAUAAAAUAUCAAUUUUGCACUUUAUAUUAAUUCUUUUUUGGUUAAAAAAUAACACACAAAGUAUUACAAUAUUAUAAAUUCAAAAUAUAAAGUAGUUACAAAUAAUUCCUAUUAGCCUAUGAAUAUAAUAUUUGAUACCUCUAUUUGUGUAAUUUUUUUCCAAUGGUGAAAUUGUUAUUUUUUUUGUACUAAUGGAAAUGUAGUAAAAUCAUAAGUUUUGUAAAGAUAUAGUAGUAAAAUGAUAGACUAAAAUACUUCUUGUAGUUGUUUGAUAUAUUGUAAUUCUUAAAGUAGUCAAUUGAUAAUAUCCCCUAAAAUAAAUGUUCGUAAUAUGUUCUCAUUUUAAUGCAACUGAUUGUUUAAUAAAAUUGUAUUUCUUUGUUAAUCUUUUAUCAUGUGCAUGCUCAGUGAGAAUUUGACUUACUAGAACACAAGUUUGACUCUUCAUUUAAAUGUCUCUUGUAUCAUAUCCUUCAAUGUUGAGUGUGAUUCCAAUAAAAUUGAGUAGGGAGAUCCUUAAAUACCUUUUCCUUUUUUCCAAGGGCCUGCCAAAUUGCUCUAAGUGGUUCUACCCUUUAUCAAUGAAUAAUGAAAAUAAAAUUUUUAUUAAAGCAUUUUGUUCCUUAAAUGGUGACUAAUAGUACCCCUUUUUUUUGGGGAGGAAAGCCAAACAUGCCCAAAGAGAAUCAUUUACUUUCCUCUAAUGUAUUUUCUAAUUCGUUUUGAGCCUUGAAUGUCUGUUUUGGUGCGUAUUCUCAUUCCAUGUUGAAUCUUAUCCACAUGGACAACCCCACUUACAAAAAAGUCUAAUGAAUCUAUUGAAGUUCAUAUGAGGUUUGUGCUUUAGAUUUAGACCUCUCUCUCUCUCUCUCUCUCUCCACUUACAUGUCUUUCACUUACCUGUUUGCAUGCAUGCCCAUGCACACACUUUCAAGAUAAUACACAGUCACUCGUACUUGUGUUUUGGUUGAAUUACUGGCUGCUAACCUCUGUAAUUCAGUUUGAAACUUGCCACCCUUAGUGCUUCACUCAAAUGGUUGGUUAGGGUGAGAUCUGUAUCGUUUUCCUGGUCUCUUUCCAGGGUUAUCUAAAGGGUUUUGGCAGUCUGAUUCUUUAGGGAAUAUCAUUGCAUAAGAUAUCUAUUGUUUGUUAAUGAAUAAUUUCUAUUUAACUAGUUAUCUAUAUAAAUUGGUAAAUUUUAACUGCAUAAUUUGCAUGCAAUAAGAUUUUAUAAGAAUCUUGUUUUCAACUCAUGACUUAGACUAAUGUGAUAUGUUGAGCAUUAAGCUACAAGAUCUGCACAUCAAAGUGCUUCACAAUGUUAAGGAGAAAGCAUCUUUUUCUGCUUCUUCAUGUGAUUUAAAGUUUCCAAGGUACUUAUUCUAUAAAAUAUCUUUCAAGACUUUGGAAAUGCUUUUAUGUAUGACUGAGAGAAACUUGUUGGGUUGGUUUUUAGCAACAGACGGAGUUAUGGACUUUGUGUUGACUUGUUAUUGAUUAAGACAGUACAUCGGCUGAUCUAUUGGCAUCAAGCAGCAGAUGCAGAAAUUAUGGGUGGCAUACCAUUGUAUCCAAAUAACAUACUACAUUGAUUUUUCUGACUUUCUGUUGGUCUCCGAGUGAAAUGCAGGCAUUUGCAGAUGAACUGGGGAUUCCUUUCCUGGAGACGAGUGCCAAAGAUGCAAUCAAUGUGGAGCAGGCUUUCUUGACCAUGGCUGGCGAGAUUAAGAAAAAGUAAAAUCACUUAACUCUUUCCUUCUUGCCGACUGUUCUUAUUUAACAAUCACUAUUAUUGCUGGUUAUAUGCAUUGUGAUGAAAAUUCUGCAAUGAGUAACUUUUUACCUAAUGUUUUCUGUUGGAACAAAUUACUCUGGUAGAAAAGCCCUACAGGGUUUGAGAAAUCCCAUGAUGUGAUGAUUGUGAGCAUUUUAGACACCGUCUAUGGGUUUAUUUUGUGACUAUAAAAUGUUAAGAUUGUUUCUAGUUUUGGUUUGUAGUGCAUAAAAGGAUUCAAAAUUUGACAUCUGUCUAAAUCAGAUUAAUAACAUGAUAAUGUACAUAUGCAAGAUGUGAGGAAUUGUUUUAUCUCACCCCUAAACUUUAAGAAAUUGAAACAUUAUUAUUCAAAAUAUUUAACAUUUCCAGAAUUGAUAGUUGUCUAUUUGAGCAGUGACUGGUGGUUAUCAUGAACUGAUGUGCGGUUGUGGCUUCAAAUCUUGGUGAAACCUGUUGUCAUAUGCUGAUUAACAUAGCUAGUCUCUGAAACAAUUUGUUGAUUCACUAAUUAUGAGUUCAAAUUUGAUGCAGAAUGGGCAACCAGCCUACUGCAAACAAAUCUUCUGGAACAGUUCAGAUGAAGGGACAGCCAAUCCAGCAAAACAGCGACUGCUGUGGUUAGCCGAGCUUCUUAUUUUACUUCUACAUGUUAGCUGACUGAUUGUAGACAGUUUUAACUAUGUUGACUGCAUUAUCUUAUGAAUCUUUUAAUCUGUCAAAUAUUUAUUUCCUGCUUUAAGUUCUUUCCCGUUUAUAACAAAUUUAAUUUCUUGCUCUAUUGCAUUCCAAAUUCCUGUUAAUUUACGAGGGAAAAAGAAAAGAGACGAAAUGGGAGAAAAUGGUCAAAUUUGUUAGGGGGAGAGAGCUGUUGAAGUAGUUUUUGUUCUCGUUUAUCGUCGUGACCCUCUUGUCGCUUAUCUACGACCUGGAAGUCUGGUCAUAUCGGAUGGGUAAAGUUACCGAAACGGCAUCAUUUUGGGUGAAAUAUCAUAUUUAUGUAACACUUUUGAUAAUAUUUUUAUGCAACAAAAAAAUGUUUGCAGUACCCUUUUCACAUUGUGAAGCGCAUGAUCGGAUGAGAGCAGUCUGGAUUCUGGCAUCACAAGCUAAUGCUUUUUUUUUUUUUUGAUUACAUGAGACUAUUGCUCAUAUUACAGCUCAUAUUACAUGAGAAUAUAACUGAUAUGUACAAAUCAGCUAUAACUGGGACCAACAUACAUCAAAGCUAAUGGAGCGCUGUCCAGAUUUUAACCCUCUCAAAUAUUCGAGGGAUGUCUACUCCUCGCACUGGGACAAGGAAGCAGACUGUCUUCACUCAAUUUUAUUUGAGGAAGGAAACACCCCCACAUGCAUUGUGGGGGUUCGAACUGCUGCUCUCCAACUGCUCUCCAACUUGGAGAGCAGCAGCUCUCACCACUCGGCCAAAGGCCGAGUGGCUCACAAGCUAAUGCUUUGAUUUGCUUAGUUUGUUUUUUGUUUCUGAUAUUUUCUCGGCAUCGGGUGGGAAAUUGUUUCUCUUUUGAGUUUCUCUUUUUUUUUUUUUUUUUUUGGUUAUGGAAUUUGGAGAUAGUGUAAAUGUACGCAGAUGAAAUUGUUGGGUUGGUUUUGUUAUGGAAUUUGGUUUACUUCACUAACCAUUAAUGCGCAAAACCUCCUAAUGACCCUCAAAAAUCCCGUACAUAAUUAAAGAAUUUCAAUUUUAUAUGUACAUAAAUAAAUAACUCUCAAAUAUAUUAUUUGAUAAUCCCAAAAACAACAAUUCACUCUAAUAAAUCUCGUAGUCAAUACAUGGUCUAUAUUGCAAGUGUUUUCGAGACUAAUUGAAAAAGAAAAUACGUUGAGUGAUGUAAUUGACCUUUACUAGUUAUAAAGAACUCUAAAUAAAUUCAUAUAGGCAUAGCAGCUAAUUACAGCCUUGAUACUUCAUUUGGUUUUUGUUAAUUUUCUAUAGAGUUGUGCUGUGCAUAAAAGUUUUGUUAAAUGAAAUCGGUAGGUGAGAAUUAAUUAAUCAAUUAAUUAAGAUCCAGUUAAUGUAAUUAAUUUUAUUUGAUUUUUUUAAUUCGAGUUCUAAAUUAAUCAAUGAAUUUAGAUUCAUGUGAAAUUGAAGUGAAUUAGUUUUGAUCUGUUUUUCGUCCUAUGUUUGUCUGUGUUUACUCUUACUUUGUUUUUUUGUUUAAAUUUUUGUUUUCUUAUUGUUUACUGAAUAAAUUUCUGAGCUUUAUUUGAGUAUGAUGAUUGAUUUGUGAUUUUAAUCUAAAUGUGUUGGGCUGCGAUUUAAUUGAGUGAUGUGUGAGCGCCAAAUAUUCAAUAACUGAUAAAUUAUAUUUAUAAAUAUUAAUAGCGAUGGCACAUAAACAAUUAAUUCAAGAACUUGCCCAUAGUGAUUAAUUUAAAGAGUAUAAGUAACAUUGCAAUGCAGUUAGCCCUUGCGUGUUUAAUUAGCAAUUGAAAACUAAUGUUGCUGAUGAGGUAGAACAUUAUAACACUGUUGCUGAUGAGGCAGCUGGUAAUUCUUCUGGUGAAGAUAUUAAGACUAUUAAAGCUGAAAUGUAAUUAGAGAAAUAUAAUGCAUUCCCUUAGUUUGCUUUUUGUUUUUUAUAUUUGUUUGGCUAAUGCUUUGCUUAGAUUACUUUUUGUUUUUGAGAUUUUAUUGGCUUAGUCAUGGGGUAUUGUUUUCUCUUCUAAUUUCUAUUUUUGUUGUUAUGGGAUUUGAUUGUAGUGUACAUAUACGAAAAUUAUGUAAUCAAAUGCUUUCAAUAAAUCAUGAUUGAUUUACUAUUAAUUAAUUAAAUUAAAUUUACUCAAAUUACUCAUGUACACAAUCAAAAUAAUUUUAAUUCCAUGAUAUAUAUACACGCGAGCACACAAACAAAAUGUAAUUAACUUUGAAAUAUAAAAUAUUUAAAAUAAUCACCGUACUAACAAUUCACAAAUCGGAUUUUAUAUAAAUAGACGAAAUAAUGUUAAUCUAGCGAAUCCAGUCAUAAUAAUUUGAUUUUCAUUUAUAUUAAUUAUGUCAAACCAUGCUAUUUUAAUAAAUAGCACUUGAGAAUAUAUAUAUCCAACAAGUAAAAUUUCAAAACAAUAUUUGCCAAAAUCUAAUGAAGAGAAUAUACACGCACGCACAUAUAUAACCGUACAGCAGAACGAUAAAUAAAAGAAAAUGAAGUUUCAACGGCUGAAUAAUGCAAAUUCAUUUUUUUUAACAAGCAUUUUAUUGUUUAAUUAAAAAAAUUUGAAAACCCAUUAAAUACAUGUAAGGACUCACUGAUGCCGAACCAUAUUAAUUUAAAUUAGUUUUCAAUUGAGAUUUGAAUUUUAAAAUUACACACACAAACACACCCGAUUUAAAAAUAAUAAUAAUAAUGCUAACAAUAAAAUAUUUCAGCCGUCCUAUGUGUUAAUCGCCAAAAACGGAUUUCCAAUCUAUUACAACAUGAGGUAUAUGAGUUAACAAGUCCCAAUAUUGUCCUCCAUCCUUUCUGCACUUCUCUGCUAUCAACGGACAUCCUGCGAUCUGUAAUUGCAAAAGUGAGGAAGGCAGGCCCUUCUCCGGAAAGUAUUUGAGCUUGGGACAAUUAUGGAGUCGCAAUGCAGUGAGGUUUUGAAGAUCAACAAUUGAAGAAGAUAGGCGUUCCAGAUUUGGAAAAUUGAAAAUCUCCAGAGACGUUAGAGAGGCAGGAAUAGGAAGCGCGGUCCCUAAUCUUUUGUCCUCUAGUGGAAAUGACACCAUGUCCUCAUCACAUCCACUGAUUAAAAGAUAUCGCAGAGAGGAGAAUCUGUGAAAUCCCCGUCCCCGCUCAAUCAUUGACUUCCAAAUCUCCAUAUUACCCCAAAUAUUAAGUGACUGAAGGUUGGUGGGAAGGCCAUCUUCUUCUUCAAGGCUUGGAAGCACACCUCCUUUUCCUGCUGUUAAUUCUUGAAGAGAGCUCAGAUUGUGCAUUCCCUUGGGUAAGGCCUCUAGUCUCUUACAAUUAGAUAUCGCCAGCCUCCUGAGUUUCGCACAAGGCAAUCCCCCUUCGGGAAAGGACACCAGAUUUCCACAACUAUCUAUACUGAUUGUUUCAAGAGAUGUGUUGUUGUCCAACCUUUCUGCUAUUGACUCCAGCUUUGAACAUCCCCAAACAACGAGGGACUUAAGAGACGAAGGUAGAUUGCCAACUUCAAGGGACUCAAGCGUGGCAGGUAACUCGUUUUUUGAAAAUAUACAUGUCAGAGAUGGACAACUAAUAAUUUCUACGUGCUCGAGAAGAGAUGAGGUGUACCUUCUGCUGCUGCUGCUGCUACACAGGAUACCCUCUUCCACUGUCAAAGUCCUUAUAUUAUCGCAAUCGCUGAUGCUCAGCUGCUUGAGGCUCGGUGGCAGCUGGACAGCAGCAAUAUAUGUCAACGAACGGCAACCAUGAAUACUCAAGAUCUCGAGAGACGAAUUGGUGUCGCACAUCCAUGCCUCUGGUAACGAUUUCAGUGCAUCACAAUGCCUAAUCUGAAUUUUCUUCAACUUGGAAGGCAGAGCAACCUCAGGAAAGGAAACAAGGGAACUGCACUUGCAGAUUUCUAUCUCUCUCAAGGAACUGAGGCUGAACGAUGAUUGUGGCAGCUUCACAAGGCCUUCGCAAUUACUCAAUCUUAGAUAUUCAAGUCUGCAUGACAACUCGCAGAGCUGCUGUUGUUGGUCUUUCUUUUCCUCCGCCACCAAGGAUUGAAGUUUGGGACAGCUGUCAAUCGUCAGUCUUUUGAGAGAGUAAAUGUCUUGCAGUAAUUCGUUAUGACUCUUCCAUAUAUGUGUUUCAUUUUUAAUAUUUUUUAUCUCCAAUUCUUCCAGUUUUGGUAUUCGCGGCUUCAAUGGCCCUGCGAGAAACACUUGAUUUGAUGUAUCUCUACAAACCACUGAAUUCUGUGAGCCGAGAUGAUCAGUUGCACUACUCCACACAAUCUUUUUACAUCCACCAAUUUCAAAUUUGCAAAGAGCUGGAAGACUUGCAACUGAAACUAGCAAUUCUUCACAUCCUUCAAUUACAAGCAUCUCCAAUGCAGGAAGGUGUUCUGGAAAUGUUCCUUGCAGCUUAGAACAGCUUAUAAUAUGAAGCUCUCUCAAUUUAGGAAACCCUUCAACUCCCUGACCAGAUCUAAGAGGAAUCCAGUCUUCCCAUUCUUGCAUGUCUUGAAAACGAAGAGUCUCCAAGCAUGGAAAAGGAAUCGGGGAAUCAUUCCCAUAGAACUCUGAACCCAAACUCUUUACUCUACUCAUUCCACGCACUUCAAGAUGCUUUAAAGAGGGUAGUUGCCCGACUGACGGCAGGGCAGUACACAUGCCGCAAUCUUCAAAUUUAAGUGUUACUAAAUUUGAGAAUGAGGAAUCUCCUAACCAUGUUGGAAAUUUUGUACCUCCAUAACCACAGAUACCAAAUUGUUCCAGAUUUUUAUGGGGUUUGAGCAUGUCAAGCACACCCAUUUCAGUUUCUGCCUCCCUUGAAGAUGAACCAUCGGUACUGCGUGUCCAUCGAAGCAAUAAUUCUCUAAGAUUCUCCUUUACAUCCAAUUGAGCCUCCUUCGCAUUACCAACGUCUUUUACGUUCUCCAAUUUUGAAAUUUCAAGUGCCCCACGAAGAUGCAUCAACAACUUUAGCUCUGAUAACCCCGAACCACUGUCUUUUCCCACAACAAAAUUACACAACGUCUGAAGACUAGUCAAUCUACCAAUUCCUACUGGCAUUUCCUCCAACGACUUCGUAUUUGAAUUCUUAAGAUGAUGCAAUUUGGUGAGGUUUCCCAUGUCUGCACACAACUUCUUCAGCCGAUCACAAUCUUCCAAGAAAAGACUAUGCAAAUUGUAAAGCUUGUUGACUGAUUCAGGCAGAGUUCUAAUCAUAGUUCCAGAUAGGUUGAGGUACCUUAAAUACCUCAAAUCACCAAUUGAAUCCGUUAGCUCAUACAGGCAAUAUCCACGCAAAGAGAAGACCCUCAACCGUUGGAGUUUGAACAACUUGGGGAGAAUGCUACGAGCCAAGUAUCCAUGCCACCUAUUUGACAAUGCUACUGGUAAAAAAGUUCGCAAAUGGUGGAUAUCAUGCAAGUCCUCAAACCUUUGAACGCCAUCACAAUAUCCACGAAUGUAUGACAGGUGACGAAAAUUUUUGGAAAAACUUUGUUGCUUGUUAACCUCUGAGUUAUACUCCAUUGUGAAGUAUAUCUCCCCCGCAGCCCAUUGAGCAAGGUCGUUGACAAGGUCGUGCAUCACAAAUCGUGAUUUAUUGUUGCUUGAUUGCUGGAAAAAAGAUCUUGAACGUAGCUCUUGAAAGAACUUUCGACCUAGAUCUUCAUUAGGAUUCCCACUCUCUUUGUGAUCCAAGAAACCCGAGGCACACCAUAAUAAAAUCAUCUCCUCCUCUUCAAAUUCAUAAUCCUUUGGAAACAAUGAGCAGUAUGCAAAGCAUUGUUUCAAAGGUGCCGAAAGAUAAUAGUAGCUCACUGCAAGGGCUGGUAUAAUACCACAUCUCUCUUCUGGUAAUUCCCAUAUCUUGCUACUGAGCACAUCUUCCCACUCACUUCUGUCAUGAUUCCCACGUAAAAGUCCUCCAAGCGUUUGUGCUGCCAAGGGCAAGCCAUCGCAUUUGGUCACUAUCUUCUUGCCGAUUUCCUCCAGUGACUUAUGUGAACUGAAAUCUCUCGUCCCCAAUGAAUGUUGAACGAACACAGCUAGACAAUCAUUAUCUGACAACUUCUUUAAUUGAUAAGCCGGAACAGUACCCAUAAUUUUAGCAACCUCUUGAUUGCGAGUAGUGACAAUAAUUUUACUUCCCGGUGCGCCAAGUUCAAAGGGACGUCUGAGUUGAUCCCAAUCAUGGUAAUUCCGGUUCCACACGUCAUCUAAAAGAAGUAAAAACUUCUUUCCAGAUAGUUGCUUAUUCAGUUUCUCUUGAAGUGAAUUCAAGUUGAGAUUAUCUACGUUCUGGUCAGCAACAAUGGAUGUUAAGAUUGUUUUUGUUAGCCUGAUAACGUCGAAAUCAUCAGAGACACAAGUCCAUGCCUUGAGAUCAAAAUGAUCCACCACUUGCUUAUCAUUGUAGACAAGCUGAGCAAGAGUGGUUUUGCCCAGCCCACCCAUACCUACAAUAGGUAUAACGGAGAAUCCACCAUCGUUGCUUAAAUCAUCCCUCAACAGCAGUUCAACAACAUCCUUCUUUUCGAUUUCCCUGCCAUAUACUUUGGCUUCCUUCACCAAAGAGGUUGUCUCUCGCCUUUUCCUGUCUUUUGUGGUCCUCCCACCCGAACUUACAUUCAAACCCAGCGAGUCCUUCUGUGUUACAAUAUCUUGAAAUCUGCCAUUGAUCUCUUUGAUUUUGGACAUCAUGGCGUAAUCGAACUGAAUCGAUUGUGGAGUAAAAGUGGUGCAGCAAGUAGGAAUGAGCUUCCGAAACUUACUUGUUCUUGUACGACUGCAACUGGGUUGAUCAUGAGCCGCAGCUGGAUCUCCAUUUCCAAGCAGCAACUUCCUCCGGAAAGCCUCAGUUUGAAACUCAUCCAGCAAGUCUUCAACAUCAAAAGCCAAGUUCUGAAGCUCGCCAAGCCACAACUUUACAGACUGAUCAGUCUUCUUCUCCUCAGCAUCAGCAAGCACCGCCUUGAUUAUCAUCAACAUAUUCUUCCACUUCUUUAGGUCGGCUUGGAUUUGCUCUUGGCGUGCAAACAGCCGAAUCCCCUCCGAAGCUAACUUAUUGACCAGCAAAUCAACGGACGCCGUAAGAAUUGCCUCUCCGAUGAAUGACAUUUUUUUCUUCUUUUUCUUUUUUUUUGGUUUUGCAAAGAAAGAAAGGAGCAGAAUUAUGGGUUAUGGAAAGCAGAAUGAGAAAAUGGAUAAUUAAGCAGAAUGAGUUUGUGAUUGUGAAGGGUCUGGCCCAGCAAGCUUAGUAGAAAUCACGCGUUGAUACUUUAUUGACCAAUGACUAAUAAUUUGGCAAUUCACUCAUCACCACCACUUGGUAAGCAAAAUGAAAAUGCUUAGUAAUUAAGUGUCAAGGGUCAAGCAAAAUACGACGUAAAAUGUGUCAAGGGUCUCCCCACUUGUUGUUCCUUGCAGCUUAGAAAAGAAAAACAGAGCCCACGACCCAUUAAUAUUUAGCCGCCCACCAAUCAUCACCACUUGUUACGAAACCAUCUCAUAAACCAAGUUCGUAGGUCGAGCAGUUAAUCCAGUGUCUAUGUCCUAGAACCUUCAUCUCAUAAACCAAGUUCAAUCAAAACGUUCCUCUCUAUAUAUUUUUUUUUUCAAAACUCCUAAAACGUUUCUUUUUAGAGACAUUUUACUUUAUUCAUCUCAUAUGUUAUCUAACAAAUAGACACAAUUGAAAUCACUCUAAAGUGAAGAUGAAAGGGGAAACAAAUAACCUUCCGACCACCAGUAAUUUAGCAAGCUUCACUUUAUUCCACCAAAGUGUAAAUAAAGCCAGCCCCCACCACCAUCAAUAAUUUUGCAAGCUUCACACGCUUGUUGUCUUCUCCUUGACGAACUGGACAUGAGUGCACCAAGAAUCAAUGACAGAAUUUUAAAAAUAAUAAUAAGAGAAAAACCUACACAUUUUCGACUUAGAGUAGAACCUUAAUUAAUGCUAAAAUCUACUCAGCUAACAUUUUCAAAAUAUUGUUCUUUAUGAUUUUCAAAACUGUGAUUAAGGUUCAUCUCAAAUGUUUGAAGAGAGUCUAUCAGUUCUUCAAAUGUUGAAUAAUAAAAAAAAAAGUUGAAUAUGGAGGAAAAUAGAAUGCAUCCAUCUUCGCUGCUGUAGAAGUCUUCUACUUAUAAAAGUAAGUUAGAAUAAACAAUUUUAAUCUCUCUUUUUAUUCCUACAAGUGCACUACAUUUUUUUUUUAAUCUCAAUGCAAAGUCGUAUCGAAAUGUUAUAUUCCUAUUGUAAAACAAAAUUUUAGAUAAAACAAAUUCGACUCAUUUUUUAAAGAUAUAUAUUUAGUAGGUUACCAACAUAACUAACAAAACGUGAUUAUUACACUAAAUGAAAUAAAUGACAGUACUAUCACCAAUAAUUUAGCAAGUUUCGCAUGCAUGUGUUUCUAAACACAUUAUAUGGAAUCAAACAACAGUGAUACAAAGAGAAAAGUAGAAAUCCUCUGAUUAUAUUUUUUUUUUCUUUUUCAAAAGAAAUGGUGGGGUUGGUUUGUUUGCAAAGUUAUUAGCGAGGGUCUAUUUGUUUUUGUUUUAACUUUAUUAAUCAAUAAGCAAACAUGUAAUUAUUUGUAUAUAUCACUAGCAUCACAUUAUUGUGAGGUAUUGCGCUUAAUAUUCACAAUUUUUGUAAGAUGAAUUUGUAAGACUAAUUAAUUUUGAUGAAAAUGUAUCGUUACUAAGAUAUUAUUUAAUUCAUUAAGUUAACUUGAGGUAUUAAUAUUUACUAAUUGUGGUGCUGAUUAAUUUAUUUAACUUGUCACUAUUUGCAAUUAAGAAUGAAGUUCAAUCAAUUUAUUGAGUAAAAAAAAAACAAAGAUGCAUUUUUUUCUUUAGAUUUUAAUUCUUAGGAUUUGAUUUCACGCUCUUUUGUUUUUUUACGUUGCUAAAGAGGCAGUAAAAAGUUUGCUGAAUGUCAUCAAAUACUUGUAUCUCAUCUCACAAAUUGGUAAUAUUUGUUUGGUAUUUCAUCUCAACAGACGCAGUAAGGAUUACCUCUCCAAUGACUGACAUUUUUUUUUUUUUUGGGGACAAAGAAAGAAACAGAAUUUUGAGUUUCGAAAAGCAAAAUAAGAAAAUUGAGCAGUAAGUGUGAAGGGUCAAGCAAAAUGCAUGUAGCAAGUCUUCGACUUGUUGUUUAUCCCACUAAAGUGAAAAUAAAAACAGAGCCCACGACCCCUUAAUAAUUGAGCAAUUCACCAAUCACCAGUCACCACCACUCGUUACCAUGAAUAUAAUAAAUUGCACCUUGAUAUUUGCAGGGUCCAGCAACAUUGACCUAGUGUCCGGGUAAAUGCUGAAUAAAGAGGAAAAUGGAAUGUAUCCACUCCGAACCUUCGCUUUACAACAAUUUUUAAGAAUCACAAUGGUAAUUCCUACUAUCAUGUUAUCUUAAUGUCGUGUUAAAAUAAAUUAUAAUAUAUUUUUUAUAUGAACACUCUUUUCAUUUAUAAAUUUUUAAGUUUCUAAUAUUUUUCUCACUUUUUUAAUCUUAAUAUUUAUAUUCCUCUCUUCAAAUUUUUUUAUUAUUUAAUUUUUAAAGAAAAAUAUGAAAAAAAUAAGAAAAACAUUAUACUUAGAAAAUAAUUAAUAUUUUAUGGGUCUAAUGCAAUUUUGUCUCACCUAUAAAUUUUUUUGUUUAGCAAUUAGUUUGAGAAUCUUAAAAAAUUAUUUGCAGUAGGAUAAAAUUUUAUUUAAUUUAUUUUUUUACUGUAUUGUAUCUUAAUUAAUUAAGUUGUUAUGUUUAUUACAAGAAUUUUGUUUUGGCUUAGAGGAUUGCUUCUUAAAUUCAUAUUAUUUUAAUGAUAAUAAAAGAUAUUUAUAUUGUGCAAGCAAAAUAAAAUGAAGAGAGAAAGAAAAUAUAAAUGAUUUAAUUCUAUUUAUAUUUGUCCUCAAAUGUAAUUGUAGUAUAAUAGGAGUUUUAUAAGAUUAAUGAAGGGGUGCCAAUAGUCGUACUCUUAUAGAAAAUGACUGUAAUAAUAGUGGAAAUUUAGUGUAAUAAAAAGGAUAAACCGUAAGAAAUUAAUGUUUACUUCAAGAUACGUUAUAAAUAUUGUUUUUCUUAAGAUGUUAUUUGCCUCCACCAAUCGAAUGAUGCACAUGAAUUAAGCAAAUAUGCUUCCAUGAUACAAUAAAGCGCUUAUUUAUUUGUUUACGUUGUAUGUCGACGAAGCAAACUUAAAUACUUUUGAAUGUUGUAAACCUACCAAGAAUCAAUAUAUUAUUUCUACAAAAAGAAACAAUAUAUUAGAUAUUUAAAGCAUAAAAAAUAGACGUUAAUUGAUUAAAUUUGAUUUAGCAAAGACACCUAAGAAAAGAGGGGGGUAACGCCAUUUUUUUGGUGUUUAAAUAGUCUAAAUAUGCCCCCUUUUUGUCCAUCCCCUUUUCCCCUUUUAUUGGGAUUAUUUUUUUUUUUAUAAUCUCCACCCCUUCAUGGUUAUUAGACCAACCAAUUAAAUCCCUCCUAAAGCUACUUAACUUUUUGCCCCCCAACUUAAAGGAUCCCAUAGGGAUUGCUUUUCGGAUGUUUGCCUUUUUUUUUUUCACUUUUUUAUAUUUUUUUUGGGGGUGUUGGGGGGGGGGGGGGGGGGGGGAGUUUAUGAAAAUUAAAGCAAAUAAGAAAGUCAAUUACAGCAGAAUGAGUUUGUGAUUGUGAAAGGUCGAGCAAGUCUACAAAUCAAUUAGACAAAACCCACCACGAGAGUUAAAAUGGAAAAAUAGCGCCCACCACAAAUAUAAAAUUGGAGGAGCUCAAGAUCCUGCCUUUGCUUUACAUAUUAAAUUAAAUAAAAGCCAAACCAAUAACCUUGCCUUUGCUUAACAUGAUUAAUUAAGCACUACUUCAGAAAGAAUACAAAAGUAAUGAACCUUGUAUUAAUCUUAAAUUUUAGGAAUAAAGCUACAUUUUCUCCUCUUACCAUCUUUUCAUGUUCAUUUCAAAAGUUUGAAGAGAGUUUAUCCAUUCUUCUUCUAAACUAAGAAAAUCAACAUUCUUACUUUCUUCAAAUGUUGAAUAAAGAAAAAUAAAUUAUUGAAUAAGGAGGAAAUUAGAAUGUAUUUACCUUCGCUAACCUAAAAUAAAAAAAAUUAAUCUCUCUUUUAUUACUAAAGUACACUAUUUUUUUAAUAAUUGUAUUGAUAAUGACAAUAUAUAUCAUCGAUUAUAUUCUUGUUGUGUUGAAAUAAGGUAUAAAAAUUUUUGGAUCAACAGGAAUUCGACUCAUUUGUUAAAAGUACAUAUUUAAUAUACUAAAAACAAAAAUUAACAUAAACAUGAUUAUUACACUAAAGUGAAAUGAAAGCCAGUACCCGCCGGUUCACCAACAGUAAUUUAGCAAACUUUGCAUUCUAGGAAAUGGACAUUGGUGAAUUAACCAAAGAAGACUUCCUUUGAUAAUGCGGGUAACGCCGGUCUGUCAUGGAAUGGACAUUGGUGAAUUCGACUUCCUUUGACGUUUAGUUGACUAUUUUCACAUCUAGCAGCCCUUGGCGUUUUGUUUUCGUUCGCUCUGUCGUCUUCAUCGCUCUGUCGUCUUCGAUCUUUAUGGCGACAUGGGUAUAUGUGUAUGGUAAACUGUGCGGGUGAAGAGUGUCGACAUGAUGCUGUCACCUUGCUUUAAUUAAUUGCAGUGACGUUAUAAAGUAAGCCUCAAAAAUUUAAAAUCGUGGGUCAAGCCCUGGUGUACAAAUCAGAAGUUGUAACAAAGAAGAAUUUAAAAUUUUUCUUCUUUGUUUCUUUCAUGCAUUAGGCUCGUUAACAAUUCAACAUACCAGGGAUGAGGGAUGCAAGGAAACAAUUAUUUGGUUUGAGUGUUUGGUAUUUUCUCGAUUCGUUCAGAAUUUGAUGAGUUUUUCUGUUUAAAUUGUGCGUAUAAUUUUUAUUUUUAAUUUUCUGACGUCGAUAUCUUUAGCAUAGAUUUUGUCUAUGAUACAUUAAAAAAGUUUGAAUCGCACAUGAUUCACUGUGUUGUAAGAGUAAAAUUUCUUCUUAUUAUUUAGAAUUCAUAUUUUUCAACUAAACUUUUAAUACAAUAUAUCGAGACAGAUCCUCGUGAUGCACAUACAUUUUCGCUUUUAGCCGUGCUGCCUGCUCUCAAAUGUACACUUAUAAAUUCCAAAUGAAAAGAAAUUUUGAAAUUGCGCAGCUCUGGCCAGGGAUCACCUUUUUGCCUUGCUAUUAUCUACAAUAUUUAUUUUUGCAAUCCGCAUGCAUGCUCGGUUAUGAUCACCCACGUGAUCGGCAUUAAGUUGUUUUUUAUCUUCUUAUUAACAAAUUAUUUAGUGUGCGGACUCCAUUCAUGCUCCCACGUUAAUCUUUCCAAAUUUUGUGCAAUAAAAGUUCAGCCGAUCCGCUAUUCACUUUGCCACAGUCUGCUACUUCAUUCUAUUUGUUUACUGCAUAUGAUCAUUANNNNNNNNNNNNNNNNNNNNNNNNNNNNNNNNNNNNNNNNNNNNNNNNNNNNNNNNNNNNNNNNNNNNNNNNNNNNNNNNNNNNNNNNNNNNNNNNNNNNAGAAUUUAUGAUUUUCUAUUAAGAUCUGUAAUAACCCUUUCUUAAUUUUCAAUUGUCCUUAUGAGUAUAUGUCAAUUUGGAUUAUUAUUCCACAUAUACAUAAUGUAUAAAGAAAAGAGUAAUGAUACUGCCACAAACUCUUGUACAAAUUUAUUUUGUACAAACUGACGUGUCAUUAAUUCACUGGUUGAAUGAAAAUAUAAAUUAAUAAAAACAAAUUAUGUGGGCUAAGUGAUAUUUAAUUCAACCAAUCUUAUCAUGCCUCAUCAAUUUGUACAAAAUAAGUUUAUACAAGAGUUUGUGACUGUAUCAUUACUCUAAAGAAAAUUAUUGGCAUAGAAAUUUUUUGCACAAAAAAAAAAAUCCAAGAUGUUUUUGACUGUUGGCGGCACAAUACAUAAAGGUGAAAUUAGGUUAUCGUUUGGAUUUUUUCAUGAGACACCCUAAGGUUUGUUUAGUUUAUGCUUUUGGCCAAAGUUUAUAAUUUUGUUUCAUUUAAGUCCAAUUGAAUUUGCAACGGCCAUCACAUGCUGUCUUCAAGCCGAAAUUUAGGAGCAAUUGCAUGUGAAAUUGCAGUGUAGUCCCUGGUAUUCUAUUUUAUUAAAUUAAAGAUAUGAUUAAUUGGAUUUACUAUGAUAAAGCCGCCAACUUUAUGUGCAUCAAGCCUUAUAAGUUUUGUUCUCGUAAUUUUGAAGCCUCCGCUCAUUAAUUAAUGAUCUCCAAAAUUUCUUAAUGUUCCAAUUUUAAUGUUUGAAAUUUGAAUUGAUGUUUGUGGUUUUAUUUACUUUAUUAAAGAAAUUACUUUGUUAUAAAUGUUCAAUUUGACAUUCAUAUUAUGAUAAUUUGUUAGUUACUAAAGUAGCCAAAUUAGAAAGUUUUCAUAGAUGUCAAAUUAAAUUCAAUUUCAAGUUCUCAUAAUUAUUGUGAUGCGUAUUAUUUAAUGACAUGAUGAUCUUGUUGUAUGAGUAUAUUGAAAUUCACAGAUUAUAAAAUAUUUAGGAAUUGGUCAAAGGUUGAUUAAUUAAUUUUAUAAUAUAUGAUCAUGAUUUGUGGAUAAUUAAUAUGCUUGAUUAGAUAUGUUUAGUAUAUCCAAAGAUAGCAAGCGUGUCUAGUUUAUGUAUAGUUGAUUACUAAUUAUGUGAAAUUAAAGUUAAGCAUCAAUUAUGUUUAUUGCAGUGUAUUGUUGUAUCACCAAAUAAAUUAAGCUUCUUAAUUUUAUGUCAGUAAGUAUUAAUAAAUUAAUAUAGGUAACAUUAAAUAAUUUAAAUUAGCUGUAGAAAAUUUUAAAAUAUUUUAUUCAUAAUAAAAAAUUAGCGAUAUUAUAUCAUGAAUUAAUUAAUAUGUAAAUUAUUUAUUUAUCAAAAUCAUUUUCAUUUAAUUAAAUAUUAAUUGAGGUUUAAUUAUUAGUUAUCAAUAAAAAUUAACAUGGUAUUGUCUUUUUUAUGGUCCUGGCCCCCAUCUCCAAAUUAGAAGCAAUUCUCAAACCCGCCCCAUACCUAAAAGUUCACAUUUGGGGAGCAUCCCCAAUUUUGUGUAUGUAUAUAUGAUUUGGUGAGUUACAAGAAGCAUUACCAGCAAAAGCACAGAAAUGGUUUCGUUUCAGAAGCAAAUAUGAUGCUAAGGAAAGUUUCGUCUUCAGCAUAAUAACUAUAUAAUAUCAUAAUGAAUUGGUGUGCAUUAACCAUGCUCCAGGUUGAUUUGGAAAGUCAUGAUGCUGUUUCCAUUUCAAUUUAGACUCCUUGCUUAUCAGCCAAAUGAUUUAUAAGUAAUAGCCAGUAGAAGUUUUUCUCAAAAUGGAAAUAAGUUGUCUUACUGGGAGAGUCCACAUAUGGUAUCUAAUUUGUGGUGUUAUUAUUUCAAUUGUAAGUUCCCUAAUUCUGGCCAAUGCACAGAUUCAGAAAGUUAUAUUUGGUGAGUUUUUUUUUUUUUAAAGGUUUUGGAUACAACGGCAAGAGAUAGGGAAAAACAACAAAGGGAGAGUCAAAACUCCACAUUAAGCUAACAUUUGAAUUUCCAUUUAUACUUUGCUCCACUCAUUCUAAUGUUUACUGGCUAAUUGUAGUUUAUGGUGUAGCAUCCAAAAAAGAUGACUCAUAGAAUUUAUUCUUUCGGACCACUAAGUAGCUUAAACACACACACACACACACACACACACAAACACAUGUACAUAUGAAUGUGUGUGUAUGUAUAUGUAUAUAUAUAUGUAUGUGCGUAUAUAUAAUCCUUCCCUAAUAUAGACAUCUCUUUUCUUUUUUUUUCUACAUAGACACACUAUCACUAGUAGAAAAAUAGCCUUCUAUGAUACUAUUUUGGUAUCGGCAGCUUGUUUUAUUAACACCGAGUUUAGUGUCAUUAAUCACGGUGCAAGAAAUUUACUGACACAAAUUUUUUGUGUCAACAAUUCUGUGUUACCUUAGAAUCAAAGAAAUGCUGAUUCCAUAGUAUCAAAAUAAUUGCAAUUCUAUACAAUCAUGUAGAUAGUGAUUCUAUGGUAUGAAGCAAGUUUUGAUGCUCUAAUGUCAUUUAUGUUCUGAUUCAAUAAUAUUGGUAUUUACCAAUGCUAUAUUGGUGUCAGCAGUUUUAAAAGUAUUUAAAAAAAAUAAUGAAAUGGUCAUUAUUACAAUUGUCAAUAAGCUGGAAUCAAAACUUAAUAAUCAACAGUUUUGAACAAUGAUUAUGAAACAAAUGUUGGUAUCAAAAUCCAAUAAACUCCAUUUAACAAUUGCCAAUAGGCUCCAUUCAGUAUUCAAUAUUCAACUUUCAACAUUGAAUAACCAAAUUGGUUCUAUCCAAUAUUCAGUAACCAAAUUCAUCAACCACAGUUUCAAUAGCACAACAAUGCUAAAAACCACAGCUAGUUUCUAAUCUAAAAAAACUACAACUUAUUUGUCAUUACGGCAACCUGAGUGGCAGUACUAAACAAUAAAGGCAAAUGGAAUUGGUGUGCUACCGCUAUCAUUCUCCAUGAUCUUCAAUGGCGUGAAUAAUAGUACCAACAACAAGCAACGACAAUACUCAAUUCCAACAAAAUCCACCCAACAAAGGAAAAUGGUUCAUCAAAGUUUGAAAACCACAAAUUUGUUUUACUACACCACUGAGACUAUUCUUGAAACCUGGAAGUAGUUCCUACAUAUAAAACGAAAUCAAGAGUAGGCUCCAACUAAAAAAGGCUUCAACAACAGAGAAAGAAGUUCACUAUACAUACAGAUCAAAGUUAGAACUUUAGCCAACCUGUGGCUUCCUUGCAGUAAUAGAGCAAUCAUGAUCAAAAUGAUUCAAAUGGCCUUUGACAGCUGAGCACCCAUUUAAAGGCAGCAGUGGUUUCUUACGGGAUUUUGAAAGUUUUUGAGUUGUUUCUUCCAUGGGUGUUACAUUUUCAGUGGAAUUAUCCAGUUUCUCUCCUUCAGAAUUCGUACAUGAUGAAUACAUCCGCACAAUGUUAUAUACAUAUGACCACAUGUAGAUGGCUUCAAUCUGAAAUAUCAAUAAUAAUGAAAAAUCAAAAUAUUGAAAAAGAUCCCAAAUUAGUUUGCCUGAGAUGACUAAGGAACAUUCUUAAUAUGAUCCAUCCAAAUACACCAUAAAAAUUAUCCAAAACUAUUCAUAGAAGUAAAGCAAAGAAUUGAAUUGAGUUUAUUCUUAAUCCAUUUCAUUAAAAAAUACUGCUACUUCAGCAAGCAAACCAUUGGUUAAGAUUAUAAGGCAACAAAGGAACAUUUAUAACAUUUUUGCUCACCUAUCUUCAUUUGACUCAAAUAGAAAGAAGGAGAGCGAGAGAGGGAAAAGAACCUGCAGCACAGCAUCCUAAAACAAGGCCCCACAAAUCAUAAGGAGCUUUUGUAGUUUUUAGAACUAUCCAUCCAAGUGCUGAGCCAACGAUGAAUGUAACAAGGAUAUUUAACGGCAUAAACCACCUACAUAGUUUUAUUUUAUUUAUGAAAGCUACUUUCAAUGAAUUGACGGAAGAAAACGAGAAAACAUGGUAAGAAGACCAAAAGAAUAAUUAAAAAAAUAGAAGAAACUGCACAGGUUUCGUAAAGAAUGCAAACUCACAACAUGCCCAUGCCUUCAGCUGUCAUGUGCUCUGCAAGACUGCUACCAAUAAGUGCUGGAUUGCAGAAGUAAAACACAACCUGUACAACAUUAAAAGAACCAAAUCCUUUAACAGCUUGGCAGGCUUUAGUAAAUUUUUUUUUGAAGAAAAAAUAUAACAUCAUUUGAAUUUUUUUUACAGUUAAAUUGCAGUGAAAAUUACCUUGUUCAAAUGCUGGCGUACAAGUCCCCCAAUAUAUCUAUCCGAUCUAGUGCAAGAAAUAAGCCAAGAGCAGUAAGCAGAAGUACCUUUAAAACUGGUAUAAAUGCAGCAAUAAAGAGGUCCAGAAUCUUCAUAGUGGGGUCUUUAAGUCCUCAGAUUAUCUAUAGUACUUGCUGCAGAGGAAAAGGCAUGAUAUGCUACCACAUGAGCAAUAGCUUUUAUAGAAACAAGCCUAAAAUUACUUUAAAAAUCAAUUUAACAUUGUUCGUAAUAGCAAUUUUACCCAUUAAAAACCGAUCUUCAAGCAAGUUUGUAUUUUUCACCACAAAAAUUAAAUCUAGACAAAUGACCUAAAAUAAAAUUUUUCUAAAGCACAUUUCAUAUUUCAUUAAAUUACAAAAAAGGAUUGCGUAUGACUUGAGAGGAAAUUCUGAUUGAUUCACAGUUUUAGCAUAAUAAGAAUACAGAUCACAAAUUAAAAUCCCAGACAACAUACGUGCAAAAUCUUUUUCUUUUUCUUUAUUGGGAAAUUAUCAUUCGUAUACCCUAUAUUUGCUUUGUUAUAAAAAAUACUACAACACUUUGAGGGUGUAUCAAUCCUCCACCCUUAGUUGACAAAAUGUAUUAGCUGACCACCAAACCGUUAGUUGAUGUUUAAAAGUUAACGGAAUUACAAUGAAUUGACGAUUUUACCCUUGAAAAUUAUCACUUGUAUACCCUUAAAUUCUAUAUUUAUCACUUGUAUACCCUUAAAUUAUCACUUGUAUCAUAUGAAAAGACUAAAUUACCCUUCUGACAUCAUCAUACUUAAACGGCAACUAACAGUUUGGUGGUCAGCUGAUACAUUUUGUCAACUUAGGGUGGACGAUUGAUACACCCUCAAAGUGUUGUAGUAUUUUUGAUAAUUGAGUAAACUAAGGGUAUAUAAAUGAUAAUUUCUCUUCUUUAUUAAAAAAAAUACCAGCCAAAAGGAAAGAAAAGGAAAAAAAAAAAAAACAAAUAUAGUUAGGUGGAUAGAUAACGAGGAAGGAGUAAAUAAAUUAUUGCUUGGUUAGAUAUCAUCUCAUAGUAACGAAUGAAAAGCAGAGAUAAGAACAGAUGAACCUCGUCUCUCCACCAGUGGCUUGGGGUCUUGGGGCCCAUCACGCGUGGGAGAGGAUUUCAGUUGGAGGAAGAAGGCGGAGCAUCGGGUGGCAACCUGAAAAGCUGGUGGAGGUAAAGGGAGUGAAGGAGACGGGAGCCACCGACACCGAGAGCUAGAACCACGGAUCUGAGCUCUUGGGUAGCACACCCAAAGUUAGCGAAUUGGUGGAUGCAUGUCUACUCUCAAAGGCGCUCGUCUUGAGCCGUCUUGUGCCAUAUCUUGUUGACGCAGGCUGCCCGUGCCAAGGUCCCGCCGUCCGUGUGUUUCAACUUUCAACACCUCGAACAGGAAGUUCUCAUCUAGAUUUGUAAGGCCAGUUUCUUUGGGAGGCUGAGAGUUUCUGUUUUGUUAAGACUUAAGAGGCUGAGAUAGCAAGAUAAAAACAAAUAAGAUUAUAAUUAAAUUAAACGUGAGAAAUUACUUUUCUAGCAAAAGCUUAAUCCAACGCCUCCAUUACUUCUUUUUUAUGGAUAUAUUCUUUAAUUAUUUUUCGUUAUUUUACUUCCUGUUCAUCAAGUUUGCGAUGUUUACAACAAUUAUUCAUUUGAAAAGUUAUCCAAUAAUGUUAAUACGUGAAAAUUGAGAAUAUGUAUAGCGAAAAAAAUUUCUUCAAAAAUGAAUUAUAUAAUCUUGACUUUGGAAAAUGUGGCCAGAACUGCAAAAAUGAAGAUUAAUUAACCUUGGAUGACAAUGAUUAAUACCCGUCCAUUUCUCCUAAGCUCUGUUUCUUACUUUGAUGCGCACAUGACUUGACAGCUUCAUCUUCCUCUAGCUUCCUUUCGUGAAACGUACUAACAAUUAACAGUAGUCUACUAACAAAUUAAGAUAUAAUCCAAUAUCUUUAGUACAAAUUCAAAUAGUCUCAUUUUGACUUUGAGCAAGCUUUUUAAUUCCACACUCAGAAACAAAAUUUUGUGAAUUCACAUUAUUUAGCAAAAUAAUUAACAAAUUAAUUGUGAUUAUGGUUGACGAUCAUGUUGAUAAGCAUCAUAUACACUAUCGUUGCAUAUUUAGUGAAAUGAUGCAAGGACGAAGUAUCACUUGGCUGUAAGAAUUAGUUACCCAACAAUUUGUGGAGUUUGUUUUAGAUAAAAUAAAUAAAUAAAUAAUAGAGAGCAUAAUUAAGCCGACAUGGAUAGACUAACUUAAACAAUAUAUUGAACACAAUUAUUAUUUUUAUUAACUUCCUUUUUCAAGAAGACACUGUACACAAAAGUAAAUUAAAACAAAAAUCUCUUGUACAGUUCAAGAGAUUUUAUAAGUUGAACUGAGCCAAAUAAAGACAUUCACACAAUUGAUAGAUAAUGAUUGAAAAAAUAUUAUGCUCAAAAUAUUUUCUUUGUAUGUCAAAGAACGAGAGAGUUACAAGCUUAUAUACAACUAUUAAGGUCAGCCAAAUCUCUUAGAGUAAUGGCUAGACAGGCUGUCCUAUUUAUGACUACAUACAUUAAGGAAUGAAAUCAUUUGUACAUAAGGAAUAUUAAUAUUAUCAAGUGAUACUUGCUCAAAAUAAAGAUUGUGUCUAGAAUAAGGGAUUGCCGAUGCCAAAUCUUGCCGCUAAUAAUAUUCGGUGAGCUGUAGCUACUGAUUGUAUGGUUUAUCAAUGAUAACCCAUCAUUUUAUUUAAUUAAUAUAAUACGGAAAGAGUAACUCGCACUUAAGUAGUGUAGUUGAGAUUUCUUCCGUGUUGAGGGACAAUAAAGAGAUCCAGAUUGUCGCUCAUGCUCUCAUCAUUAACAAUACUUAUAAGAGAUAUUGGAUAACCCGCAGACCACUCGACCUUCCCUAAAAAUUCACAACAACAAUUGUAUUCAUUAAUACAUAUAUUAAAAUAAAAAUUAUAAAUGACAUUCAACUGAACAUGGCCUGAGAACCUGGAUAAGGAGCUUCCAUGUUCUUCAAAUUAGAAAAGAUAUCUUCUAACUUCUGGUGAACCGUAAUCGAAAUUGAAGUUGCUUUUGUUUCUGGUUUGAUAAUAUGAUGUUGAUGUAUUUAUAUACGAGUCUUCGUAUAGUAUAGUGCUGUAUGCAAUACAGCCCCUUCAACAGUAAAAAGGAAACUUGAACAACUAGUAUUUUACCAGUUGUACAUUUAAUAAAUUUUUAAAAAUUAUUUUUAAUGCAGAAAAAAUAAAAUAAAACUGAAAAAAUUAAGGAAAUUUUGUAAAUAUUUAACACAAACAAUAUUUGAGAGAGAAAAAUAUUUUUAAUUUCAACAAAAGUUAAAAAAAUUAAAAUAAGCAUGUCUCUACUCUUUUGUUUUAAUGUCAAUAUAUUAGGUGACAUUCCAAGUUAAUUUCACAUAUACCUAAUUUUGAUUAAACUUUUUCACUAAUUGGUUUGCUUAUCUCCACUUUCGGAUCCACUAGUUUUAUGUUUAAUAUUCCUACUAAACUCGUUAAAUAUUAAUAUUUUGGGUCAAAUUCCAAUUAAAUUUAUUUCUCGUUAGACAAGUAUCAAAAUUCCGUUAAACUUUCUCCACAUUUGGUUCAUGUGUUUCAACUAUUAUUCUACUAGUUUUUCAUUUAAUAUUUCAACUCGUUUAUCAACAUUCCAAUUAUAUGGGUUAGAUAUUGAUAUUACUUUUUUUGGUUUGAUCAGUUCUAAAUUUUGGUAAUGUUUUUCCAUCCAUAGGUUCACAUGUUUCAACUUAUUGGUCCACUAAUUUUACGUUUGAUAUUUCUACUAAAUUUGUCAAGUACCAAGAUUUAUUGUUAGCUAGCUUCCAAGUAAUUAACAUUAUUCGUUGGAUAAGUUUCAAGUUUUGGUUGUUCUUUCUCUCUUAAUGGUUCACGUGUUUCCUCUAAUUUUUUCCCUAAUUUUGCGUUGAAAAUUGCCAUUAAUUGGUUGAGAUUCCAAUUACUAAGGUUAGGUACUAGGUUUGUUUUCUAUAACUUUAUUUUUUAUUUUGUAGAUCUCUAAUUUUAGUUGUGCUUUCCCCAUUUUUGGUUGACGUAUUUCAAUUGUAAUUCCACAGGUUUUGUGUUCGUUAUUCCAACUAACUUGGUAAAAUUCUAAUUAUAUGGGUUAAAUAUCAAUAUCACUUUUGCUUGGUUUGAUUAGUCUCAAGUUUUGGUUAUACUUUUUUAUCUUUUGGUUCACAUGUUUCAACUUAUUGGUCCACUGGUUUUGCGUUUCAUAUUCCUAUAAAGUUCGUUAGGUACAGUAUUAUGGGUUAGAUUCCAAGUAAAUAUCAUUUUUCGUUAAAUGAGUUUCUAAUUUUCGUCAAACUUUUUCUCUUAAUGGUUCACGUGUUUCAUCUAAUUUUUUCCCUAAUUUUGUGUUGAAUAUUCCCAUUAGCUAGUUGAGAUUCCCAUUACUGAGGUUAGGUACCAAGUUUGUUUUCUAUAACUUUAUUUUUGGUUUUGUAGUUCUCUAAUUUUGGUUGUGCUUUCUCUAUUUUUUGUUGACGUAUUUCAAUUGUAAUUCCACAAGUUUUGUGUUCGUUAUUCCAACUAACUCCACAUGUUUUGCGUUCAUUAUUAGAAUAAAAGCAACAAGUUCUAUCAAAAUUUAAGAAUGAUUACUAGCGCUUUCAUGCUCGUGGAGGUGAGAAUGGGAGACGCUUGUUGUCUUAAGUGACUAUUCUUACCCCACUAAAUUUAUAAAUUUAAUCAUUCCUUCUCUAUAUGGUGUUUCCACUCCUAACAAUAAUUUUCUUAAUAUUAAAAUUGUCAAUAAUAAUAAUUACAAUUAUUAUAACAAAUAGUAAUAAUGAUAAUAAUUGAUUGAGGAUAAAUUAAUAAUUUAUAAUAACUCAUUCUAAUUUAUGUUCACAAAGUAAACAUAUUAAUAGCAAUAUAGAAUAUUCCAAUUGUGUUUCAUUCAUCCAACAAAUAUCAUAUUUUGUUUGUUAUUCUUCAUUUUUAUUGUAGCCCAUUCUAAUUUUUUUUUAAUUUUUGUAAAUUUCAAUUAUUUAUUAGUGAGCACAUAAAAAAUUUAAUAAAAAUUAAAUUUCACAUUAGAAAGAGCAUGCAAGGUAGACUUUUGUAGGGUUUGCAAAUCAUAUUGUAGGUAUUUGGAAGUUCACAAAAAGUAAAUAAUGUUAUGUACAGAAAUAAGUUCUUGUUUAUAACGUUUUGCUGUAUUUCAGUGACACUUUGUUAUAUAAGGUGUUGGAUGCUAGGAUUAAGUAUGGGAUUGAACUAAUUUUGGAAUUAAAUAUUUAUCCAAUGUUUGUCAAGCUUAGUUGGAUUGUAUUAAGGGGGUAGUAAUUUAAAUUUAAUUCUAAAAUCAUGGGAUUAAUAAUGGUAAUUUACGCAUGGGUUUAGUUGGGAUAAGAUUAAUGAAAAAAGUUGUCCAUUUAUGAGAUUUUUAUUUAUAUCAUUUUUUAUUUGCACCUAAUAUUAAUUAAUUUUUAUUAUGAUUUACUUAAAACUUAUUUAUAUUUAUUAUCUAUGAUCUAAUUAAAUUAAUAUAUUUACUUGUAUUAACUCCGGAGAUUAAAUGUUCACCACUAGUAUAUUUAGUAAUUUAUCGAUAAAAUUAAAUGUUUAAUUAUUUAUUUCGCAAACACACCAAUAUUACAUUAUUUCCCUAUUAUUGCCAUCGGUUCCCAAACAUCCAAGAGCUGGUUGGCAACAAGAGAAAAAAUAGGGGUGACUAAUAACGACGACUAUGUAAUCGUGGCCAAUAAAUUAUUUCACAGUACCUAAUUAUAGCAACGAUUAAAUGCAACCUGAAACAUGCUGUUGAAGUCAUAGUUAUGGAAAAUUUUACAAACUUCAAAUAAGACCAAAAAAUUACAAAGAGUAAUGUUAAAUAUCCCAAUUAAAAUUGUGCCACUAUUCAAUCACAAAUGUAGGAUAGGUGACUAUAAUUUUUCUAUAAGUAAUGCUUCGGUACUUUUAACAGUGUGAUGAGUAAACGUUAAUUUUUAUAUUUUAACUCAUGAUCGUUAAGAGAAAUUAAAUUUGGAGUGUGUUUUUCAAAUAAUGUGACACUUCAAAAAUAUAUAUCUCAUCCUUCUCCCCGUUCCUCAUCAAAAACCACUUUUUCCAAUUUUCUCCCACAGGAUGCAGGAAUGAAGAAUGCAUGGAAGGAGAAAUUACCUAUCCAAACAUCCAUACUUGGAAAUCAUCAACACAAACCACAAAAUUAAGCUAUCUUAUGAAAAAUGUCCAUAAUGCAUAAUCAAAACAUAACAAGUAUUGACAAAUUUGAAAACAAAAUACAUAAUAAUCAUAAUUUCUGGGCAUAAAACCAUGGGAUAAUCACUGAGGAGGUGGCGGAGAUGAAGAUGAGGAUGGCGGCGAAAUCCCGAGAGUCCGGCAGAUGAGCUGCUGGUCAUCUAGAAUCUGCUGCUGCUGUGAAAAAAGACGUUGCUGCUCAGAAUGGAAGUGAUAGUGGAACGCUGCAAACCGUGUCUGAAGCUCGUUCUGUUGUAUAGAUAUGGAACAAAUUAAAACUGUCCAUUUAUAUGGGUAAUGAGUAACUACCUUAUCUUUUUAAUAAUUAAAAGAAAAGUAUUCCUUUAAUUAUUGGUAGAAUUUAUUUUCCAAUUCACUAUAAAAAAUAAAUACUCCUAGGGUGAAGAAUAUAAGUAUAAAUUGAAAUACAAAUUUUUUUUCACUUAAAGUGUUUUCUCAAAUUUUUUUCCAUAAGAAACUCAAAAAUGUAUUAAUGAAUAAGUUGUAAAAUAGAAAGUGGACAAGCCGUCCACUUAAAAAACAAAGCCUAGCACUAUUUGUGCUAUACGAAAGUGUACCCAAUCACCCCUAAAGUAUUUUUCCAACUUUUUCUCGUAUUUUUUUAAAGAAUACUUAAUAGAUUAGAUAUUGUAAUAUAAAAAUUGAAGACAAACAAACAUGAAUGAUGUAUCAAUAAAUUAAUGGAGAUCUAUUACUAUAUUUGGAGUAAAAUUAUGAAUAAAUUAACAUAGAUAAUGAAUUUAUACCUUUACUCUAUAAUGCAAAUGGUAUUAUGUUUUUAAUUCAAUUUAGCACCGUACAAGAAAAGAUUACCUUAUCGCUUCCAAUCCCUCCUUUAGAUCUAAGCCACUUCAUGAACUUCUUGAUCCUUGAUUUGCUCCAGAAUGUGAUAGGAAGUAUAAUCCUAUAAGGCUGAAUGUUGUCAUAUGCAACAUUAUGGAGAUAAAAGAUCUGCAUGAGCAACUUAUAAUUAAGAAGAAUAAUAUUAUUCAUGGUAAGCAUAUGCUCAGCUUUAGUUGCAGAAACUAUGUCACCUGUAGGAAGUGCUAACAAAUUCCAAUGUAUGCUGCUUGUUGUUUCCACUAUUUCAUUGUCACCAGAAUGUGAGUUUGAAUUACCCAUCCUUUUAUCUCUCUUUUUGUACCUUGCCUUUUGUUCGGGAGGAAGGUCUUUGUAGGUUUUCCCAAUAUGUUUUUGUAACUGUCAAAAUGAUAAUGAAUAUGUCUUAAAACAUAAAAAACCCACAAAAUAAUAUCUAUACAUGCUACAUUUAAUGAAUAUAUACUAACCCCAAUCGUAACGGACAAAUCUAAAUUUUCACUUCUCAAACGCUUAACUUCUUCAUUGCUGCAAAAGCAUAACAUCUAAUUACUGUUAUUUGGUAUGGGCGUGUUUCUUUCCCGAUAGGUAAAUCACAACGACUACUUACAAGUAAGAGACAAAUCCAUAAGUUGAAGACAUUGGAAUUGCAUCCUGACCAUUUGCUUUUAGAAUAGGAGCACUUUUUUCUGUAAGCCCCCUGGUAGUUGUUUACGCUUUCGUCGGUGACUGUCCAAGAAAAAUUUUAAAUAAUUAAGUGAAGGAUAAUUAUUCCAUCAAUAUGUAUUAAUUUUUUUUUAAAAGAUGAGUUCCCCCACCUGCUAUUCAAAGUCACUGUGUACUCCUUACUUUUUAAUCUAUUAAACAUUCCAUAUAUGGUGGAAUUCAAGCACAAAUUAUAAUUUUAUUUUAUUUUUUUCCUCAUUUAUACCAAUGAAGAAAAAGAUGACAAGAAUAACAAAGGAAAGAUCUUUAUUUUUGCCCAAGACUAUGACCUCUCACAAACUCACAAUAAAUGAAUGACAGAGUGAAAAAAAAUUGUAUAUAAUAAAGGGAUGGGAUCAAGAGCUCUCAUUUCUUACUACAAAAUUUACGAAAUCUAAAUAUUUCAACAACAUAAAAUUUAAUGGAUAAUGAUCUUUGCUGCAUACAUUAAAAUCAUGACUAUUACCGUGCCCUCAACUUUGCGUCAUACAAACAAAUUUCAUCAUAAAACAAAGUACAGUGCUUUUUUUUUAAUAAAAAAAUACAUUAAAGGCUGCUGGGAAUGAGUAGGGGAUGAUGGGUUGUAACCAAGAUCAAAAUUAAUGCAUUGAAACCAAUAUGACAAAAUCCAUACUAUGAAUUAUUAUAAACACCUAAUAAAGGGUUAGUAUAUCAGAGGGAUUGAUACCUGGAAUGUACUUCAGCAAAACAGGACCCCUGAAAAUAAGAAAGAAAAGUUUUGCUCAACAUUCCAAAAAAAAAAGAAGGCCUGCUCUUUUUAAAAAAUUAUAUCGUUGUAACUUACACAAAAUUCCACUUAGCACAAUCGUAAGGACCAAUCGUAAGAUUAAGAUGAAGGCCUGCUUGCUGCACCAGCUUGAUAAACUUCAGCAGAUCAGAAUUCCCCUCCAAGUAAUACUAAAACUAAUUAAAACAAAAACAAAAAACAAAAAUAGCAAAACAUUUACUGAAGAACUUAUUUAAAAUAUUACCCUAGAUUUGAGACUACAAGCAAACAGUGCCUUCUGAUAAAAACAAAUUACAUGCCAUAAAUAAAAUUAUUACGAGCCCACCAAAGAAAUUGUCAGGGUUAUAGUGAUUACAAACCUUCCCUAACUUUAUUUAUCUUCACCAAUGAAAAUAGGUCAACAUUUAACAUUCUUUUACAACCAAGUACACCAAGUCUUACAAUUAAAGGUUUAAGGUUACAAAGCAUAGUUACUUAAGACUCUUAGCUUUAUCGUAAGGCACCUUAGACAAUUCUAUUACCACACAAAGACCUGGGCCUAUUUCUUAUAAACACGGCAAGAAUCACAUCCAAGGUCAAGCAAAUUCAACAACAAGGUCAUACGGCAUAUACCCAGCACAUACCCAACUCAUUGGCCGAUUUGAGGCACAAAACAAUAGAAUAUUAUCAUAAAACCACCACAAUAUCACUGGAUUCGAAUAUAAGAAUAAUAUAAAUAUAAUUGUUCAAUUCAAUCAUUACCCCAAAUCACGAAUACUAGCGAGACUAUAUUAAUUCAUGCCACUGGCAGCAGCACAUUCUUUAAUAAAAUCCUUCAAAUAUAAAAAAUCAGCUACAUGCGAAUCUAGAAUUUAAAAGGAAAUAUACAAUAAUUUUUUGGAGAGAAGAAAUCCCUUUCCACUUAUAUUGAAGAUAAUUCAAGAAAAUGACAGGCCCCAAUUCGCAGAUCAUCAAAACAAACCCCAUUACUUGCAGUUGCUUGAUGCUCGAUAACGUUACCUCUUUUUUUUUUUCAAUUUAUAAUUUUUUCCUUUUUGUGAAUAACAGAAUCUCAAGAUAAAAUAUUGCAGUAUGACUUAAUUGUAACUCUAUCGGUUCAAAAACAAAAAAUGACAAGCCCUAUCAAUUAUCAUUCAAUUAUCAAUCCCUAGAAAUCAUCUCAAUAUUUCAAGUAAUAAUUUCUCAAUUGCAAAAUCAAAUUAUUGAAACUGAAAUUUCAAGUAAUAUUCAUAAACUAAACUGAAACGUCCUGCAUAUUUAAAUGACAUGAUAAGAUUUUUAAUCAUAUAUUAAAUUAGAGAGAGAGAGCUCACCGAAAUUAUUGGAAGACAUAAGAGAGAGAUACAGCAAGAGUGAUAGAUUGAAGCUGACGAAUUGAAGCUAUGAGUGACGAACUGAAGCUGAGAGUGAUAGAUUGAAGCUGACGAAUUGAAGCGAGAGUAACAGAUCGAGUAAGCCUGAGUAAAUGGCACUCUUUCGACUACAUCUUUGCUCUUUGCUGUGAUGGGUGGUGAAUAUUCUUGAAUACCAAUUUCAUUGAUCCAAAAUUCUAGAUGUAGGAGAAAACAAUAGCAGAGAGAAUAUGAAGGCUGUUACUUUGAGGGAGAGAGAGGCAUCACAAUCCAACGGCUGUGAUUUUUUAGAUAAGUCAAGUGAUGACAUAAUGACUGGCAUAUCUGGUCGCCAAAAUGAGUAAUCAAACAUAUUAACCAUUGGAUGUUUCUACUUCUAUAUAACGGUUGCCCUUUCUUUUAAAGUUAUUGUUACGUUCGGAAAACGUGACCACACAAUCAAAUGUUCUUCUAUUGUCAAAAACAAUAAAUACAUGAGUUUCUUUUUUUAGGUUAUGUCAAUUCAGCAGUUAAGCAGUUAGUGGUUUGUUUACUUAUGAGACCGAAUAAUUAAAAUAUAAAACAAAAAUGAUUAAUAACGUUUACUUGUUAAAAUAUAAGAGAAAUAAAAAUGAAAUAUAUAAAUUCACAUACUAUUUAAAUUAAAGAAUAAUAAUAGAGUCAUAACUUUUUUUCCAGUCAUCACUUUAUUUAAAAAAGAGUUGAACUAUAGGCACUCCUCUGAAAUUCUUAAAAAAAACCCUCUCAUGUUAUAAUUACAUUAAAGGAUAAAUUAAUCUAAUUAUACCGCUAUAUUUGUCUCGCUAAAUCUUUACAUCCACACAACUAUAUCAAAGUGUUUUACAUUUUUUUUUGUUUUCUUUUGCAUUCUAUUUUUUUAAUUUAAAAAAAUUACAUAAUAGCUAUUUGAGUCACUUCUUAAUUCAUACAUAUACAAGAAAUUUAAUAAUUCAAAAAUUUGUAUAAAAAAAAAUUUAGUUGGAGUUGUUUGGAAGAAACUAAAUUUUCUUUUGAAAUCAGAAAGAAACAGAAAAAAAAAAACAAAACAAAAAAAAGAAGACAUUUUGGGAAUUAAAGUAGGUAGAAAAGCAGCUUGAAACGUAAAUUACAAGGGUGCUAAUAGUCUUACUCUUUGAAAAAUGCGGCCUGAACUGACAAAAUGCCGACCUAACCAAUUUUUUAUGACGAUGAUUAAUACUUGUUCGUUUCUCCUUAGCUCUGUUUCUUACAUUGAUGCAUACAUGACUUAAAAGCUUCAUCUUCCUCUAGCUUCCUUUCGUGAAAUCCAAUAUCUUCUGUAGAAAUUCGAAUAAUCUCAUUUUGACUUUGAGUAAGCUUUUCAGUUCAAUUAUCUUGCUGUAGUUUAUUUUUGUAUUUGCACAAAAUAAUGCAGUCAGAACAAAAUAAUUAUGUAACCCGAAGCAAUUCCUUCCAUCUCUACGAUAUUAACAAAAGCCAAAAUUUUCAACCAUAAUUACAAUUAAUUUGCUACUUAAACAACGUGAAGUUACAAAAUUUUGGUUUCUAAAUGCGGAGCUAAAAACCUCUAGCAUCAAUAUAUUGGGAAUUGCGCCCUCAUCGUCUUAAGAUUAUUUGUUAAUAAUUAUGUAGAAAGGAAAAAAGAUGGAUGAUUUCAAUUUCCACCAAUCGAUAUGCAUGCACGAGUCUGAACUGAGACUGAGAAGACUAUUAGUACAGUGACGGAGGAAAAUAAUCUACUGAAGCACCGAGUUGCCCAUUUGGAUUUUUCGGAGAAGGUUGAUCUUUAAAGUUCAUUGUUUAUUCAACCAACCACAAAAAAAUUUAUUAUUUAUUCAACCAAUCAUAAACAAUCUUUUGUAUAUUAAAUUUUUUUUUAAAAGUUCCAGAUGAAAUGAUAUUUUGAAUAUUAUCUGCAAUAUUCACGUGAUUGGUACCACAUUUUUUAUUUUCUUAUUAACAAAAUUAUUUAUUUCGUAGGGACCGUAUUCACGCUUCCAAGUUUCUCAUACAUAUGCAAUUUAACCAUUGCGGUUGAUUAGCAUUUGAGUUUUGACAUGGGAAGCGGUAGGGAUGGGAAUAAAAUCCGGAUCCGCAUGUUAAAUAAUGCAGAUUUACAUGUAAGAAAUUAAAAUCUGCACGGAUCCGAAUCCAAAUUUAAAUAUAAGUGCAUUCAAAAAAUCAGAUAUUCUGCUAAUUUUUAUAUUAAAUUAAAAAAAUAUAUAUUAACUUUAACUUAAAAACAAAUUUAACCCAACUCUCACAUUCACACGCGCUCACAACACUUUUCCAGCAGCCACAACCCACAAACCCCUAACACCCAAAUCCCCCUAAUUCCGUAGGAUGUCGCCGUCUGCCUCACGGCCUCGCCUAAGCCUUGUGUCCAAGCCUCGAUCUAAGUCGGUCGCUGUCGUUGCGCGCUGCACGCCUCGAUCUGAGUCGGUCGCUGCCGCUGCACGCUGCACGCCUCGAUCUGAGUAAGUUGCUGCCGCUACACGCUCGAUCUGAGUCAGUUGCUGUCGAAUCCUCGCCAUCGAAGAAGCCUCUCGCUGUCGAAUCCUCGCCCUCGGAGAAGCCUCGUCUAAGCACUUUAAUUAAAAUGGUCUUGGCAAGCCUUGUUGAAUCCUUUGGCCUUUGUUGAUUCAAUUUAGUUUAAUUUUGAAUAAAUUUCUUUGCUGAUUCGUUUCAUCACUUUAAUUAAAUGCAUUAAUUUUCAAUAUAAUGUAAAUGUUUAAUAGGUUUUGGGAUUAGGUUUUAAUUUGGAAAAUUGUUGAAUUUUUAAAUUAAAAAUUUAAAUGAAAUCUUGGUGAAACCUGUUGUCAUCUGCCGGUUAACAUAGCUAGUCUCUGAAAUAAUUUCUUGAUUCACUAAUUAUGAGUUCAAAUUUGAUGCAGAAUGGGCAACCAGCCUACUGCAAACAAAUCUUCUGGAACAGUUCAGAUGAAGGGACAGCCAAUCCAGCAAAACAGUUAUAAACAACUCUAAAUAAAUUCAUAUACGCAUAGCAGCUAAUUACAGUCUUGAUACUUCAUUAGGUUUUUGUUAAUUUUCUAUACAGUUGUGCUGUGCAUUAAAGUUUUGUUAAAUGAAAUCGGUAGGUGAGGAUUAAUUAAUCAAUUAAUUAAGAUCCAGUUAAUGUAAUUAAUUUUAUUUGAUUUUUUUAAUUCGAGUUCUAAAUUAAUCAAUUAAUUUAGAUUCAUGUGAAAUUGAAGUGAAUUAGUUUCGAUCUGUUUUUCGUCCUAUGUUUGUCUGUGUUUACUCUUACUUUUUUUUUGUUUAAAUUUUCGUUUUCUUAUUGUUUACUGAAUAAAUUUCUGAGCUGUAUUUGAGUAUGAUUGAUUUGUGAUUUUAAUUUGUGACUUUUUUUUUUGGAAUUUAAAUCUGAAUGCUUUUUAAGUUGAAUCUGAUUGUGUUGGGCUGCGAUUUAAUUGAGUGAUGAGGGAGCGCCAAAUUGUGAGAGCCAAAUAUUCAAUAACCGAUAAAUUAUAUUUAUAAAUAUUAAUAGCGAUGGCACAUAAACAAUUAAUUCAAGAACUUGCCCAUAGUGAUUAAUUUAAAGAGUAUAAGUAACAUUGCAGUACAGUUAGCCCUUGCGUGUUUAAUUAGCAAUUGAAAACUAAUGUUGCUGAUGAGGUAGAACAUUAUAACACUGUUGCUGAUGAGGCAGCUGGUAAUUCUUCUGGUGAAGAUAUUAAGACUAUUAAAGCUGAAAUGUAAUUAGAGAAAUAUAAUGCAUUCCCUUAGUUUGCUUUUUGUUUUUGAUAUUUGUUUGGCUAAUGCUUUGCUUAGAUUACUUUUUGUUUUUGAGAUUUUAUUGGCUUAGUCAUGGGGUAUUGUUUUCUCUUCUAAUUUCUAUUUUUGUUGUUAUGGGAUUUUAUUGGCUUACUUUUUGUUUUUGAGAUUUAUCCAGUGCUUUCAAUAAAUCAUGGUCGAUUUACUGUUAAUUAAUCAAAUUUAAUUUACCCAAAUUACUCAUGUACACGAUCAAAAUAAUUAUAAUUCCAUGAUAUAUAUACACGCGCGCACACAAACAAAAUGUAAUUAACUUUGAAAUAUAAAAUAUUUAAAAUAAUCACCGUACUAACAAUUCACAAAUCAGAUUUUAUAUAAAUAGACGCAAUAAUGUUAAUCUAGCGAAUCCAGUCAUAAUAAUUUGAUUUUCAUUUAUAUUAAUUAUGUCAAACCAUGCUAUUUUAAUAAAUAGCACUUGAGAAUAUAUAUAUCCAACAUGUAAAAUUUCAAAACAAUAUUUGCCAAAAUCUGAUGAAGAGAAUAUACACGCACGCACAUAUAUAAUCGUACAGCAGAAGGAUAAAUAAAAGAAAAUGAAGUUUCAACAGUUGAAUAAUGCAAAUUCAUUUUUUUUUAACAAGCAUUUUAUUGUUUAAUUAAAAAAUUCGAAAACCGAUUGGUCUUAUAUACAUGAUAAAAACUCACCGACGCCGAACCAUAUUCAUUUAAAUUAGUUUUCAACUGAGAUUUGAAUUUUAAAAUUAUAUAAACAAGCACGCCCAAUUUUUUUUUUUAAAAAGUAGUAAUUAUAAAAUAUUUAUGUCGUCCUCUAAAAAACCAAUUUACAAUCUAUAAAACCAAUUUACAAUCUAUUUCAACAUAAGGUAUAUGGGUUAACAAGUCCCAAUAUUGUCCUCCAUCCUUUCUGCACUUCUCUUCUAUCAACCGACAUCUCCAGAUGUCUAAUUGCAAAAGUGAGGAAGGCAGGCCCUUCUCCGGAAAGUAUUUGAGCUUGGGACAUUCCCAGAGAUACAAUUCAGUGAGGUUUUGAAGAUCAACAAUUGAAGAAGAUAGGCGUUCCAGAUUUGGAAAUUUAUAAAUGCUCAGAGAUGUUAGAGAGGCAGGAAGAGGAAGCGCGGUCCCUAAUCUUUUGUCCUCUAGUGGAAAUGACGCCAUGUCGUCAUCGCAUCCUCUGAUUUCAAGACGUCGCAGAGAGGAGAAUCUGUGAAAUCCCCGUCCCCGCUCAAUCAUUGACUUCCAAAUCUCCAUAUUACCCCAAAUAUCAAGUGACUGAAGGUUGGUGGGGAGGCCAUCUUCUUCUUCAAGGCUUGGAAGCGCACCUCCUUUUCCUAUUGUUAAUUCUUGAAGAGAGCUCAGAUUGUGCAUUCCCUUGGGUAAGGCCUCUAGUCUCUUACAAUUAGAUAUCGCCAGCCUCCUGAGUUUCGCACAAGGCAAUCCCCCUUCGGGAAAGGACACCAGAUUUUUACAACUAUCUAUGCUGAUUGUUUCAAGAGAUGUGUUGUUGUCCAACCUUUCUGCUAUUGACUUCAACUUUGAACAACUCCAAACAACGAGGGACUUAAGAGACGAAGGUGGAUUGCCAACUUCAAGGGACUCAAGCGUGGCAGGUAACUCGUUUUUUGAAAAUAUACAUGUCAGAGAUGGACAACUAAUAAUUUCUAAGUGCUCGAGAAGAGAUGAGGUGUACCUUCUGCUGCUGCUGCUACACUGGAUGCCCUCUUCCACUGUCAAAGUCCUUAUAUUAUCACAAUCUCUGAUGCUCAACUUCUUAAGGCUCGGUGGCAGCUGGACAGCAGCAACAUAUGUCAACGAAUGGCAAUUCAGAAUAUUCAAGAUCUCGAGAGACGAAUUGGUGUCGCACAUCCAUGCCUCUGGUAACGAUUUCAGUGCACCACAAUACCUAAUCUCAAUUUCCUUCAACUUGGAAGGCAGAGCAACCUCAGGAAAGGAAACAAGGGAACUGCACUUCCAGAUUUCUAUCUCUCUCAAGGAACUGAGGCUGAACGAUGAUUGUGGCAGCUUCACAAGGCCUUCGCAAUUACUCAAUCUUAGAUAUUCAAGUCUGCAUGACAACUCGCAGAGCUGCUGUUGUUGGUCUUUCUUUUCCUCCGCCACCAAGGAUUGAAGUUUGGGACAGCUUGUAAUCGUCAGUCUUUUGAGAGAGCAAAUGUCUUGCAGUAAUUCGUUAUGACUCUUCCAUAUAUGUGUUUCAUUUUUAAUAUUUUUUAUCUCCAAUUCUUCCAGUUUUGGUAUUCGCGGCUUCAAUGGCCCUGCGAGAAACACUUGAUUUGAUGUAUCUCUACAAACCACUGCAUUCUGUGAGCCGAGAUGAUCAAUUGCACUUCUCCACACAACCUUUUUACAUCCACGAAUUACCAAUUUGCAAAGAGCUGGAAGACUCCUAAUUGAAAUUGACAAUUCUUCGCAUUGUUCAAUAACAAGCAUCUCCAAUGCAGGAAGCUGCUCUGGAAAUGUUCCUUGCAGUUUAGAACAUCUUAAAAUGUGAAGCUCUCUCAAUUUAGGAAACCCUUCAACUCCCUGACUGGAUCCAUGAGGAAACCACUCUUCCCACUCUUGCAGGUCUUCAAAAUGAAGAGUCUCCAAGCAUGUAAAUGGAAUUUGAGAGUCAUCCCCAUAGAACUCUGAACCCAAUCUCUUUACUCUACUCAUUCCACGCACUGUAAGAUGCUUCAGAGAGGGCAGUUGGCCGACUGACGGCAGGGCAGUACACAUGCCGCAAUCUUCAAAUUUAAGUGUUACUAAAUUUAAGAAUGAGGAAUCUCCUAACCAUGUUGGAAAUUUUGUACCUCCAUAGCCACAGAUGCCAAAUUGUUCCAGAUUUUUAUGGGGUUUGAGCAUGUCAAGCACACCCAUUUCAGUUUCUGCCUCCCUUGAAGAUGAACCAUCGGUGCUGCAAGUCCAAUUAAGCGAUAAUUCUCUAAGAUUCUUCUUUCCAUCCAACCGAGCCUCCUUUGCAUCACCAAUGUCUUUUACAUUCUCUAAUUUUGAAAUUUUAAGUGUCCCCUGAAGAUGUAUCAAUGACUUUAGCUCUCGUAACCCAGAACCAUUGUCUUUUCCCACAGCAAAAUUACCCAGCGUUUGAAGACAAGUCAGCUUACCAAUUCCUAGUGGCAUUUCCUCCAAGGAAUCUGUAUUUGAAUUAUUGAGAUGAUGCAAUUUGAUGAGAUUUCCCAUGUCUGCACACAACUUCUUCAGUCGUCGACAGCCCUCCAAAAGAAGGGUGUGCAAGUUGUAAAGCUUGCUGACUGAUUCAGGCAGAGUUUUAAUCUCAGUUCCAGACAGGUUAAGGUGCCUUAAAUACCUCAAAUCACCAACUGAAUCCGGCAGCUCGGCGAUGCAAUAUCCACGCAGAGAGAAGACCCUUAAGCUUUGGAGUUUGAACAACUUAGGAAGAAUGCUAUGAGCCAAGUAUCCAUGCCGACUAUUUAACAUCACUGGUAAAAAAGUUCUCAAAUGUUGGAUAUCAUACAAUUUCUCAAACCUUUGAACGCCAUCAUAAUCUCCACGAAUGUACGACAGAUAACGAAGAUUUCUAGAAAAACAUUGUUGCUUGUUAACCUCCGAGGUAUACUCCAGUGUGAAGUAUGUCUCCCCUGCAGCCCAACGGGCAAGGUCGUUGAUAAGAUCGUGCAUAACAAAUCGUGAUAUACUGUUGCUCGAUUGCUGGAAAAAAGAUCUUCCACGUAGCUCUUGAAAGAACUUUCGACCGAGAUCUUCACUAGGAUUCCCACUCUCUCCGUGAUUCAAGAAACCCACAGCACUCCAUAAUAAAAUUAUCUCCCCCUCUUCAAAUUCAUAAUCCUUUGGAAACAAUGAGCAAUACGCAAAGCAUUGUUUCAAAGGUGCCGAAAGAUAAUAGUAGCUCACUCUAAGCGCCGGCAUAAUGUCACAUCUCUCUUCUUGCAAUUCCCAUAUCUUGGUACUGAGCACUCUCUCCCAAUCACAUCUGUCAUCUUUUCCUCGCAAAAGUCCUCCAAGUGUUUGCGCUGCCAAGGGCAAGCCAUCGCAUUUGGCCACUAUCUUCUUGCCAAUUUCCUCCAAUAACUUAUCUGACCCCAAAGAGUGUUGAGCGAACACAGACAGACAAUCAUCAUUUGACAACUUUUUCAAUUGAUAAGCCCGAACAGUCCCCAUGAUGGCUGCAACCUCUUGAUUACGAGCUGUGACAAUAAUCUUACUUCCCGGUGCGCCAGCUUCAAAUGGAGGUCUGAGUCGAUCCCAAUCAUUGUAAUUCUCAUUCCAAACGUCAUCUAAAACAAGCAAAAAUUUUUUUCCAGAUAACUUCUUCUUCAGCUCCUCUUGAAGCUUAUUCAAGUUGUGAUUAUCCACGUUCUGGUCAGGAACAAUGGAUAUCAAGAUUGUUUUUGUUAGCCUGAAAACAUCGAAAUCAUCAGAGACACAAGUCCAUGCCUUGAGAUCAAAAUGAUCCUGCACUUGCUUAUCAUUGUAGACAAGCUGAGCAAGAGUGGUUUUGCCCAGCCCGCCCAUACCUAUGAUAGGAAUAACAGAGAAUUCACCAUCGUUGCUUAAAUCAUCCCUCAAAAGCAGUUCUACAACAUCCUUCUUUUCUGUUUCUCUGCCAUAUGCUUUGGCUUCCUUCACCAAAGAAGUUGUCUCUCGCCUUUGCCUGUCUUUUAUGGUCCUCCCACCUGAACUUACGUUCAAACCCAGCGAAUCCUUCUGAGUUACAAUUUCUUGAAAUCUGCCGUUGAUCUCUUUGAUUUUGGACAUUAUGGCGUAAUCGAACUGAAUCGAUUGUGGAGCAAAAGUGGUGCAGCAAGUGGGAAUGAGCUUCCGAAACUUACUUGUUCUUGUACGACUGCUACUGGGUUGAUCAAGAGCAGCAGCAGGUUCUCCAUUUCCAAGCAGCAACUUCCUCCGGAAAACCUCAGUUUGAAACUCAUCCAACAGGUCCUCAACAUCAUAAGCCAAGUUCUGAAGCUCGCCAAGCCACAACUUCACAGACUGAUCAGUCGUUUUCUUCUCCUCAGCAUCAGCAAGCACCGCCUUGAUCAUCACCAACAUAUUCUUCCACUUCUUUAGGUCGGCCUGGAUUUGCUCUUGGCGUGCAAACAACCGAAUCCCCUCUGAAGCUAACUUAUUGACCAGCAAAUCAACGGAAGCCGUAAGGAUUGCCUCUCCGAUGAUUGACAUUUUUUUUUUGUUUUUGUUUUGCAAAGAAAGAAACAGAAUUUUGAGUUUUGAAAAGCAAAAUGAGAAAAUUGAACAGUAAGUGUGGAGGGUCAAGCAAAAUGCGCGUAACAAGUCUUCCGCUUGUUGUUUAUUCCAGUAAAGCUAGAAUAAAAACAGAGCCCACCACCCAUUAAUAAUAAUUGAGCAAUUCACCAACCACCAAUCACCAGUCACCACUACUCGUUACCAUGAAUAUAAUAAAUUGCAACUUGAUAUUUGCAGGGUCCAGCAACAUUGACCCAGUGUCCGGGUAAAUGCUGAUAAAUCAAAACGUUUAUCUCUCUCUCUCUUUUCCAUAAAAUUACUUUAUUUAUUGAAUUAAUUUCCAUGCUAAAACGAAGACUUAAAAGUGCACUACAAUUUUUUAUAAUCACAAUGAUAAUUCUUACUAUCAUGUUAUCUUAAUGUCGUGUCAAAAUAAAUUAUAACAAAGUUUUUUCUAUAUGAAUACUCUUUUCAUUUAUAAAUUUUUCAGUUUUUAAUAUUUUUCUCACUCUUUUAGUCUUAAUAUUUGUAUUCCUCUCUUCAAACUUUCUUAAUUAUUUAAUUUUUAAAGAAAAAUCUAAAAAAAAGUAAGAAAAACAUUAUACUUAGAAAAUAAUGAAUAUUUUAUGGGUAUAAUACAAUUUUGUCUCACCUAUAAAUUUGUUGUUUAGCAAUUAGUUUGAGAAUUUUAAAAAAUUAUUUACAGUAGGAUAAAUUUUUAUUUAAUUUAUUUUUUCACAAUAUUGUAUCUUAAUUAAUUAAGUUGUUAUGUUUAUUACAAAAAUUUUGUUUUGGCUUAGAGGAUUACUUCUUAAAUUCAAAUUAUUUUAAUGAUAAUAAAAGAUAUUUAUAUUGUGUAAACAAAAUAAAAUUGAAGAGAGAAAGAAAAUAUAAAUGACUUAAUUCUAUUUAUAUUUGUCCUUAAAAUGUAAUUGUAAUAGAAUAAGGGUUUUAUAAGAUUAAUGAAGGGAUACCGAUAGUCCUACUCUUAUGGAAAAUGGCAGUAAAAAUGGAAUGUAUCCACUACAAACCUUCGCUUUACAAGUCUUCAAUCAAACAUGUAUUGAUUUGUAAAAGGAUCACUAGCAUCCGAUUAUUGGGAGGUAUUAUGGAGAAGUCACGCUUAGUAUUUACAAUUCAUGUAAGAUGAAUUUGUAAGACUUAUUAAUUUCGAUGAAAAUAUAGAUUUAUUAAGUUACUAAUUCAUUAAGUUAACAUGAGAUAUUAAUAUUUACUAAUUGUGGCGAUUAAUUUAUUUAACUUGUCAUGAUUUUCAAUUAAGAAGGAAGUUCAGUCAAUUUAUGGAAAGAAGGAUAAUUUUUUUUUUCAGAAUUUUAAUUUCUAGGAUUUUAUUUCACUUUGUUUCGAUUGUUGAUGUUGCUAAAGAGGCAGUGAAAGUUUGCUGAAUGCCAUCAGAUGCUUGUAUCUUAUCUCACAAAAUGUCAAUAUCGGUUUGUUUCCCUAUAGGCGCAGCCAUCAUGAAUUGAAAGUAACAACGUGAUGAGCAUAUAACAUAUACAUAUUUUACCAUUAAUUAUAUAAUUGUUAGUUAUUUUUAUUUGUUAUUUUUAAUUAAUUAAAUUAUUUUGUUGAAUAAAAAAUUAAUUAGAGAUUCUAGAUAAAAAGGGCAUGAAGAAGUUUAAUUUGGGAAGCAAAAAAAAAUAAAUUGAAAGAUAAAAAUACAGACAAGGAUUAAUGGAAUCCAAGCCGAAAAAAUCAAAGCACAAGGAUUUUCUUAAUGUCAUUAUUUAGGCAAGGGUUUUGAUGCAGCGGAAGUUUAAGAGAAUCAAAUCUGAAGAAUUUAUUAAGAGAAUCAAAUUGGAAGUUUUGAUGCAGCAAAAAAAAACUGAAGUUUGAAUUUCACUCACAUAGGUAAUAAGAGAAUUAAAUUAUUGUUAGAUUAAAUUGAUUAAAAAAAAUUAUCUGAUAUCCAAAACAGCAUAUCAACAAAAUUGAAAUAAAAGAAAAUUGAAGAGAAAAACCAUCGAGAGAACGAAAAUUAACACACGAAAAUUUCGAUAACUUCACUUAUUAAAACUUGGUUAUUUCAUUUUCAUUGAUAAUCAUUUUGACACCGGUCAAAUUUAAAAGUUUAAAUAAUGGGGGCGCUAUUUCUUUCCAGCUAUGCCCAUCGACUAAUUAAAAUACCGCCGAAACAGUUCAGGGAUAGUAUAGUAAUUUCAUUUAACAGUUUUCGUGCUUCAAAUCAUCAAAUCAAACUCACGGUUUCCGACUUGUAAUGGGUGCAACUCAUGUUUUUCAAACAUUAAGAUCUUUUGCCAUUCUGUUACUAUCCCAUGGUUAUUUAAGUUACAAGAGACAGUAAAAAACAUCAUCAUAUUUUAACGUCCUUUGAAUAUUUGAAGAGGUUAAAAUUUAGGCAGUGUUAUAUAAAAUAUAAUGUAAAUUAGUCUCAGUAAUUGUGUAGUUGUAUGUGAGAAAACAUACAAUGUAAAAGUGUGUGUGAGAAAACAAAAAAUAUGAAUCACCUUUGAUGUAGUUGUAUGGUUGUAAAGAAUUAGAUGGAGAAAUAUAGUAUAUAAUUAAAUUUAUUUUGUUCUUUAAAACGGAUAGGUUUUAUGCAAAUUUUUCAGAGGAGUGCCAAUAUUUCAACUCUAUCAUUGCUAUUAGUUUGUCUUGUAAUUCAAUCAUUGCCGACAAGUAUUAAUUGUGACUAUUAUUAUUUUAAAAAUAUUAUUAUUAUUAUCGUCGUUAUUCUUAACAGCAAUGACUAGAAUUAUAAUAAUAACAAUAACGUCAAUACAAUAAUAUAACAACAUAAUAAUAUUUUAAUUGGGGUCUUCCACCUGGGUAUGCAUGAUUCCUUGUGACAUGAUAUAGGGUGCGUUUGGGAUUGAGGUUAGGCAGCUGUAGCUUAAAAGCUACAGCACUAAAGUGUUUGAUAAACACUAACUGCUGUAGCUUUUAAGCUAUAUUGAUAUGAUUUUUCACUUGUAUAAUACAAAAUCUAUUAUAUCUUUAAAAAUUUUAUCAAAAUUAUUAUUUAAAAUUUAUAUUUACUAUAUAUUAUUAAAUUUUGUUUCAUAAUUACAGUUUUUUUUUCACAGCAGCUGUAGCUUAAAAGCUACAACACCUCAAUCCCAAACGCACCCAUAGAGCCAAUUAAAUUCUGAAAUGCGUGCAAUAAAGACUGUAAAGUGACCAGUUAUUCCGGUUGAAUUCACAAGAGCUCUUGUUUGUGUGUUUAUGUUUCAAGUUGUGUACUCUGUGUUACGAGUUCUCUAAUUAGUCUGAUAUUAUCGCAAUUAUUGCUCAAUAAUGUUACAAGUAUUAUAAUAUAUGUCACUAGUACGGUCGUUGUCUCGAGUGGUACACAUUAAGGCACAAAUUUAGAACGAAAAGCUUCCCAGUAAAAUAAGUUAUUUAAUUAAUUAAAUAAGAAUAAAAUGAAUUUGUGAAAGAAAUUUAAAUUUUAUUUUGAAUUAUUUUGACCAAAAUUUAAGUUUUUUUUUUUUAAAUUUGUUUAAGAAAAUGCAUUGUAAUUGUCUUGUUUUAAUUGGAAAAUCAAUAAAAAAAAUUAUGUAACAGAAAAAAAAAAAAAAAAAAGCAAAACGGUUUGUUUUGGAUGGAGUCCAUAGAUUCCAAUAUUUCCUUCACGAAAACUACAAAAAAUUAUCAAAGCCAUCAAUUUCUACACUCUCACCGAGCAAAUACUCUCAACCUAGAUGAAAGUGUAUAAAUCAACCCCAAUCAGUCCAUCAAUGUCGUCAACCUCAUACAGCAUAAAAAAAUCUGUGUCCAUUAAACCGCCAUCUUGCCAUCUCGUUGUAGUAUUUUACUGUUCAAAUCUAGUUAUCAAUUGGGCAAAAUGGGGACCAAUCUGCAAGUCUUUAAAAUAGAAAGAAACUUUAAUUGAGCACUAUGUUCACGGUGGUGGACCCGGCGGCAGUAAUCUUUAGGGUGGAGUUAUUUAUAUUUUAAAAAUUAUUUUAAACACUCUAAUUUUAAUAAGAAUAUGUAUUACAAAAAUAUUUAUCAUAUAAGUUACUAUUAAGAAUAAUAUAAUAUAUUAUAAGUCAACAUUAUAUAAUUAUUGUGAACACUUGUAUAGCACAAUCCUUAUUUAUUUUAUUAUUCUCAUGACUUAAAUAUAAAAAUUUUUAUUUCCAACAUCUUAAUUAAUAUGUAGAUGAAUAAUAAGGAAAUUAACUUUGAGAAAAAAUUAAAUACAAAAUAUGUGUAAUACUUUUAAAAAAUAAAAUAAAACAAAAGUAUUGCACAAGAUUUUUUUUUGGGAGGGAUUUUGCCAUUCUUCUUCUUCUUCUUCUCCUUCUCUCUCUCUCUCUCUCUCUCUCUCUCUCUCUCUCUCUCUCUCUUUUGGUAGUAUUUAUGGAACAUUUUCUCUUGUUAUGUUCUCAUUGCAAGUUAUUUUGGGUGCAAAAGUCAAUAUUAAAAAUAAAUUAAAUAAAAAAUUAGUAACUAAAAUUAUGUUAAAUUAUUUUUUUACAACUUAAUUUUUAAUUAUAUUUUGUGAGUAUAUGCUAAAUCUCUUAAAAAUAGAGUGUUGAAUAAUUUUAUUAGUUUUUUUAAAUAAAUGAAGCUAAGUAACUUAAAAAGUUUAGUAAGGAUAUUUUUGAAUUUUAAAUAAUGUACAAAGUAAAAUUUAAUUUUUUUAUAAUUAAGCUACGAGCGUGCAAAGUAAUAUUUAGAGUGCUAAUAGUCCUACCCUAAUCUUUAUCAUCACAUUAUUUUCCAUAAAAAGUUUACAAUUAUCUCUUUAUUGGAUAAUUUUGUUCCCUCUCUUACCGUUAUGUUCCCCUACAUUCUCAUAUCUGCAUCACCAUUUAAAUUGUAAUCAUAACGUUAAUCUUUAUCAUUUCACAUAUUUUGCCAAAUUUAUACGCACUGCAAAGCUCUUUCCUUUUUUUUUUUUUUCCCGUUAAGUUUGCUAUAAUGUACAUGAAGAAUAGUUAAAGAGCUCUUUCGAGUCCUUAUCCUUUCUUUCGAGUUUACUUUUGCUUUUUUUUUUUUUUAACGUUUCUCUGGAAUUCACUUCAACAUCACUGGCGCGUUUUCUUCUUUCUCACUGCAACAUCAACUGGGCCACCACCUCUUGCCUCUCCCGGUUCCCCUCAAUUUUCGUAUUCAAUGUCCACCGUUGAUUGUACAUUUAUUAAAAUUCUGUGGUUAUUAUUUUUUGCAUAUAUUUAAUUCCACACGGUCUAGAUCGUAGUUGUGUCCUUUUAAUUGAGGAUGAGAAUGAAAUUAUGAAAUUUAAGUUGGGUAAAAAUGGUGAGUAUGAGGAAAUUAAAUUACAAUUCUUUAAGAUAAAUAAUUUGUAAAUCCCACAUAUUUCAUUUUUAUUUCUCUAGUUAAAUUAUAUUUUAAUAAAUAAAUAUAAUCAAUUAUUUUAAUAUUUUAAUUAAUAAACACGACAUUAACUACGGAACUAAAAAAUCCAAAAAAAAAAAAACAGAGGCGUGUGUGUAUUGCUUGUGACAAAUGUCACCCAUGGAAAACCUUGUGAAAGGCAUUUGAAUGUGUGGCCACAUUUAAUGAACGAAACGAUAACUUUAAAAGAAAGUAUGUACUGUGUUAAUUAUUAGGCUUUAGCUUAAUGAUUUCAAUUAGUUUGUCUUUUAAUUAAAUUAUUGCCGACAAACACUAUCACGACCCACGUCCGCUACUUGUGUGAAUGUGUGUAUAAAUAUCCGCAGCAUAUUAUCAAACUUGAUGCGUGAUCAUCUUUAAGUUUUGGUUACGGUUCAUCAGACGUUAGAAGACAUCUUUUUUAAUUUGAAGAAGAUGGAAACUCCGCAGGUUCUUAUGCCAUGUUCAAUUGAAUGUCAUUUAUAAUUUUUAUUUUAAUAUUAUGUAUUUAUGAAUAUAAUUAUUAUUAUGAUUUUUUCAAAUAAAAACGGAUGGUCUAAGGGUAAUUCAAUAACUAUGUACAGUAUUAUUAAUGAUGAGAGCGUGAAUGAUAAUUUAGAUUUUAUUCUCUUCUCUCAAUACAGAAGAAAUCUCGACUGUAGUAGUUAAGUGUUAUGUAACUCUUUCGUAUUAUGUUCAAUUAAUAAUAAAAUGAUGAGUUAUUAUUACCUGUCAAUUAUGUGAGUGUCUUUGUUUGAUUUAGUUCAACUUAUAAAAUCUCUUGAGAUAUAUAAGAGAUUUUCUUUGUUUACUUUCAUGUACCGCGUCUUCUUGUAAAAAGUAAUUAAUAAAAAAAAUAUCAUUGUGUGCCAUGUAUUGACUAAGUUAGUGUAUUCAUGUUAGGUUAAUUGUGCUCUCUCUUCUUGAUUUUUUUUUAUUAAAAAAAACUCCACGUAUUCUUGGUUAGCUAAUUCUUGCAGGUAGCAAGUGAUCGAUCCUUUUCUUUCCCCUACUGCUGUACCACCAAAUCCUUACAAUUACAUAUCAAGUGGUAUUCGAGCCGUCAAAGGAUCCAUGGAAACACGCAACAAAUCAAAUGCUGAAUUUUGCGAAGAGAUUCACGAAAUCCUUGCUAUACAUGAGUCUAGUUUUGACCAAGUUCACGUCACGCAUCAGCUGCGGGUUUGAAUGGUACCUAGUGGAUAUUUUGUGAGUUCCCACUAAUAAAAUCACACUUGCACAAAACUUAAAAAUUUAAAUUACGUAAUUCAAAUUAUAAAUUUAUAAUGGUAGCCUAAAAAAUCACAUAAAAUACUUAAUUCUAGAUUUUAUCAAUGUAAAUGAGAAAUGACAGUUUUAACAUUAAAAUAAAUACACAAAAUAUAUCAAUUUAACAUAAAUUUUUAAAUUUAAUUACCAAAUACAUAAGUCUAUCGCAACUCAAAGUGCUUUCAAUUGAAAACGAAAAAAGAGAAAGAAAAAAAAAACAAAGAACUACAAAUCAAAAUAGCAGCCAUGACCCAUUUUACAGUCUCAUUCAAUACCACUAGCACCCAUCAAACACGAUUUUUCUAAACAAAGUAUAAAGUACAAAAUUACAAUAAGCAUAUCAUACUCCAUGCUUUAAGUUAAAGAUCCUUAUAUCUUUUUAUGAAUAAUUUUUUAAUGAAAUUUUAUGAUUAAAAUUAAAAAUACAAACAUUCAAAUAAGAAUGUCGGACACUUGCGCAACUAUUCACCAAAUUUUUUCUCUAUAAAAAUCGACCUGCAACUUUCAAUAGGUUUAAAUUUAUAAUAUCAAACCUGAUUGCAGCUCGCAAAAAUUAUCCGUUGCGGCCAAGACUUUGGAUUUGCGAUGAUUUUGCCACCCUAAGUGUAGUUAGUAUUGUAUAUCAUGUGGCUCUUAUAAAAAGCCUAGAAGUUGUUUGAAUAACGGGGUAGACACAUAUCUCCCAAAGAUUUUCUCUUUUUCAAAUUAUUAUUUUUUCUCUAUUAUUGUAACUUCGAAUCCUUAUAAAUUACAGAUUGGAGACAUGAACACAAUGUUUUGACAUAGUGGACUUUUGGCUUGUCCAAAGAAAUUUAGGAUAGAUUUUUACGCACUAAGGUUCUAUUUACUAUUGAAGUUUUAGAACUUUUAAGCCACACCAGAAAUUUUUAUUGUUUUGAUAGAGUUGUAGUCUUUGAUAUGUGAUUAGUAUUAAUUAAGUGUUAUGUUUACAAUAGUUAAAGGCAUAUUGAAUCAAAAUCCACUUCUAAGGGCUUGAUUGAGUGAUUGUAAAGUAGGUUUUUAGUUUGCUAGCCACUCAAGUUCAAAUAUUGGAACCACAUAGCUUUAUAGCCAAGUGAGAGAACUUGUGCCCUAAAAAUUGAGGGGUGCAUAUCGAGUUUUACCACCAAUAAAAGUUGGUGUUAAAACUUUAAUUUCCCUCCUAUUAAUGGAUAUGGGUGAUUAGGAGUUUACAUCCCCUCCUAUUAAUAGACAGGGAUUAUUAGGAAUAUUAAAAAAAAGUUCAAAUAUUGAAAAUGUAGGUAUGGGUUAUAAAAUUCAUAAUAUAAAGACACAAAAUCAAGAUAAAGAUUUAAAAAUUUAGAACCAUGAGAGCGUGACUUGUAAGUUUCAAAGAAGCAUGUGCAAAUAUAUGCAUUAUCGAUGCCCAAUUAAGGGUGGGCAUUAAGAUCGGGUUAACCCGAACCGAACCGAAUCAAACUUAAAAUUUAUUUUGGAUUUAAUUUGGUUAUAGUUGAAGCUUUCAACUGAGUUCAAAACUUAAAAAUGAUUGGGUUGUAUUUCUGUUCGAAUUUAACUCCAGAAGACUAAUCAAUCCAAUCGAGUUAAGUAAGCAAAUUAAGAAAAAAAAUCCCAAAAAAUUAAAACUAACCCUAACUAAAAUAUUCGACCGGGGCCUCCUCGUUUUCUUUUCUUCUUCCUCCUCUCGCUCACCCCUAAUGCCCAUUCAUGGAAAUCCAACAGCUCCAAACGCGUUUCAGCCGCUCGCACGUGUGAGAAAUUUUCCUUCUCAUAGGAUUAUUCGUUUCCUUCGCUUGCAUGCCAGCAGAAUAUUCAGGCCGAGGAUUUUUCCGGGCCUAGCCCAACUAUAAGCUCUCCCAAAACCCAAUCAUAAGUUCAUAACGUUUAGCGUUUGCUAUUACUAUAAUAUUUUUUAACGAAUUUUCACAUUCAUCAACAUAGGCUGACAGAUUUUGUAGAAAAUAAAAUUAAAUAAAAAUACAAGCUCACGAAAUUCCUUUUCCGAUGUGGGAAUCUAUCUACACCUUUCACGUGCUUUUUUUUUUUUGGUGGUGGGGGAUUCCCUUGCUUUUGUUUGCAUUGCCUUAUUGGAUAAAAGUUUGUACAACAUCGUCUGUUUGGUUAAAGCCGAGCAUGAGUGAAGAAAUUUUUUUUAAAAAAAAUUUCCCAUUAAUUUGCAACAAGUAUUAAUAAAGUGCAUGAGAAAAGACACCGGGAUAUGCCUUUUUUAAAAUGAAAAUAAAUGUGUUAAUUAGUCAAUUUAAAUGGUAUGACAUUUUGAAAUGAUAGAAGUGAUCUAAAGUUUAAAUCUUACACUUAAUUUAGGGGUGGGGAUUAAUUGAUGUAAUAUAUAAUAACGAAUUCGAAAGAUAAUUAAAAAUUAAAAGAAAAUAAAAAAGUGCUUUCUUUUUUAUGAUGGUAAUUUGUUUAGAUGAUGAAAACUCUUAGAGUGGUAUUAUCAAUACAUAGUAUUUAUUUUAUUAUAUUUUUAAAUUAAUAAUAAUUAUUAAUAUUCUUAACUAUGUAAAUCACAAUUAUUUUAUUAAUUUUAAUUUAAAUUAUAUAAAUAAAAAAUUAAUAACAACAACACAAAUGAAACAUUAUUAUUGAUAAUAUAGUACAAAUUAAUUUUUUUAGAAUAAAAUAUUUAUUAUUAUUAAUUACUAAUAUUAAAUAAAUAUAAUAGUAUUAUUUUUAAAUAAGUAUAAUAAUAUUAUAUUUUCAAAUAAAAAUAGAAUAUAGUAAUAUUAUUAAUUCUUUAUGAAUAUAAUAAUAUUAUUUUUAAGUAAUUUUAACUUAGAAUCAAUAUAAAUUAUUAUUUUUAACCAAAAAAUUAAUAUUAUUUUAAAUAUGUUUAAUAUUAUUAUUUUUAAUAAAUUUAAUUUAUAAAAUAAUAAAAUAUUAUUAUUUAAAUAAAUAGGAUUUUACUUAUUUUAUUAAAUUUAAUAAAAUAAAUAUGUUUAAUAUUAUUAUUUUUAAUAAAUGUAAUUUAUAAAAUAAUAUAAUAAUAUAAUUUAAAUAAAUAUGAUAUUAUUUAUUUUAUUUUAUUAAAUAUAAGGGUAAAAAAUGAAGAGAGGCGAGUGAAUUCCCACUCCCACCUUCCUCCAUGGGAGUGGGAAUCCUACUCCCCACUCCAAAAUUAGGUGGGAUCCACACAGUGGAAUUCUCACUCCUCCUUUGAAAAUUAUAAGUAAACAUUGGAGUAAAAGUAAUCCACACUCCUCACUCUCACUCCUUAAAAUAAACACUACAUUAAAGAAGCCACUGACUCAUAAGAAAACCAUGAUUAAGUACACGACGAAACAUGUGAGCUCGUUUUUCAAUUUCUUUGAUCACUCAUAAGCUUUUCUAUACCACUCACUAUAUCAUCCUUUUAAGUCAAUUUUGACUGAUCAUAAGAGAUUAUGCACCCCACCUUGAGAUGAUUGAUCACCAAUUUGGCAUUGUAACGUUGAUCACCUCUAAUUGGCCAUGCUAAAAUUGGGACCCCAUUGCCAAUUACUUCUACAGUUAAAUUUUAUCUACAGUGAGAUAAAAAUCCACCUAUUAAUUGAUAACUUAGUAUCAAUAAUUAUGGCGCCGUUCCAUCUAUUAUCAAACCCUUUUUACCGGCUCUACUAUCUAAACCACUACGAAAAUAAGCUGGUUAAAAAUAAAAAAUCCCCAGUUACUCUGCUCAAACUCGUUAAUAUUUGUUUCCACCACCAAAGCAGCCACUCGUAUCUUUUAUUAAGCAUAAUGUUUUUAAACAAAUAUGAUGAAAACUCUUAGGGCCAGUUUGGUAAUGCUGCAGCUUUUAAAAUAAUUGCUGUUAGCUGUGCUGUAGAAAUAAUCAGCUGUGAAGAGAAUCAGUUAAGUGUUUGGUAAAUUUUAUUUUCAAAAGUACUGUGAAUUUUGAAAGCAGUUAUGGGUGUUUGGUAAAUUUUAUUGUUAAACUGCUGUAAGAAAAUAAAUGACCAAAAUGUACAUAAUGUAAGAUGAAAUUUACCUAUACAUAUAAAAAUGUUGUAAGAAAAUAAAUUUACUUGCACUAGAGAAGUUUUGAUAGAACACAAAAUAUGAAGAAAUAGGGUAAACGAAAGGUGUGCGUUAAUUAUAAUAAAAAUUUAUUAAAAUAUUGAUUUUAUUUCUAAUUUAACUAAGGAUAAUUUCGGGUUUAAGUAAUAAUUGUAAGGAUAUUUAUGAAAUUAUAUUAAAGGAUAAAAUUGAUUCUCAAAAUCAGAAUCUAAAAGUUACUAUUUCCCUGCUUUUCAAAAUCAGUUGUAGGAGGAGCUGAUUCUGGCAAAAGUGAUUUUGAUUUUCUUUUACCAAACACCAAAAUUAGCUUUUAGAUUUUUAAAAUCACUUUUAACCCUCCCAAAAGCAAUCCCAAACGGGGCCUUAGAGUGGUAUUAUCCCAUGUUUACUCCAAUGAUUUGGUAUACGCACAUGUAUUUUGGUAUACGCACAUGCACGCUAUAAAUUUAGUCAAGAAAAGUGAAUGUAUCUACAUACAAAUACUUAUCCCAUAUAACUUCAUUUCUUCAACUGAAGAAUCGGUCGUCUCUCAUUUUUUAUUUAUUAUAUAAAGAUAAAUAUAUAAAUUUAAAUGGCGAGAAGAGCGGACGAGGAAUACGAUUACUUGUUCAAAGUGGUAUUAAUCGGCGAUUCGGGAGUCGGCAAAUCGAACUUACUCUCCCGAUUUACUCGUAACGAGUUCUGUUUGGAGUCCAAAUCCACUAUUGGCGUCGAAUUCACCACCCGCACUCUUCAAGUAACUAACUUUUCCUCUUUCACUUCUCUUCAUUUUUAUUAGUUAAUUAAGAUCCAGUUAAUGUAAUUAAUUUUAUUUAAUCUUUUAAAUAAAGUUCUAGAUUAGGCUAACUUAGAUUCAUGUCAAGUUGAAGUGAUUUACUUUCGAUCUCUUUUUCGUCCUAUGUUUAUUUGUACUUACUAUUACUUUUUUUUUGGGUAUUUUCGUUUUUGAAGUGUUUACUGAAUAAAUUUCUGAGCUUUAUUUGUGUAUGCUGAUUGAUUUGUGAUUUUAAUUUGUGAUUUUUUUUUUGGCAUUUAAAUUUGAAUGCUUUUUAAUUUGAAUCUGAAUGUGUUGGGCUGCGAUUUAAUUAAGUCAUGUGUGAGCACCAAAUUGUGAUAGCUAUAUAUUGGGGUGAAAAUUUGGGAUUUAAAGCUAUGUAUUUAAGAUGCAGUUAAUUGGCAAGUGAAAAUUAUGGGCCGGCAGAUUUUGUCAUUGGAAGACUGUUCUCCACAUGUUGAAGUUAGUGAUGCAAGUUGAAACCAAUCUGUUUAAGCUUGGGGUUUCAUGUCUUGAAUCAAGGCUGUGACUUGGGGUGGGUUGAAAGUAUUAUAGCUUUAGCUAUUCCUGAAGUGAUCUGUUUAGACUCACCGUGAUGAGACCGAGUGCUGUACAGUAAAAUGAAAGGAAGUUGGAAAAUAUUUACUUAGCAUUUCGCGUUACUAAUGUUGAACUAAUAAAACCUAGCCCCUAUCCUAGUGAAUUUAUGUUAAAAAGCUAUGCACGCAUUAAGUUAGUGCGAGAGUCUGCUGAAGCAUAUGUCAGCUGUGUGUUUGGAGCUGAGUAUUCUUCAUUCCACAUUUUGGGUUUUGGUUGACCUCCAGCAUGACUCAACCCACUUGAGUUAAAAGCCCUAGAGUUACAUUCUACCCAUGAUAUUUGAGUUUAUCAAGUCACCUUAUUUUAAUACUUCUCUGGAAAACAAAUAUAUAUGUUAAAUCAGGUAGGAAAAAUAAAAAGUUAAUUAUUUUAAUACUAAGGUUUUGAAACAUUAAGAUCUUUAGCCAUUAUGUUACUAUCCCGUAGUUAUUUAAGUUACAAGAGAUAGUAAAAAAUAACAUCAUAUUUUAAUUACUUACACUAAUCCUACAAGUGCUGAUGGUCUAAAGUUGCUGCUGCUUGCACUGAAUCAGUGGUCAUGGGCCAGCCAAGGUUAGGUGAGGCCAACUCAUUAGCUUGUGAAACUUAAAGAAGUCUUAGGUUUGGAAAAGAUGGGGCACAGGUUACAAAAAUUUUUUGAGUUUUGGAUUGAAGGAACAAAAUUGUUGAUGUCUAGCUCACAAUAUUUGAAGUCACUCUGUGCUUCAUCAUGUCAAAUGGAUUGAAUUGCUGUAAGAUCAGGUCAAAUUAAAAUGUUUAAACUCAUUUUUAAGAAACGAAUUCUCAAUUGGACCAGCCUUUCACAGAAGCUGAUAUCACAGAAGCUUUGAGUCAGAUGCAUCCAACCAAAGCCCUUGGCCCAGAUGGUCUCCCAGUAGUAUUUUUCCAAAAGCUUUAGAAUUCAGUAAGCGAAGGAGUUAUAGCCACUUGUCUGCAUAUCCUCAAUGAUGGAGGUAAUAUUGCUCCUUUGAAUCAUACAUACAUUGCUUUAAUCCCCAAGAUAGCAAAACCUAGGACUCUGAUGGAGUAUAGACCAAUCAGCAUAUGUAAUGUAAUUUAUAGGAUCAUUGCAAAGACUAUAGGGAAUAGGCUGAAGCUAAUCUUAGAUCAUGUUAUUUCGCCAACUCAGAGUGCUUUUAUGCCAAAUAGGUUCAUAACUGAUAAUAUAAUUAUUGGGCAUGAGUGUCUUCAUAAGUGGACAAAGCUAUGUUCCAGAGGUGAGAUAGGAAAUUCUCCCGCACGACACAGCAGAAACAAACUUUCCCUUUCAUUUUCUUUUCUCUUUCUCGCUCUCCAAACAGAGCAAAAGGACCGUCGGAAGAUUCUUCACUUCCAUCCAAAAUCAUGAGCAACGAAUAGUGAGCCUCCCUGUUUCCUUCCUUUUUUUGAUAUUAACAUUGUUAACAUAUACUCAUUUUAAUUUGACAAUACUUCAACUUUUUUUAUUUUUUUGCCUUUUCAUUUUUUUUGUUGAAGCAAUUAUCUGUUCAAGCUGUUGCUUAUCGAAGACUCGUCCUUCGGAAAGUCCUGCCUGCUGCUCCGAUUUGCUGUCUGUUGACUUUUCCUUUCCCUUCUUAUUUUCUUUUUUUAUAUUAAUUACUUUCUAUUUUAGCUUUUUGUUCUCUGAAUUUGUGUUAUUAAAAUGAUAAUUUAGAUGACAAAUAAUUGUUAUUCUUGUAAAUUUAGGUUUUCAUUACGUUAAUUGUUAGUUUUUAGGUUUAUUAAUGUAAUUUUUUUUGUUUUUUUUUUUUCAAUUUUUCAGGAUGAUUCUUAUGUCACCGCUACAUCAGUACCAUUGGAGUUGAUUUUGUGAGUCUCUCUUCUAUAUAUAUGUAUAUAUGUGUAUAAGUUAUAAUAUGAGUCUAUGUACGUGUAUGUAUGUAUGUGCAUGUAUAUGUGGAAAGAAAUGUUGGCAGACUUCAGCAUUUUACUCUUUUUUUUUUUUUUUUUUUGGGAGAAAAUAAGAACUGUGGAGUUGGAUGGGAAGACGAUCAAACUGCAGAUUGUGAGUCAAAAUUUCCUUUUAUCUUGUAUUGAGAGAAAUUCGAUUUGUCUUAUUUAGUGAAGGUUAUGUUCAAGAACCUUGUCUUAUUUUCUUUGUUUGAAGAGUGAUAUGUUGAAAUGAGUGUAUUUGUCUUAUAAACAUCAUUUAGGUAAUGUCUUAUGUGUGAUUGUUUUGCAUCUGUUGAGUGGGACACUGCUGGACAGGAGCGAUUCAGGACUAUAACUAGCAGUUAUUACCGAGGAGCCCAUGGAAUCAUAGUAAGGAGCCUUUCCGGUUCUUGGUUUAAAUCAGAAAGUUUGUGAUUUACAUGUGACAUCUUAACAGCAUUGUAUGUGUUUAUUAACUUAUUUUUCAUCUUUCGUUAAGCAGUACAUUUUCCAAUAAAUCUGUAUACAAGAUGAUGUAGUCCAAGAAUGGGAGCGAUAAUAUGAUGCAAAUUGUCUAAUAAAUUCUUAUGACAUAUGAUGUUGUCGGAAGUAAAAGUCUUGCAAUGCUGUAUUCUCUUUUAAGAAAGAAUAAGUGGUAAUCUUAUUUUUCCAAUUUUUUAAUUGAGCAACUGUGUGAGAUUAAUUAAAUGUGUUGGGAUUUCAACAGAUUGUCUAUGAUGUAACUGAGAUGGAGAGCUUCAAUAAUGUCAAGCAGUGGUUGAAUGAGAUUGACAGAUACGCAAAUGACAGUGUAUGCAAGCUUCUAGUGGGGAACAAAUGCGAUUUAGUUGAGAACAAGGUUGUGGACACACAGACAGCCAAGGUAUAUUCGUGACUUCUGUCGCCUGAACUUUGAAUAUAAUUUUAAACUCUUCUCAAGUGCAUUUGCUUGAUAAGUUUCUGCAUACCCAGGACACUCAAACUUUGGACAGUUUGUAUCUCAAGCUGGAAUCUUUUUUGUCAAUACGACUUGUUAAAAUAAGGGUUAUUAUCGUUUGAAUCCUUCAAGAAUUGCAAUAAAUCUAAAGUCCAUAAAAAAAUAUGAUUCCAUCUUUUUACUAUUAUAUCUAGACAAAACCCAUUAUUUUACUACAUUUCAUUGGCACGGAUAGUUGACCUGUUGGCUGACUGAUAAAAUAUCAAUUUUGCACUUUAUAUUAAUUCUUUUUUGGUUAAAAAAUAACACACAAAGUAUUACAAUAUUAUAAAUUCAAAAUAUAAAGUAGUUACAAAUAAUUCCUAUUAGCCUAUGAAUAUAAUAUUUGAUACCUCUAUUUGUGUAAUUUUUUUCCAAUGGUGAAAUUGUUAUUUUUUUUUGUACUAACGGAAAUGUAGUAAAAUCAUAAGUUUUGUAAAGAUAUAGUAGUAAAAUGAUAGACUAAAAUACUUCUUGUAGUUGUUUGAUAUAUUGUAAUUCUUAAAGUAGUCAAUUGAUAAUAUCCCCUAAAAUAAAUGUUCGUAAUAUGUUCUCAUUUUAAUGCAACUGAUUGUUUAAUAAAAUUGUAUUUCUUUGUUAAUCUUUUAUCAUGUGCAUGCUCAGUGAGAAUUUGACUUACUAGAACACAAGUUUGACUCUUCAUUUAAAUGUCUCUUGUAUCAUAUCCUUUAAUGUUGAGUGUGAUUCCAAUAAAAUUGAGUAGGGAGAUCCUUAAAUACCUUUUCCUUUUUUCCAAGGGCCUGCCAAAUUGCUCUAAGUGGUUCUACCCUUUAUCAAUGAAUAAUGAAAAUAAAAUUUUUAUUAAAGCAUUUUGUUCCUUAAAUGGUGACUAAUAGUACCCCUUUUUUUUGGAGAGGAAAGCCAAACAUGCCCAAAGAGAAUCAUUUACUUUCCUCUAAUGUAUUUUCUAAUUCGUUUUGAGCCUUGAAUGUCUGUUUUGGUGCGUAUUCUCAUUCCAUGUUGAAUCUUAUCCAUAUGGACAACCCCACUUACAAAAAAGUCUAAUGAAUCUAUUGAAGUUCAUAUGAGGUUUGUGCUUUAGAUUUAGACCUCUCUCUCUCUCUCUCUCUCUCCACUUACAUGUCUUUCACUUACCUGUCUUUCACUUACCUGUUUGCAUGCAUGCCCAUGCACACACUUUCACGAUAAUACUGUAGGGGAAAAAUCAUGUUUUUAAAUUUUAUAAAACCUUUUGAAGAUCGCUCUCAUAUAAUAUAUAAGAAUUCGUAUUCUAGAAAUCGUACCUUGAAAAUCCGAGUUGGCUUUUCCACUGAAGUGAUUUAGGCUCCUAGAUCACGAUCUGCCACCACCACUCCUGUUAGAUCACGAUCCGUCAUCACCACGCUUGUUAGAUCACGAACUGUCGCCAAUGAUCUUCCAGGUUAUGACUCAGGUUCGAUCUGCACUUGACGUGUGGGCGCCUUUAUCACUGCCAAAGCAACUAGCACGAGAAAAUUUUUCUCUCAAUCAUGGAGAGAAAAAUCUUAUUCUCUGAUUUGUAUAAAGUGGCUUCUUCCUUUUUCUUUUGAGAAAAUAAGCCUUAUAUAUCUCCCUUUAGUGAAAACCCUAGGCUCCAAAUAAUGCCCUAAAUAAAACUCACGUUAUUUUCUUUUUCAAUAGGGAACCCACCUUGUAAAAUAACAUAAGGCCCCUUAUACAAAAGCUAAUUAAAUGGAGCCUCCCACUAAAUGAUAUAUUUAGGCUUUUGACCCAAAUAGCUAGUUAUCUUACUUAUUAGUCCAGUGGUGGUGCAGUCAAUUAAAUGAGCUAACCCGGGGAUCAUUUGGGAACAUACAAUAGUGGCUACAAUAAUUAGGCCUGUAAUUAAACUAGCCUAAUUAUUUAAUUCCAAAUCUACUCCACUAAAAGAUUGGAACUGACUUCCAUAAUUGUAUGCUCGAAUAAUAAUUCGUCCCAAGCCACAUUGAUUUCUUUAGUGCACAAUCCUUUGUACCACAUCGUUAAUUAAAUUGAUAUCUCAACUGUCCAAUCAAUUUAAUAACAUCUUAUUCCUUGAUCCUUACUGGUUUUCUCUAAUGAUCAUUUUCAACAUACUAAAUAUGUUGACACACUCUGGCCAGAGAAUUCUAUGAUCAAGUGCCGAAAACCCAUCAAGAGAUGUGUUGUACAAAUUCUAUAUUGUUAAUCCAUAACUCCAAUACUCAUAAUUGCUCCCACCAAGAUACCGGGUAAUCUUGACCACAAGUAUGUGUUGUGUCCAUUGGUAACUCAAAUGGAAUAACAAUUACAAUCAUGAAAUCAUAAUUAACUCAAGAUUAAGAUUACAGUAAAAUCAACGCCUAUGAGAUUUAAUAAGUCUGACAGUUAUUACAAAGUUAAUUAAAUCUCACAUGUGAUCCUGUUCAAUGUAGUCGUACUACAUCAAUAAAUUCAUACAUGAUUAAGACAAAUCAUUCAAUGAAUUUAUUACAGUCUAUACCUAAAUAAAGUGCCCAACUUUAUUUAUCAACUGCGAACUAAAUUUAUUUAAUCAUAAGAUAACUUGUAUUUAUGUCUUCUGUGAAUCCACAUGGUGAUCACAUAAAUACAUAUAAUAUGAUUAAAUGGACUUUAAUACAAAUAUUAAUGCAAUUAAGAUAUUUGAAUAAAAUACCUCAUUUAUUUUAUUAAUCAGAAAAACUGUUUAUUACAAUUAAAUAAACACAUAUGCUUUUAAAGAGCAUAUUUUCCCAACAAAUACACGGUCACUCGUACUUGUGUUUUGGUUGAAUUACUGGCUGCUAACCUCUGUAAUUCAGUUUGAAACUUGCCACCCUUAGUGCUUCACUCAAAUGGUUGGUUAGGGUGAGAUCUGUAUCGUUUUCUUGGUCUCUUUCCAAGGUUAUCUAAAGGGAUUUGGCAGUCUGAUUCUUUAGGGAAUAUCAUUGCAUAAGAUAUCUAUUGUUUGUUAAUGAAUAAUUUCUAUUUAACUAGUUAUCUAUAUAAAUUGGUAAAUUUUAACUGCAUAAUUUGCAUGCAAUAAGAUUUUAUAAGAAUCUUGUUUUCAACUCAUGACUUAGACUAAUGUGAUAUGUUGAGCAUUAAGCUACAAGAUCUGCACAUCAAAGUGCUUCACAAUGUUAAGGAGAAAGCAUCUUUUUCUGCUUCUUCAUGUGAUUUAAAGUUUCCAAGGUACUUAUCCAAUAAAAUAUCUUUCAAGACUUUGGAAAUGCUUUUAUAUAUGACUGAGAGAAACUUGUUGGGUUGGUUUUUAGCAACAGACGGAGUUAUGGACUUUGUGUUGACUUGUUAUUGAUUAAGACAGUACAUCGGCUGAUCUAUUGGCAUCAAGCAGCAGAUGCAGAAAUUAUGGGUGGCAUACCAUUGUAUCCAAAUAACAUACUACAUUGAUUUUUCUGACUUUCUGUUGGUCUCCGAGUG